rnacentral:lncRNA from 1 species
GUGUUUCUUCUUUUCAUCAUCUUCUCAGUCACACCAUUAUCCUUUUUGUUUGGUGUAGCCAACGCUACAAACGAACCUGUGCUCGACAUUGAUGGCAACGAGGUUCAAACAGGCACCCCAUACUAUGUUGUGUCGUGGAUAUAGGGUGCUGGUGGUGGGGGGCUUGCCCUAGGCAGGCCUAGAGGAAACCCAUGCCCGGAAGUCGUUGCUCAAAGACCAUCCGGUGACAAUGGUAUUCCGGUGAUAUUUUCUAAUUCGGACUCCAACGAUGGCGUUGUUCGCCUAUCCUCUGACAUAAACAUUGAGUUCGUUCCCCUCAGACCCAAACUCUGCCAAACAACAACAGUGUGGAAGGUCAAUGAUUAUGACCAUUCAGCCGGAAAAUGGUGGGUGAUAACCGAUGGGGUUAAAGGGAACCCAGGUGCCAACACUUUGACCAGUUGGUUUAGAAUAGAGAAGGUGAGUGAUGUCUAUUACAAAUUUAAGUACUGCCCCGCAGUAUGUGAAACAUGCCCAGCCUUAUGCAACGAAAUUGGGAGAGACUUUGAUGGAGAAAUGAUACGUUUGGCUCUCUCCACUGGCAAUGGAUGGCCAUUUUACUUUAAGAAAGUUGAAAAAUCAGCCAUGGAGAUUCAACAAGUUGCUCAUAUUUAGAUUGAAAGCAAUCAUUAUGUAUGAACUAGUAGUUACUAUAUAAUAUUAGCUUCAAGUAAAUAAUGUUGAGAGAACUUAUUGUUAAUAUUGCCUUGUUUGAAGCGACAACAUGUAUAUAUAUGCUUGCCUACAAGGUUUGUCUCUCAGCUUCUCUUUGUACUCUUUUCAGCUUAAUGAAUAGACUGUUUACUUAUUUACUUCUUUUGUUGCCAUUGAUUCUAGUAGCAUUGGACUCAUUAACUUGGAUACAUUACCUUGUAAUUAACCAAAAAGUCACGUAUAUAUAUAUAUCAAAACAAAAAAAAUAGAGUGAGAGAGGAAAAUAGACUACUAAAUGCCAAGUGAAAAAUGCUAAUACUAGGAUUAUUCAGAAUGGUUUCAAUGGACAACGAGAAUGGAAUGGUUGUUGGGUGGUUAGGGCACCUUUUCGUUAGAGAUAAAGAAGGGUUUGUCCAUCUUCGGAGUUUAUGAUUACUCCUCCAAAUUGUUUUCAAGGUUCAAACCUGCAUCAUUAUUUGAACAUGUAAUUUGUCUUAUCAUUACACCCAACAUUAUUGGUAAAUUACUCUAUUCUAUUCUUAAUUAAUAAUUAUGAUAUACAUUAAGUUUAAGAUAGAUUUUCUUAUUCAUGUAUAUCAAUUGAAUCAAAUAUUUGUAUUUAAAAUUUUAACUCGACAUAUCAAAAGUCUGUUACUCUAGCACAUCUCUGGUCUAUUAUUCCCUCAUGUUUUGGUUUUUCUUUAGGGUUUUUUGGCUUAUUUUUCUUUGUUUUAGUGACAGCGGUUCUUGGAAAAGAGUGUUUCUUAUCAAUCUGGUUCAUUUUGAUUCAUGGAAAUUGAGGAUGAAAUGGUAAAGUUAACAUUGGAAGACGAGAAAGAAGAGAUUUUUCAAGUACAAAAGCAAAUUGAUUCUGCGAUGGUGGUUUAUGAUCUUUGUCUGGUUGGAUGCUUUCUCACGGUGAGUUUAAUCCAAUUUUCGGCAAUGAGAAGCACAAUGGCGAAUCUAUGGCAUCCUCUGAGAGUAAUAGGUUGAGGUAGAAAAGGUUUUGGUUUGAGGCAUGGUGGGUGAUAAAAGAAUCUUUUGAGGAGGAGGUUAAAUGAAUAUGUCAGUCAGUCUACUUCGGGUGAUAUGUUGGCUAAGCUAGAAGGUGUGCGGAAGGGCUUGGUGAGAUGGGUGGGUUCUAUUAGAAAUAAAAUGGAGGGCCUUAAGAGGGAUCUGACUAGAAAAUUAGAGGAGAUUAUGGGAAAGGAAAGAGAUGUCGAGAAUAUUGUUGAACUAUCAUAAGAUUCUUUUGUCAUAACUUGAAGUUGGUGUCAUUUAAUAUAAGAAUACAAUUAAUGCAUGCAGUAAUAUUGGCAGGUAUAAUUGUAGUUGAAUCAAACAAAACAAUCUCACGUAAGAUGUAAUACCCCUACCCGUAUUCAUUGCCGGAAUAGGGUACGAGGCAUUACCGGAGUUUACGAAUUAAAUUUUUUUUUAUAUUCAAUAUAGCUCUUUUAUAAAUAUCUAACCUUCCCUGUAAUAUUAAAUCGAGACCAAUCCACAUCAACCAAAUCAAUUCAACAUAUUUUCAUGAUAGAUUCAUGCAUUUAUAUAAGAUAACAUCAUCACAUAUCUAUAACCAGGUUUGUUAACCAUACUAAUGGCUAACUUUACAUUCAUUUCACGUUAACAUUUACUUUGUUAGCUUAUACAUGCCAUUGAUUUCCAAAAUAAAGUUUCUUUAUAUACCGAAAUCCUGAGGUUGACAGUGUGAUGUGUCUCCGACCAAAUCCUACCUCCGAGCUCUUAACACUACAAAACAGGGAAAAAGGAAACGGGGUAAGCACUUUGUGCUUAGUAAGCUCAUGUAACAAGAAUUAUACUUACCUAAUAUUUUCAAUACAAUACAAUAAACAUCCAUAUAUCCAUUCAAUGCAUUAUUACCCUAAUAUGCACAAACUCAACAUUUAAGUUAGUACAAUAAUUUCCAUGUACCAAUAAUAUAUACCAUGAUUGAUGAGCUCGUCAAUACCAUGAUUUCCAUUUCCUUUCUAUUUUUCCAUAUUUAUCCCGUUGAAUUUAUCAGAAUUUCGAUGGAUUUUCAGAGGUACACUUUUAGUGUACAAUUCCGGGUCCGUCAAUUCAUAUUCAUGUGCGCACAUUUCCAUUUCAGAGAGCACACUCCCGCGAACCUCGACCUUGUAGCGGGAUUACCAGUCCAGGCUAAAUCCCUUGCAAUAUAAACUCAUAGAGUAUUGUCAGGAUUACCAGUCCAGGCUAAAUCCCCUGCAACGACAAUUACUCUAAUGAGCUUUCUCUUCAUUUCUCUUCAAUUCCAGCAGCUAAAAACGCCAUAGAAGGGUUCUCUAAGCUGGUAUUUCAUAAUUUUUGCACCAAGUGAGUUAAUCCUUGCCUUUUUCUUGUAAUUUUUGUGUUUCUAAGACUUUUACAACUAGGUCCUACUAUUAAAUUCAUUAGUUUUUAAUUUCAUGGAUGAAAUUGAAAGUCACCAUGGUUGAGUGCUGUAAGUUUAUGAUGAAAUAGAAUGAAAUUAAAGCUUUAAUUUGUUUAUGAGAUGAUUUUAUUAGGUAAUUUCAAUGGAAAUUGAUUUUUAGGACCUAAUUGUGAAAAUGUUUGGAAUUAAAGUCUAUUGCUGAAAUUCUGAUUCCUAAAGGUUGUAAACUAGUUUAAGGUGAUAGAAUAAAAUGUUAAUUGAGAAAAAUCAGCUCAAUUGAGAGGCUAAUUGAGUAGGGACGAAAUUAUCAUUUAUUAAAAGCUUAGGGGAAAAAUGGUAAUAAACAGCUUGCACUAAAACAGUUUGGACAGUAGCAGUAGACUAACUUUGAAAAAUCACCAAAAAUUGUAGGAAUCGAAUUAGAAGAUGAACAAAAUAUAGAAUUAAAUAUUAUUGAGUCUAGUUUCUCAUGGAAGAAAUAUUGUAAGCAAUGGAUUUGUAAAUUUUUAGAUAUAAUAAAUUUUGUGAGACAAAGUCAGAAUGAAUUCGGGUUCCCCUGUUCUGACUUUGAAAAAUUAUAAAAAAUUGAAUAAAAAUAAUUAGGGACUUAAAUUUAUAUGUAUAGAAUUCUGAAUGAGUCUAUUUUUAAUAGAAACAACGAUAACAUCAUUUGAAUUCUGUAUAAAGAGAUAAUUUAUUUUUAGUGAAGAAGGGUUAGAACUGUUAGACAACAGAACAGGGGUGAAUUUGAAGAAUAAACUGUACUGAUUGGCUUAACCAAAAAUUCUGAAAAUUUUAUGGUAAAAAUAUAUAUGAGUCUAGUUUCAGGGAAAAUUAACGGAUCUUAAUUUGGAGUUCCGUAUCUCAAGUUAUAAAUAAUUUAGUGACUAUGACUCAAGUAGACAGCUUUGAAUGAACUAUAAAUAAUAGUUGAAUUAUAGAGAAUGUUGCAUAUGAACAUGAAAUGUAUUAAAUUGAUAAUUAAAUUUAUUUAUUAUUCAAAUAUGAAGCUAGAUCGAGCAAAGGAAAAAGUUCGGGAUUAGUAGAUUUUUACUGGUUACAAACAAGUAUCAAGGUAAGUUCGUGUAACUUGAAUUAUAUUCUUAAAUGCUUGAGAUUGUAUGUUAUUGAUGUGAAUAUUAUUUGAGUGUUCAUUGUAUGAAAACUAAUGAAACAUUGAUAUAUUUGAUAAAAUGGGAAGAAAUCCCGGUUGAAUGAAAGGAAAAUUCGAUGGAUCUCUGAAAAGGAAUUGACGGUAAAAAGGAUCUAGCCCGAACGGGUGAUCCUAUCCUGAUAUAGCCCUCCCGAAGAAUAUGUGGAAAAUGGAUUUAGCCCGGACGGGUAAUCCGAAUUAGGGUCUGAAUUCAGCCUGGACUGGUAAUUCAGAUCCAAGCGCAUUAGAUAAGACUUCAAAUAUAAAACAAAAUAAUAAUUAAUUUGAACAGAGGUAAACCAUAAGAUACCAAUCACUCCAUUAAUAUUUCAUCUUUAGACAAAUAUUAAUUUCUAAGUGAUAUGUUGAUGUAGUAAUUAAACAUUGACAAUGUAACAGCCCGUUUUUGGUCAAAUCAGAAUAGAGGUUUCGAGACCACAAUCCAAAGUCAAAAUAUUUAUUUUAUUAUUAUGAGGUUGAUACCAUGAUAGUAUGAAUGUGUGAAAAUUUCGUUAAGAAAUUUUAAUGUUUGAGUGCUCAAUUUGUAAAAAGGACUUAAUCGCGUAAAGUGCAAAACUAGAAGUCUAGAAGUUAAAAGCACUAAAUGGCUAUAGAAAGGAAAAUUAUGAGCACUUGCAUGGUAAUUAAACUAUUCAUAUUGUUAGUGGACAAUUAUAUGCAUGUUAGGUGAAUUUUAAUGAAUUAAAUUGAAGGGGUAAAUAAGUAAAUAGUUACAUAACAUAGUGAAAUAAUGGAAAAUAUUGGAUCAUCUUCUCCACUAAGCUUACACCACCAAAAAUUGAAAGAAAAUAGCCAUUGGAGAAGCUUGAUAUUCGACCAAGCAAGAGUCAUUGCAUGUAAGUCCAUUUUUCCCGGUUUUUAAUGAUUUUUACGUUUUUGAGAUCGUCGUAACUUAAGCUAACUAUUGGGGGAUUAAAUUGAGAAAUUUUUAAAAGUAUAGGAUGUUUUCGUUGAUGAAUUGGUAUGAGUUUUUAAGUUUCUUGAUAGUUUAUGAAUGCUUGUUGAAAGUUAAACAAUUUUUGUUAAUGGAUUUUUGAUGAAAAUGUGAAUUAGGGGUUUACUUGUGAAAUGUUUAUGUGGUACAUUUAUGAAAGGAUGAAAAAUAUGGGCUGAUUUGAAUGCUAGGAGAAUUCAGCUAGCAUGGGUUGGGGUUAAAUUUCAUGAAUUUUUUAUUUCACGAGAUAGGGACUAAUUUGUAAAAAAUGCAAAACAUUAGAGGAAAAUGUGUAAAUUUGACAAAUUAUGAAUUAUAGGCUUAAUUGAAUAGAUUGAAUGCUAAAAGGGUUAAAUUUGAUAACAUUUAGAUCAAGAAAAGUCGAGAUCGGACUUAGAUCGUGGAAAGAACAAAGUCGCGGAAUAGUCGACUAAUUUCAUCAUUUUUGCAUCCGAGGUAAGUUCGUAUGCGAUAAAAUUAUUUAAUGUUGUGUUUAAAUGCAUUGAUAUGGCAUAAAUUUUAUGUUUGAUAAUAUUGAAUUGUUCGAGAGAGAUUCGAUAAUGAUUUGAGAAAGAAAUUGCAAUCGACUCGAUGAUGAGCGAUGAUGAUGUCUAAUAUGGUUUUGGUGUGCAAAGUCCCGGUUAAACCUUAGGAAUAGCUUAGGAUGCUAGUGACAUGACAUUAAGGUAUUGAUAUCGACACUUCAGGUACGAGUUCCCUUGAGUUGGCUUUAGGCCAUGGUAUAGGUAUUCCGAGCGAAGUUACCUUGAGUUGGCUUCGGGCCAUGGUAUAGGUACUUUGGUGUUAGGUUACCUUGAGUUGGCUUCGAGCCAUGGUAUAGGUACCUAUCGUAUGAGACUCUUGAGUAUCCAACUUCUAUUCCGUAUGGAUGAUUGUGAGAUUGAUAUGGAAUGGUACAGGUACGUACAUAGUUCGUAUAAACCUUGAGUUAACAAAGGUAGAGAAUGAUAUGUUAACCCUUGUGAAUGAGUAAAUGAAACGUUUGUAUAUUGAGGUGAAUUAAUUGUUGAUGAUUAUGCAAAUUUUUGAAUUAUGCAUACUUAAUGAAUUGAUUUAUUUCAUGCGAACUUACUAAGCUUUAUAGCUUACGUUGUAAUUUUCCAUGUUUUUUAGUGACUUCAAAGCUAGCUCAGAUCUGGGGAUCGUUUGAAGCAUCAUCAUACUAUCCACUGUUCUUUUGGUAUUUUGAAAACUAUAUUUUGGGUCAUAUGGCAUGUAUAGAGACUUGAGUCUUUUUGGUAUACUUUGUUGGUAAAUGUGGCCAUGUGAUUUGGCUUGUGUAUAGUUAAAGUUGAUGAUGUAUAAAGCCAUGUAAGUUGGCUUAUUUUGAUAACUAUAAUGGCAUGUAAAUAUAGAUGUAUGUUGCUCCUUGAUUGAAGUGGUUCAUGAUUGAAUUAUUAUUUGGUAUGUUUAAAGACUUAGGUAUAGAUAGGUAUGAUUGAAUGGGGUUGAUUGGGAUAGCAUGAAGUAGCAUUAUUGUCUUGAGGUUGAUUGAUGCUAGAAAUGGUUUUUAAUGAGCAUGAAUGAAGUUGUUGGAUUGUCUAAUUUAUGCUUUGAAUUGUGUCAUGGUAAUAGCUAUUGGAAGUAGGCAUGUUUGUGUGGAAUUGAGGGUAGCAAAUGGCUUAGAAAAUAGCCUAAAUAUUGUCCACAUGGGUUGACACACGGGCGUGUGUCUAGGUCAUGUGUGACACAUGACCUGUGCCAUGGGCAUGUGAUCCGGCCGUGUAUUCCCUGCAUUUUGUAUUUUUAGGUUCGAAUUGGCUACACGGACUGAGACACGGCCGUGUGUCUUGGCCGUGUGGGAGACACGGCUUAGGGACAUGGGCGUGUACCUUGGCCGUGUGAAGUCUGCACCUUAAUUUUGGAAUUUAAUUCGCCAAACGAGCUGGACACACGGGCGUGUGGUCCGGCCAUGUGAUACGAGUUAGUAUGUAUUCCCUAUUUCCACAUGGCUUGGACACGGGCGUGUCUGAUGGCCGUGUGAGCGAGCAGGGGUAUAGGGUUGGGUAUAGGGUGUGGUAUGGCCGUGUUAGAUAAGUCAGUAAGCACACUUGUUUGGGUAUAGGGUUGGGACACGGCCAUGUGAUCCCAACACAGUCAGGGGACACGGGCGUGUCAAUUGGCCGUGUGAGUGACACGGCCUGGGCAUACGGGCGUGUGACCCUUGCAGUGAAGAAAAUUUUCAAAUUUUUGUAAACCCUUUUAAAUCAUGUUUUAAGGUCUCUUAGAGCCUUAUAAGGGACAAUGUUGAAUGAUUGAUAAAAGUUUUAAAUUGUAUGCAAGUUUAUGUUUGGAAAUAUGUUCGAUUGUUAUGGUGUAAGUCUAGUGUUGCCUCAUACCCUAUUCUGACGUUGAAUAUGGGUAAGGGGGUGUUACAUUUAUUUGUAUUAGAGCUAUGGUUUAGUCGAUUCUCGGACAAAAGUAGCGUAUGUAAGAGUCUAGUUAUACAUGCCAUAUAUGAACUGUGAUAGUGUGACGACUCUUGACGUUUAAAAUGUGUUUUUAUAUAGAAAAUGGAUCCCAACUGAGCAGUUGAUGAUGAAGUUCAAAGUAACGCGCCGGCUCCCGGUAGAGGGGCAGCACCGGCUGUAUCGAGAUCAGUAUCUAGCAGUCAGGGAGGAGAGGCUAAGGAAGCCUUCUUCCCUGUUUUGAAUGAAUGGUUUGCAUAGUUCGUUCGUACGAACCCGACCGCUCCACAACCUCCACCCCACCCCCACCUAUUCCUCAACAAUUCCUUGUUAUUCCUCUAGUGGUGAACCUAGCACAGUUGAAUAAGCCUCUGGUAGACAGGAUAUGAAAACACGGGCUGAAGAGUUUAGGGCUACGGCGGAUGAUGAUGCUGAAAGAGCCGAGUUCUGGCUUAAAAAUACGAUCCGCAUAUUCGAAGAACUGUCUUGCACUCCUGACGAAUGCAUUAAAUGUGUGGUUUCAUUGUUGAGAGAUACUGCUUAUCAAUGGUGGAAAAUACUAAUAUCCGUGGUUCCAAAAGAGCGAGUUACUUGGGAGUUCUUUCAGACAGAAUUUCGAAAGAAAUUUAUAAGUCAGUGAUUCCUCGACCAAAAGCAUAGAGAAUUCCUGGAACUAAAAUAAGGUCGAAUGACGGUUACUGAAUACGAGAGGGAAUUUGUACGGUUUGAGUAGAUAUGCCCGAGAGUAUGUUUCUACUAAAGAGAUUAUGUGCAAAUGGUUUGUGAAUGGGUUGAACGAAGUCAUAAAACUUUUAGUCGGGAUUCUCAAGUUGAAAGAAUUUGUUGUUUUGGUUGAAAGAGCCUGUAAAGCUGAAGAUCUCAAUAAAGAAAAGAGAAAAGCUGAGUCAGAGAUCAGAGAUUCGAGAAAGAGAUCGAUGAGUAAAUCUUAUCAUUCUUUAUCAAAGAAAUCGAAAGAUUACUUUAGUCAAGCGGCAGUUUCAGUGGGUUAUUCAAAUAGAGAUCGUGGGAAGCAACAUACGAGUCCUAAAGCUCAGGCUACCUCUGUGGCUAGUGUUGACAGCGUGAAGAACAAUAAACUGGAAUGUCUGUAAUGUGGGAGACGACAUUUCGUGAGUGCUAGGGUAAAGGCAAUAGUAGAACUUGUUUCAAAUGUGGUUCACCCGAUCAUUUUAUGCGAGAUUGCCCCGAGUCGAUUGAGAAAGAUAAACCUCAGUUUGUGAGACUGAGUAGUAUGUCGAUGAGAGGGAGUAAAUGUGUCUAGUAGCAAAGGUGUGACGAGGGAUACAGCUGUGAGAUUCGAGGCCAAAGCACCGGCUAAAGCUUACGCAAUUUGCACUCACGAAGAUGCGUCUUCAUCGGAUGUGAUCACUGGUAUAUUUUCUCUUUAUGACACUAAUGUGAUUACUUUGAUAGAUCCUGAAUCAACCCGUUCGUAUGUGUGUAUGAAUUUAGUUUCUAGUAAAAGUUUGCUUGUUGAGUCAACCAAAUUCGUUAUUAAAGUAUCGAACCCCUUAGGCAAGUAUGUUUUAGUUGAUAAAGUUUGCAAUAACUGUCCUUUGAUGAUUCCGGGUUACUAUUUUCCAGCUAACUUAAUGCUAUUACCAUUUGAUGAGUUUGAUGUGAUUUUGGGUAUGGAUUGGUUGACUCUGCAUGAUGCUGUUGUGAGUUUUAGAUGAAAGGUUAUUGAAUUGAAAUGUCAAAAUAGUGAAAUUCUUCGAAUUGAAUCAAAUGAAUCGAGUGAAUGACCUAUUUUAAUUUCGUCGAUGUUAGCUUAGAGUUAUGUGAAGAAGGGUUGUGAUGCUUAUUUAGCUUAUGUUUAGGAUACCAAAGUGUAACACCCUCACGCCCGAGACCGUCGCCAGAGUCGAGCUUGAGGUGUUACUAAACUUAAAUCACUAAUUAUACAAUUCAUACAAUUUAUUUUAAAAAUUUUCAGACAAGCUGGCUAACUGCAUCACAGUCACUUAAAAAUUUAUAUCUCGAGUUCUAAAACUCGAAAUCAAGAUCCGUAAAUUUUUCCUGAAACUAGACUCAUAUAUAUACUUACUAAUUUUUUUCUAGAAUUUUUGGUCAGGCCAAUUAGUACAGUUUAUUAGUUAAAGUUUCCCCUAUUUCAGGGUUCGGCUACUCUGACCCCUGUGUAUUACGAAUCAGAUAUCUCCCUGUACCGAAUUUCAAUGACUAUGCCAUUUAUUUCUCAUAAAACUAGACUCAAUAAGGAUUUCAUACAUGUAACGAAAAACUCCUAAUUGUUUUUUUUACAAUUUAUGGUGAAGUUUUAAAGUCAGAACAGAGGAUUCAGAGAUCGCUCUGACCCUGUUCCACCAAAAUUUAAAUAUCUCAUAAAAUAUAACUCAUUGACCUUUUUUGUUUCUUCCAUAUGAAAAUAGACUCAUCAAGCUUCAAUUCCAUAACUUAUUAAUCAUUUAUUUCCAUUUCUAAUAUUUUUAGUGAUUUUUCAAAUUCACGUCACUGCUGCUGUAUGACACUGUUUUAUAGCCAAUUUCACCAUUUUAUGGUUUUCCAUGGAGUAGGUAAUACAUUAAGUAUACAUAACACUAAAUAUAAAUUUUGAUUAGCCAUUCCAAUAGCUAAUCAUCAACAAGCAUUUCCACAUCACUCAUUCACCAUAUCAUAAGAUUAUAUACACAAAAGGAUUAUAAUGCUAUACAUGCCAUAUUCCAAAAAUAUGCAAGCCACUAUACCGAGAUGAUCCGUUGACAGUAUGAGCGUGCCUCCGACCGUCCUGAUCUCCAAGCCGGCUUGUCAAAACUAAAAUGAAUGGAAGGGAGGGAGUAAGCAUAAAUGCUUAGUAAGUUCACAUGUAAAUAGCAAGUAACAUAACCAUGCAAUAGUACGAAGUCCACAUUUGCAUAAUAUCACCAAAACAUUCAUAUCAUAUUUCUCAUUCAUGAUCUUACCAUAUUAUUGUAAUAUUGAAGUCUAAACCCGAGGGUUAAGUACAUACCUGUACAAAGUAUUCGUUCCACAAUACUUACCAACUAGUCACUUUCAUCUCAAGAAUUCUUCCAUUUAACUAGAAUUUUACCCGUUGAACACAAUUGGAAUAUAAUUCGGAAACAUGGAAAGUUUGCACAUAAGUGCCACAUAUGUAGCCAAGCUAUCUGGUACGCAUAGUAGCUUGCACUUAGUACUACACAUGCGACCAAUUAUCCGGUACACGUAGUAGCCUGCACUUAGUACUACACAACACACGUGACCUAACCAUCUGAUACACGUAGUAGCCUGCACUUAGUACUACACACGCGAUCUAACCAUCUGAUACACGUAGUAGCCUGCACUUAGUACUACACACGUGAUCGAAGUUAUCGGGUACGCAUAGUUGCAUAUUACUCAAUAAUAACCAAAAAGCAUAAUAUUUCACGAUAUUAAUCAUCAUAUCAUAUAAAUAAUAUUAAAUUACUUAAAAUGACAAUUAUGUUACUACAUUUACACAGGAACUUACCUCGUAUGCGAAAAUGGUCAGUUUUACCAUUUUGUCCACAACUUGGUAUUUUGUCGAUUUUAGCCCAAAUUUCGAUUUUCCUUGCUCUAUCAUUUCAAAUAUAGCCUAAUUAGGACUCAUAUUAUUCAAAUCAACCCAAAAUCAUAUUUUUGAAAAAUUACAAUUUUGCCCCUAAACUUUUACAUAUUUGCACUUUUGCCCUAAUGCUCGUAAAUUAAACUUCAUACUAUUUUCUUAUGUUUUAUGACAUCCUGAUCAUUUUUCCCUUCUAUGACAACAUCAAAUUCUCACUCUAACAUGUACUUAUGACUAUUAGGUAUUUUUACCGAUUAAGCCCUUUUACUCGUUUUCACUUAAAACCGAAUAGCACAAGUUGUCUAACAUAAUUUAAAACAUCAUAUUCUAUCAUAAAAUACCAAAAUACACAAAUUUUACCUAUGGGUAUUUUUCCAAUUAUGAACCCUAGGUUGAAUUAUUGCUAGCAUAAGCUAAAUCGAGCUAUCGGGAUUUUAAAAACAUAAAAAUCAUUAAAAACGGGGCUUGAAAUCACUUACUAUGAAACUUGAAAGUUGAAGAAACCCUAGAUAUGGAGAGAGCAAAAUUUGGCAGCAACAUAUGGAGAAGAUGACCAUUUUUGUGUUAUUUUUCCCAUUUUAUUUCAUUUAAUAUCAAAAUGACCAAAAUACCCUUCCUUACUAAACUUUCAAAAAUUCCAUCCAUGUCCAAAUUUUUGUCCAUAAACUUAUAAAUUGGUCAAAUUUAUAUUUAAGACCUCCUCAUUAAUAUUCCAAAGCAAUUUCAUACUAAAAACUUCUAGAAUGCAAGUUUUGCAAAUUAUUCGAUUUAGUCCCUUAUCUCAACUUAAGCACUUUAUGCAUAGAAUUUCGUCACGAAAUUUUCACACAAUCAUGCAAUAAUAUCAUAGACCUAAAAAUAAUUAUAAAAUAAUUAUUUCUAUCUCAAAUUUGUGGUCACGAAACCACUAUUCCAAUUAGGCCCUAAUUCGGGAUAUUACACCAAAGUGCUUGAAUCGAAGAUUGAGUUAGUACCGGUAGUAUGUGAGUAUCUAGAUGUAUUUCCUGAAGAGUUUUCGAGAUUACCACCGACCUGAGAGGUAGAGUUUGGUAUUGAGUUUGAUAUUGAGUUUUUCGCCUUGGAGCGUGCCGGUGUUAUUUGUUAAAAAGAAAGACGCGUCGAUGAGAAUGUGUAUUGACCAUCGUCAGCUCAACAAAGUUACAAUAAAGAAUAAGUAUCCAUUGCCGAGGAUCGAUGAUUUGUUUGAUCAGUUGAGAGGGGCGACUGUAUUUUCGAAAAUAGAUUUGAGAUUCGGCUACUAUCAGUUGAGAGUCAAAGAGUCGGAUGUGCCAAAAAUUGCUUUCAGAACGAGGUAUAGACAUUUUGAAUUUCUUGUCAUGCCUUUUGGAUUAACUAAUGCUCCUGCAAUUUUUAUGGAUUUGAUGAAUAGAAUUUUCAGACCGUAUUUGGAAAAAUUUAUUGUCGUGUUUAUUGAUGAUAUUCUGAUCUAUUCAUGAGAUGAAUCCGAGCAUGCCGAGCAUUUGAGAAUUAUGCUGCAAACCUUGAGAGAGAAACAACUGUUUGCUAAAUUUAGCAAAUGUUAGUUUUGACUCCGAGAGGUCAGAUUUUUGGGCCAUAUUAUCUCAGCGGAUAGUAUACAAGUGGAUCCGAGUAAGAUUUCGACUGUUAUGGAUUGGAAGUCGCCUAGAAAUGUGUCUGAAGUCAGAAGCUUCAUGGGAUUAGCUGGCUAUUACCGAAGAUUUGUAAAAGGAUUUUCGAUGAUUACUACGCCAAUGACUCGGUUGUUUCAAAAAGAUGUGAAGUUUGAGUGGUCUGAUAAAUGCCAACAGAGUUUUGAGCAGUUGAAAGCAUUGUUGACAGAGGCACCAGUUUUAGUUCAACCUGAGUCGGGAAAAGAGUUUGUGAUUUUCAGUGAUGCAUCAUCGAACGAUUUGGGUUGUGUACUGAUGCAAGAGGGUAAAGUGAUAGUUCACGCCUCGAGACAGUUGAAACCGCAUGAGAAGAACUAUCCAACACACGAUUUGGAGUUGGCCGCGAUUGUAUUCGCGUUGAAAAUUUGACGACAUUAUUUGUACGGGGAAAAAUGUCAUAUUUUUACUGAUCAUAAAAGUUUAAAAUACUUAAUAACUCAGAAAGAUUGGAAUUUACGACAACAAAUGUGGCUCGAGUUGUUCAAAGAUUACGAAUUUGUGAUUGAUUAUCAACCGAGAAAGGCUAAUGUAAUCGCGGAUGCCUUGAGUAGAAAAUCAUUGUUUGCUUUGAGAGCAAUGAAUACACGGUUGAGUUUGUCUAUGGAUGGUUCGAUAUUAGCUGAGUUGAAAGCUAAACUGGAUUUCCUUCAACAAGUUUGUGAUGCUCAAAAAUGUGAUACCGAGUUGCAAGCUAAAAGAAUACAAUGUGAGUUGACUAGUGAUUGAGAGUUCAAAAUAAGAUCCGAUGAUUGUUUAAUGUUCCAAGAUAGAAUAUGUGUACCGAAAGAUCCAGAGUUAAUUCAAAAAAUUUUGCACGAGGCACAUAGUGGUUGCUUGUCUAUUCACCCGGGAAGCACUAAAAUGUAUAACAACUUGAAACAGUUGUAUUAGUGGCCGGGGAUGAAACGAGAUGUUUCGGAGUUUGUUUUGAAAUGCUUAGUUUGUCAACAAGUGAGAGCCAAACAUCAAGUGCCUUCGGGAUUGUUACAGUCGGUGAUGAUACCAGAGUGGAAAUAGGAUCGGGUUACGAUGGACUUUAUGUCGGGUUUACCCUUAAGUCUGAAAAAGAAAGAUGCUGCUUGGGUUGUUGUUGAUCGACUGACGAAAUUGGCACAUUUUAUUCCGGUACGUACGGACUUUUCACUUGAUCGAUUGGCUGAAUUUUAUAUCUCUGAGAUUGUGAGAUUGCAAGGGGUACCUAUUUCUAUUAUUUCGGAUAGAGAUUCGAGGUUUACGUCGUGAUUUUGGAAGAAAUUGCAAGAAGCUUUGGAUACGCGGUUGAAAUUUAGUACCGCUUUUCAUCCACAAACCGAUGGUCAGUCUGAGAGAGUAAUUCAAAUUCUUGAAGAUAUGCUUCGAUGUUGUAUUCUUGAGUUCGAGGGUAAUUGGGAGAAAUAUUUGUCAUUAGUUGAAUUCGCGUACAACAACAGUUUCCAGUCAAGUAUAAAAAUGACACCGUACGUGUAACACCCCAAACCCAUAUCCAUCGCCAGAACAGGGUUACAAGAUGUUACCAGAGUUUAUAGAAUAAUUACACAUAAUUUCAAAAAUUUUCCUAUGUUCAUAACAAAACUGUCCACCUGAGUCAUAGUCAUUAAAUUAUUUAUAUCUUGAGCUACAGAACUCAAAAUUGAGAACUGCUAAUUUCCCUGAAACUAAACUCACAUAUCUUCUUACCAUAAAACUUUCAGAAUUUUUGGUCUAGCCAAUAGGUACAGUUUAUUCUUUAAAUUCACCCUUGUUUCACUGUCCAACAGUCCUGACCCCUCUUCACAAAAAUUUUAUUAUCUCUUAGUACAAGAUUUUAAUGAUGUUCUAGUUUAUUUAUUUUGAAAAUAGACUCAUCAAGGAUUCUAAACAUAUAAAUUAUAACUUAUAAUUAUUUUUUUAAAAUUUUUAAUGAUUUUCUAAAUUCAGAACAAGGGAUUUCAAAAUCAUCCUGACUCUGUCUUACACAAAUUCAAAUAUAUCUUAAUAUGAAAUUCUUUUGCUUAAAAGUUUCCUUUAUAUGAAACUAGACUUAAUAGGCUUUAAUUUCAUUUUUAAUUCAAUCUCUAAUUCAAUUUCCACAAUUUUUGGUGGAUUUUCAAAGUCAGACUACAGCUAUUAUGUAAGACUAUUUUAAUGCAAAAUAUUAAUGACUAAGUUUAUAACACCUUUAUUUCCUUUCACUACAAUAUUUCCUAUCACUCCCUUUUAUUUUCCUUCACUAUCAUAUUAUGAACAUAGUUCCUCAUGUAAGAAAACUCUACUUUAACAUCACAAAUACCUAUUACAUAAUAUCAUAUAUCCUUAAUUAAUAUACCAUAUGGCACAUCAAUAUGCAUAUUUUUCCUUACCAUACUUAUACUAUUUCAUCCAUGUGUGUAUGAGAACCAUUUAUAACCUUAUGAAUUCAUAUGUUUAUAUAUAUACAUCAUUGCUAGCCAUACCAAUGGCUAACUUCCAAACAUUGUGUAACAUUUAUCAUUUCACUAAUUUAGCUAUACAUGCCGUUUUCAAAAUAAGUAAACCAUUAUACCAAAUUUGACAGGAUGAUAGUGUGAUGAAGUCUCCGACCCGUCUUCCACUUCUUCCGAGCUUUCAAGCACUAUAAGACAAGGAAAAUAAAAUCUAAUAAGCAUAUUUAUGCUUAGUAAGUUCAUAUAACAUGAAUCAAACUUACCAAUCAUAUUUAAUAUUUAAAUCAUAUAAAAGCAUAAUUUCCAUUCAUUUUGGUUAUUUGCCUAUUCAUAAACAUUUCAAUCAAACACGUUAGUAACAAACGUACCAAUAGGCAUAAAUGAGCUCAUCAUGCUAUUGUCUCAUUCCAUAUCAUAUUUCUCAUGUUUUGUUUUACUAUCUCAUCCGUUGAAUCAUUGGAAUUAUCGAUGGAUUUUCUAGUAGUACACACAAAGUGUACAUUUUCAUAUUUCGUCAAUUCAUAUCUAGGAUUUAGCCCUUAGGAUGUUAAAUCAUCAAGCACUCUCUCGAGUUACAUAUCAAGUAACCGUAGCGAAUCAGGAUUACCAUUUUAGGGAAAAUCCUAUUCACCUUGAGUUACCAUAGUGAAUCAGGAACAAAUCCAAUCCACUUAAUAUAUUUCUAGUGAAUCAGGAAUAAAUCCUAUUCACUUUAAUUUCUUUUAGUGAAUCAGGAAUAAAUCCUAUUCACUUUUAAUUCUCGAGAAGGCUUUUUUCAGAUUUUUCCAUCCGAGCUCAAUCCAUUUCUGCAACACAUGCAGAACCUCAUAUAUUUCGGGAAAUUUCCAUUAUCCUUCGAUCACCAAUAUUCAAACGGAAUUUCACCCAUUUAUUAAUUUCCAAACAUGUAUUAUUUCUUUCAUUUCACAUUUAUAUAAUUCAUAUAUUCAAUUUCAUACAUCAUAUACAAUACAAUACAACAUUUAAAUUAACAUAUUUACAUACUCAUUCAAGUUAUACGAACUUACCCCGAUAGCAACUUGUAAUCGAAAUUCUUUUAAUCCGAUAUCUUUUCUUUUCCACGAUCACUUUAAUUUUUCGAUCUUUCCGGGUCUAUAUAAAUAAAUUUAACAUAAAUUCAACAUAUUUCAUACUCAUUUGAAUGCAACUCAUGUUCUAGACAAAAUUACUAUUUUACCCCUAAACUUUUCAUAAAUUUCAUUUUUGUCCCUAGGCUCGGAAAUUAAUAUCUAUGCAAAUUAAUCCUUGUUCCAAGCUUAUUUGAUUUUUACAUCUCACAUUUACAGCACUUAUAUUUCAUAAAAUUUAGAAUUUUUCUUUAAAUUUCACAAGUUUACAAAUUAGUCUCUUUUUACACAACUUUUAAUUUAUUCUUCAAUUUAAUCCUUUACCUAAUUCUAACUUAAAAUUCUAUCAAUUUAACCCCUAAUUCAUCAAUUAAUUCAACAUAAAUCAUGUCCAAAAAUCUACUAACUUUCAAAAUUUCAACAUAUACUAAGUAAUAUUUUAUUCUAGGAUUCCAAAAACAUCAAAAUUAUAAGAAAAGGAACUAAAUUGGCUUACCAAUUGAACUUGAAACCUUAAACCCCAAUUUCUCCCUUUUCUUUCUUUUCCUUUUUCCUUUCUUUCUUUCUCCCCUGUUUUUUUUUUUCGUUUCUAUUAUAAAUACAUAUAUGUAUUGCAAAUGUACAUAUGUAUUUAUUACACAUUUACAUUAUUAUUACCACAUAAUUUUCAUAAUUUAAUUUAUUUAAUUUACUUUAUUUAAUUAAUAUAAUAUAAUAAUAUAAUAAUAUUUACUUAAAUUAUAAGUAAAUAUAUAAUAAUUACUAAUAUAUGUAUAUUAUUUAUACACAUGGAAAUUAUUUUUACCACACACAUGUCAAUUUAUGGUGUAAUUUCUUAUUUAGUCCCUUGAAUUUUCUCUAUUCUAUAAUUCAACUUUUACCCUAUGUUCAAUCUAGUCCUUCCACUCAAUUGCUCAUAAUUUAACAAAUUCACCUAUCCAAAACCUAAUUAACCACACAAUUAACUUCGUAAAUAUUUAUUAAAAAUAUUUACGAAUCUGGUUUACCGGAACGGAGUCCCGAAAAUACAUUUUUUUUCAAUUAACUACAAAAUCAAUAAUAUUUUAUUAUCAAAAUUUUCAUGCAACCUUUCUAUCAUAAUAUAGACCAUGCCAUAAUUUUAAAAUAAAAUUUUAUUUUUUAGCUCGGAUUUGUUGUCACGAAACCACUAUUCCAAUUUCACUGAAAAUAGGCUGUUACAGUACGAGGCAUUGUAUGGUCAAAAAUGUAGAACUCCAUUGUAUUGGACCGAGUUGAGUGAGAAAAGAUUCAUAGGAUCGAUUUGGUUAGAGAAACCAAAGAGAAAGUGAAAGUAAUUCGAGACUGCUUGAAAGUGGCUUCUAAUCGACAGAAAUCAUACGCAGAUUUGAAACGGAAAGACAUUGAAUUUUAGAUUGGUGAUAGAGUACUUCUGAAAGUGUCUUCGUGGAAAAAGAUUCUUCGCUUUAGUCGUAAAGGCAAAUUGAGUCCGAGAUUUAUUGGACCGUAUGAGAUAAUUGAAAGAAUAGGGCUGGUAACGUAUCGAUUAGCUUUGCUGACAAAAUUAGAGAAGAUUCAUAACGUGUUUCAUGUAUUGAUGUUGCGAUGAUAUUAUCGGAUCCAUCUCAAGUUAUUUCUCCGACUGAGGUAGAGAUUCAGCCGGGUAUGUCGUAUAGUGAAAAGCCGAUCAGAAUUUUAGCUCAAGAAAUCAAAGAAUUGAGAAACAAAUGUAUCGCUUUAGUGAAAGUAUUAUGGCUUCGUUAUGGUGUUGAAGAGUCUAUGUGGGAACCUGAGGAACCUAUGAGAAAAUAGUACCCUAACCUUUUCGAUGGUAAGAUUUUCGGGGACGAAAAUCCCUAAGGGGGAGAGUUGUAACAGUCCAUUUUUGGUCAAAUUAGAAAAGUGGUUUCGAGGCCACAAAUCCAAAGUCAAAAUAUUUAUUUUAUUAAUAUGAGGUCGAUACCAUGAUAGUAUGAAUGCGUGAAAAUUUCGUUAAGAAAUUUUAAUGUUUGAGUGCUCAAUUUGUAAAAAGGACUUAAUCGCGUAAAGUGCAAAACUAGAGGUCUAGAAGUUAAAAGCACUAAAUGGCUAUAGAAAGGAAAAGUAUGAGCACUUGCAUGAUAAUUAAACCAUUCAUAUUGUUAGUGGACAAUUAUGUGCAUGUUAGGUGAGUUUUAAUGAAUUAAAUUAAAUGGGUAAAUAAGGAAAUAGUUAAAUAACAUAGUGAAAUAAUGGAAAAUAUUGGAUCAUCUUCUCCACUAAGCUUACACCACCAAAAAUUGAAAGGAAAUAGCCAUUGGAGAAGCUUGAUAUUCGGCCAAGCAAGAGUCAUUGCAUGUAAGUCUAUUUUUGCCCCGUUUUUAAUGAUUUUUACAUUUUUUAGAUCAUUGUAACUUAAGCUAACUAUUGGAGGGAUUAAAUUGAGAAAUUGUUAAAAGUAUAGCAUAUUUUUGUUGAUGGAUUGGUGUGAGUUUUGAAGUUCAUUGAUAGUUUAUGAAUGCUUGUUGAAAGUUAAACAAUUUUUGUUAAUGGAUUUUUGAUGAAAAUGUGAAAUUGGGCUUUAUUUGUGAAAUGUGAAAUUUAUGUGGUAGAUUUAUGAAAGGAUGAAAAAUAUGGGCUGAUUUGAAUGCUAGGAGAAUUCAGCUAGCAUGGGUUGGGGUUAAAUUUCAUGAAUUUCUUAUUUUACGAGAUAGGAACUAAUUUGUAAAAAAUGCAAAACAUUGGGGGCAAAUGUGUAAAUUUGCCAAAUUAAGAAUUAUAGGCUUAAUUGAAUAUAUUUAAUGCUAAAAGGGUUAAAUUUGAUAACAUUUAGAUCAAGAUAAGCUGAGAUCAGACUUAGAUCAUGGAAAGAACAAAUUCGAGGAAUAGUCAAAUAAUUUCAUCGUUUUUGCAUCCGAGGUAAGUUUGUAUGUGAUAAACUUAUUUAAUGUUGUGUUUAAAUGCAUUGAUAUGGCAUAAAUUUUAUGUUUGAUAAUAUUGAAUUAUUCUGGAGAGAUUCUAUAAUGAUUUGAGAAAGAAAUUGCAAUCGACUCGAUGAUGAGCGACGAUGAUGUCUAAUAUGGUUUUGGUGUGCAAAGUCCCGGUUGAACCUUAGGAAUAAUUUAGGAUGCUAGUGACAUGUCAUUAAGGUAUUGAGAUCGGCACUUCGGGUGUGAGUUUCCUUGAGUUGGCUUAGAGCCAUGGUAUAGGCAUUUCAGAGAUUACCUUGAGUUGGCUUCGAGCAAUGGUAUAGGUACCUAUCGUAUGAGACUCUUGAGUGUCUGACUUCUAUUCUGUAUGGUUCAAUGGGAAAAUGGAAGAUAUGGAUGAUUGAGAGAUUGAUAUGGAAUGGUACAAGUACGUACAUAGUUGGUAUAAACCUUGAGUUAACAAAGGUAGAGAAUGAUAUGUUUACCCUUGUGAAUGAGUAAAUGAAAGGUUUGUAUAUUGAGGUGAAUUAAUUGUUAAUGAUUAUGAAAAUUGUUGAAUUAUGCAUACUUAAUGAAUUGAUUUAUUUCAUGCGAACUUAUUAAGCUUUAUAGCUUACGUUGUUAAUUUUCCAUUUUUUUAGUGACUUCAAAGCUAGCUCAGAUCCGGAGAUCGUUGGAAGCAUCGUCACACUAUCCACCAUUCUUUUGGUAUCUUGAAAACUAUAUUUUAGGUCAUAUGGAAUGUAUAGAGACUUGAGUCUUUUUGGCAUAUUUUGUUGGUAGAUGUGGCCAUGUGAUUUGGCUUGUGUAUAGUGAAAGUUUGAUGAUGUAUAAAGCCAUGUAAGUUGGCUUAUUUUGAUAACUAUAAUGGCAUGUAAAUAUAGAUGUAUGUUGCUCAUUGAUUGAUGUGGUUCAUGGUUGAAUUGUUAUUUGGUAUGUUUAAGGACUUAGGUAUAGAUAGGUAUGAUUGAAUGAGGUGGAUUGGGAUAGCAUGAAGUAGCAUUAUUGUCUUGAGGUUGAUUGAUGCUAGAAAUGGUUUUUAAUGAGCAUGAAUGAAGUUGUUGGAUUGUCUAAUUUAUGCUUUGAAUUGUUCCAUGUUAAUAGCUAUUGGAAGUAGGCAUGUUUAUGUGGAAUUGAAGGUGGAAAAUGGCUUGGAAAAUAGCCUAAAUGUUGUCCACACGGGCAUGUUUCUAGGCCGUGUGUCUAUGGGCAUGUGAUCCGGCCAUGUAUUCCCUGCAUUUUGUAUUUUUAGGUUCGAAUUGGCCAUACGGGUUGAUACACGACCGCGUGUCUUGGCCGUGUUGGAGACAAGGCUCAGGGACAUGGGCGUGUACCCUGGCCGUGUGAAGUCUGCACCUUAAUUUUGGAGUUUAAUUCGCCACACGAGCUGGACACACGGGCGUGUGGUCUGGCAGUGUGAUACAAGUCAGUAUUAGCCCUGUUUCAACAUGGCUUGGACACGGGAGUGUCUGAUGGCCGUGUGAGCCAUACGGGCUAGACACCGACGUGUGGUCUUGUCGUGUGAGAUAAGUCAGUAAGCUCACUUGUUUGGGCAUGAGGUUGGGACAUGGCCAUGUGACCCCAACAUGGUCAGUGGACACGGGCGUGUCACUUGGCUGUGUGAGUGACACGGCCUAGGCACAUGGGCGUGUGACCCUUGCAGUGAAGAAAAUUUUCAAAUUUUUGUAAAGGUUUCUUGAGUUAUCGGUUUAGUCCCGAACCCUUUUUAAUCAUGUUUUAAGGUCUCUUAGAGCCUUAUAAGGGACAAUGUUGAAUGAUUGAUAAAAGUUUUAAAUUUUAUGCAAGUUUAUGUUUGGAAAUGUGUUUGAUUGUUAUGGUGUAAGUUCGGUGUUGCCUCGUACCCUAUUCCAGCAUUGAAUAUGGGUAAGAGGGUGUUACAGACAAUAAGCGUCACAUGUUUAUUACAACAGUUGCAAAUGUAAUAUAAUAUUAGCCUCCAUUUAGGUCAGUCAAUAUUAACAUAACUUAAGUUACAUACACACAACGGAAAAAUUAUAAAAAUCUUAUUGUUAUUUAAAUUUAUUUAUAAAUUUUUUAAUACUUUUUGUUUAAAUUUUAUGAUUUUGUAACACCCUAAAUUUUGGAGUUAGAAGUUUUGGGGUUUUAUGGUUAUGGUUACAGAGAAGGGUGUGCUUUAGUGUUUAGUCGUGUGUUUAAGUGUGAGAAUGGGCUUGUUGGUCUGGUGGUUGAGUGUGUGUUAAUUUGUCUUUGGUCCCUGGUUCGAUUCCUUAUGUGAACUUUUUGGAGGAAUAUUUUUGUUUUGUGUUAAUUUAAUAUAUGGUUGUUUAAUUAUUUACUUAAUUAUUUACUUAAUUAUUUUUAUUUUAUUAUUUUGCUUUUUUUUCACGUUUUAUUUUCUCUCUUCUUCUUGGCUUUUAUUUUCUUUUCUUUGCUCCUUUACUUUUUGAAUCAGUAGUGUGGCGGUUUCAGCAAAGCUUCGUUUUUCUUUGUCAUCGAGUCAGCAUCGGGAUGUUUUCUUCACGAAACAGGUGUGGGUUCUAAAACUUUUCCAUAAAAUUUGCAAAUUAAUUUUGUUAGAAUGUGGCAAUAUUGGUGGAUAUUGGAAAUUGAUCAUUUAAGUACAGUAUUACUGCCGAAUGGUAUGGAAAUUCACUUUGGUUAGUGCGGUUCUGAGUUCCAUCAGUUGAGAAGAUGUGGUGACCCAAAAACUCAUUUUUCAAGCUGUCUUAGGGUGGUUUCGUGGCCACUGGGGUUUCCAUACGGGCUUGUGCCAAUUCACACGGCCCUGUGCCUUUGGGAAUUAGGGUUUUUGGGCCAAUUUUGGUGCCACACGGCUGUGUCCCUUGGGUACAUGGGCGUUUGUGUUUAGGGAUUAGGGUUUGAGUGAUUCGGUGCCACACAGUCUGGCCACACGACCGUGUGGCUAAUUCGGGGAUUUAGGGAUUCCACACGGACAUGUGUUUUGGACACACGGCUGUGUCAGCCCUAUACUCAAAUUUAGUGCAAAUAGACAGAGAGUUACACGGCCUACUCUCACGGCCAUGUCCUUGGUCCACACGGGCGUGUGCCUUAGUCACACUGCUAUGUGCCUCCUUUCACAUAGGCGUGUGCCUUAGUCACAUGGUUGUGUGCCCCUUUUCACGGGCUUUUGACCUCCCACAUGGCCUAGGCAAUUCCACACGUCCAUAGCACACAAGCAAGUGGUCUGAAGGCACUUAUAUUGGUUUUGUGUGCGGUUCUGAUUUGAAAAUGUGUUUGCGUGCUUUAACCCCCGGCUAAGCUUAAACAAGGGUAGUUAAGACUCCGUUUUGGGCUACGGCUUAAGUGUUAUUUUUUAUUGAUGUGGGGAAUGUCUGACUCUGAACCCGAUUAACCAGGGUGUGUGUGUGUGUAUAUGUGUUCUGUUUGAAUGUCUAAUACUGUGUCACUGUCCUGUGAGAUUGAAUGCAUUCAUACACUUGCAUAAACUAUUUUUGGGUUGGGUUGUGAAGAGAAGGAAGUUUGUUUCUGAUCUGAUCUGGUAGUUCUACUGCGACUUAUACGUACAGUGAAUUAUCACACUAUACUGUACGUACGUCAGCUUUGCUGCGUACUAUUAUCUGAUCUGGCAGUUUAACUGUAAUAGCCCAAUUUCAGUGAAAUCGGAAUAGUAGUUUUGAGAUCACAAAUCCGAGUCCGAAAAAUGAAAUUAUUUAAAUUUCAUAAAGUGAUAAGUAUUCUGAUAGGAAUAUUGCAUGAAAAUUUUUAUUGAAAAAUUUUAUCAAUUAUGUAUCUAAUUGCAAAAAGGACUAAAUUGAAUAAAAUGUUAAAGUUUCAUAUUAAUAGCUAUAGGGAUUAUAUAGCUAGAGAAUUCAAAGUGUGAGGUCUUUAUAUGGAAAUUAGACCAUUGAAGAAAAAUAUGUAGAUAUUUUUAAUGAGUCAUCUAUGGAAAAAUGGAAAAAGGUAAAGGACUAAAUUGGAAAGUGGAAAACUUAAAUGAUAUUAAUUAAAUUAAAUGAAAAAGAUAUCAUUUUAUCAUCUUCUUCCCCAAAAAUUCCAUGGAAACCCUAGGAGAGAGAAAGAAAACUUCUCAAGCUUGAAUUGGUAAGUUCUAUGUCCCGUUUUUAGUAAUUUUUAUAUUUUUGAGAUCGGGAAAGCUUAAUUUCUUUAUUUGAGUGAUUAAAUUGAAAGAAAACCAAAGUUUAGAAAAUUACCCAUGGAUGAAUAUGCUGUAAAUUGAAAGUUUUUGAUAGAAAAUGAAAGAUUAUUGAUAGAUAAAUCACUUUUACAAAGUGAUUUUUAGUAAAAGCAUGUGUAAGGACUAAAUUGCAAAAUAGUGAAAUUCUUGGAAAAAUUCUAAAAUUUUUGAAAUACAUGUGCUGUAAAAGUUAUAUUAAAAUUUUGAAUAAGCUUGGAAUAAGGAGCAAAUUGCAUGAAUUUCAAUUUCCGAACCUAGGGAUGAAAUUGGAAUUAAUUAAAAGUUUAGGGACAAAAUGGUACUUUUGCUUAAAAUGUGAAAUGAGCUUGAUUGAAUGUAAAAAAAAUCAUAGAAUAGAUGAUUAAAUUUAUUUAUAUAGAUCUGAAAGUGUCGAACAAAGAAAAAGAUCGAGGGAAAGAAAAAAGUCUCGGAUUAGUAGAUACGAACAAUUGUCAAGGUAAGUUCAUAUAACUAAAUUAGCGUGUAAAUGUGUUGAAUUGAUUGUUGAAUUACAUUUAUUAUGAUUUGUAAUUGGUAUGUACAAGUAAUAAACCAAUGUUGAUUUGUGAUUUUCAUAAAAAAAUGAUGAAAUGAUGCAUGAGUCCGUUUGAAUAUUGUUUUCCUAUUGGACAGGUUAUUACCGUGAAUAUGAGAUCUUGCAUAUGUUGCAAUAAAGGUUUUCCUUAAAGGAUAAUCAUUUGAUCUCAUUAUGGAAAGGAAAUGUACACCUUGUGUGUACCAUGUGAAAAUGGAUAACUUCGGCUAUCGAAUAUGUAAAGGAAAGGUAUACUUUGUGUAUACCAUAUGAAAAGGCUAUGUACACUAUGUGUGUACACUUGGAAAGGCUGGGUAUACUUUGUGUAUACCAUAUAAAAAGGAAGGGUAUACUUUGUGUAUACCACUUGAAAAGGAAAGGUACACUAUGUGUGUACACUUGAAAAGGUUAUGUGCACUUUGUGUGUACAAAUUGAAAAGGGUAUGUACACUUCGUGUGUACUACUUGAAAAAGGAAUGUACAUCUCGGGUGUACAAUUAGAAAAGAAAAGGUCCAUCGGAAAUUCAAAGAUUCAACUGAAAUGUAUUAACAAGUGAAAUAAGAAGAAAUGACAUGAUGGGCUCAUCUAUGCAUAUUAAUGUUUUUGGUACUAACCAAUUUGGUUGAAUGAUUGUGAAUAAGCCAUAUUUGCUAGUUUGCUAAAUUGAUGGAUAAGUUUCCUUAUGUGUGAAUUUACUUGUUAUAUAUGGAUGGUAAGUGUAGUAGGUUAUAUGAAAUUACUAAGCAUAUAAUUCUUACUAGGUUUAUUUUUCUCUGUUUUAUAGUGCUCAAAGCUCGUGAAGGUUGGAUUGAGUCGGAGCUUUCAUCACACUAUCAACUACUUAAUUUUGGUAUAAACGAUAAACCCAUUUUGAUAUAAUGGCAUGUAUAGGCUAAUGAGGCCAAAUGAUGAUGUAACAUAUUUGUUUACAACCUAGCCAUUGGAAUGGCUAGUAAUAUAUAUUUUGAGGUAAUAUGGUAUGUUCAUGUUCAACAAGAUACAAAUCACCUUUAUUAAGACAUGAUUUACAAAUCAAUGUAAAGGUAAGUUUCAAAUAUGGUCAAGAGUUGGAAAUGUUAGAUUGAAUUGUGGAAAUUGGUUGAAAUGGAUGGUAUAUACUUGUAAGUUUUCAUGCAGGAAAAUAGUUAAGUUUGGGUGAGAAAUAGGGCUAGGAAAUGGCCCUAAUUUGUCCACACAGGUAAGACACACGGGCAUGUGUCUAGGCCGUGUGUGACACACGGACAGCCCACGGGCAUGUGAAAUGACCGUGUGUCCCCUGUAUUCUUAAAUAUGAAGUCAGGUUAGUACACGGACAAAGGAUAUGGCCGUGUGUAUUGGUCGUGUGAAGAACACGAGUUUCAAGCAUGGUCGUGUGUCAAAAACAUGUGAAAAUAGCUUAACAAUGGUGAAAAAAUCAGUGUACCACACGGCCUAGCCACACGGGCGUGUGCCCAGGCUUGUGCCCUUUGAUGCUUAAGAAAUUGCAAGUCAGAACUGCCCACGGGCUGGCCCCACGGCCAUGGGAUCCCUACGGGCUGGCCACACGGCCAUGUCUCAAGCCACACUUGCGUGUGCCCCUAUCUUCAAGGUAAAAUUUUCAAAGUUGCCGGUUUAGUCCGAACCACUUCCAAAGUAUGUAUUGAGCCCCGUAGGCCCAUAUUAGGGACUUUAUGGUGAAAUAUGAAAAGUUUUAAUUUGGAAAGAAAAUUUUUGACUCAGUUUUAUAUCAAUACUAGUGUAAAAGUCCGGUAAUGCCUCGUAAUCUUAUUCUGGUGACGGAUACGGGUUAGGGGUGUUACAUUAACUGCAUCUUACCGGUAUAGCAGAUUAUCGUAUUGCACUGUACGCAUAUACUUCAGCUUUGUUGUGUAUUAAUAUUAUCUAUUCUGGCAGCUUAAACUGCAACAUGACUGUACAACGGACUAUCGCAUUGCACUAUACUGCAUAUACGUCAGCUCUGCUGCGUAUUAUUAUCUGAGUGGCUUAGUCCACAUUUGUGGUGUGUAGGGUUGGAUGGGCCUGUCAAGGUCCUACGUGGUGUGUUUCGGUUGGAUGAGCUUAAUAGCUCUUAUGGGGUGUGAUUGGGGGACGAAGGGAUGUGUUGGCUAGAUGGGUGGGGUUUUUCAUCUGACUGCAUUUCAUUUGCAUUUGUCUAUGAGUUCUCUCUGUAAGAUUAGUUGACUGUAAUCUGUUCGUCUGAACAACAUUUGUGUUGAGACUUUUGUGUGAACUUGAUGUGCUUUGAUUGAUAAGUUUGGUUGGGAUACUAGUUCCAAGUAUACUCUCUGACUCUGUGUGUGUUUAAAAUUCUGUUACUCUUCUCAUUUGAAUAUUGUAUUUCUAUUCUUUAUCUUGAUUCGAACUCAUACUGAGCUCGAGUAGCUCACCCCCUCUUAGUGUUUCCUUUUUAGGUACAUUCCUGAAUUCUGACGCUGGGCUCGGUAUGCGAAGGUCUCGAACAGUCUAAGAAAAGAAAAAAUUAUCAAUUUGUUUCUAUUUGUUAAUUGUUUUUGGACUGUAAGAUUUUAUUAAACUGUGGUACAAGUUCCAUUUUUUUUAAGUUCCAUUCGUUUUCUUAUUAAUUCUGGUUUUAUAUAUAUAUAUUUAAACAUAACUGUAAUUUUUCUAACUGGCUUUUAAAUGAUUAAACGUUUCGAUUCUAUGCGACAACUUGUUUUGUAAAAAUUUACCUACGAUCACUUCGGUGAUCAAUGCGACAUCUGGAAUUCGGUCUAAACUUCUAGGCCGGGUUUAGGGUUCUAUAGAUUUUUUUUAAGUUUUCAAAUAUUUUUAAAUAGUGAAUCUAUCAAAUAAAAGAUCAAAUUGAUUGAAUUCAAUCAAAUCAAGAAUUGAUUAUUUCACUCGUUCAAUCAUCGGUCCAAUUUACAAGAUUAUGUAAUUUAAAGUAUUAUUAUUAUUAUGAAAAAGAAAAGAAAAGGAUAAUAAAGAUAUUUCCUGCCCAAGGGAGCCUUUUGGACCUCCUCCUCCUUCUCCUUCUACUUCUUCUUCUUCUCCUUCUUCUUCUCCUGCUUCUCAUUCUCCUUCUCCUUCUCCUUAUUAUUAUUUUUAUUAUGAAAAAGAAAAGAAAAGGAUAAUAAAGAUAUUUCCUGCCCAAGGAAGCCUUUUGGACCUCCUCCUCCUCCUUCUGCUUCUGCUUCUACUUCUCUUUCUGCUUCUUCUUCUCCUUCUCCUUCUCCUUCUCCUUCUCCUUCUCCUUCUCCUUCUCCUUCUCAUUCUCCUCCUUCUUCUUCUUCUUUAUUAUUAUUAUUAUUAUUAUUAUUAUUAUUAUUAUACCUAAAGUUUCAAAAGGUUUAUACUCAUUACUCCAAAGCAUAAUUCCAUAAAAAAACUUUUUUUUUUCGAAAUAAAUUCAAAAAUAAAAAUAGAGAAAAUAACAAAAAAAUUACAAUUUUUAAAAAAUUGAAAAAAAAAUUUAAGUUAUAAUUUUGGGAUUCCUUCAUUUGGUUCUAUAUUUGUCCACUUGCUUGAGUGUUUAAGAGUUAAAGGACAAACUAUUAAGUAGAAAACACCAAACGAAUUGGAAGGCUUUUGUCUUCUUCAAUUAGUAUGACCUAUAUUUCUUAUUAAACUUCACAUUUUACAUUCAAUAUCAUCAUCACAAUCAUUUUAAUUUAUUUUCAUGAAUAAACUUUUAUGUCCAUUUUAUUCUGAAUCAUUAAAAAUUAUUAAUUGAAUUAAUUCUUUAAGAUGGUACCGUCAACGUGUCAAGCGAUACCAAUUUAAAUUUUUUAAAAAUUUAUUUAAAUUAUUUUGACUCCAUUCAAUGAUCCGAACAGUGAGGUGGUUUGUUUAAUCACCGGGAAUAAUAUAUAUCUGACUGGCGACAAUCUGGUGGAACGAAAUAGAGAUCAAAGAAAGAGUAGUUUGAAGCCUUGGUCAUUAUUUUAAAGGAUUUGGAGCCGACUUCUAGGAAAUCUGAAUCGUAGAAGUGAAUGAAGAAGAAAUCUCUUCUUUGGUGUUGUAAUCGACACAAAAGGCCAUUGUGAACGGCAACAUCGAUAGUUAUUGAGUAUAGUGACUAAAAUUUUCAACUAAAAAAAAGGAAUGGAAAGAAAAACAAAAAGAAAAACGUGAAAAGAAAUAAAGAAAGAUAGAAUAAUAAUAAUAAUAAUAAUAAGAGAAUUGUGGGGGCGAUGCUUUUGAACAAAUCUUGAUUUAAACUAUAUAAAAAAAUAUGCGUUAUAUAUAUAAUCAAUUAUAUACUUAAUAAAUUAUAUCUAAUGUUAUAUUUUCAUAUUCUUAGGAAGUGGUGACAUACGAGCACUUGAUUCGAUUUAUUUUUUUAUCUCCCCGUGAAUUGUAUAUUUGUAACAAUAGGGACAAAAUUUCUUCAAUUCCAAUCGACUGGGCGUGUUGUGUCGAUUUUUUUGAGUAAUAUACCUGAAAAUACCCGUUGAUUCCUUAUUAACGCCGUUUCGAACACAACUGGUACACUCCAAAAUAAUCGUUACUCUGACAUAUUUACUCUUGACCAUGAACCUCCUUUGAGUUUUUAAUUCGCCCAACUUUUCUAUUUUCCAAUCAAAAGUGAAGAAGAAAGGAAUGAAAAAAAGAAAGAAAUAAAAGUUGCUAACUCAAAACCAUAUCCUGAAAAAUUUCGUUGCAAUCAGUAUAGUAAAUCAAUAUAGAUUUAUAGUAAUAACAAAUAAUAAGUAGGGGCGAAGCCAGAAAAAUAUUUUAGGGGGGCCGGAUGAAAUUUUAAUUUUUUAUAGUUUAUAUCUUUAUAAUUUAUAAAGGAUUAAAUCGAAUUUUUAUAAUUUUAGGGGAGCCAAAGUAUAAUUUUAGCUUUACUAAUUUAAAAUUUUAAAAAAAAUUUAAGAGCGUAAAAUAAAAUUUUACAUUUUAGGGGGGUCGGGGCCCAUGCCAGCCCCCCUGGCGUUGCCUUUGAUAAUAAGAGUAAGUAAUACAACGAUGUCUAACUCUAUUUAGAAUCAAAAUAGAGUAUGGUAUUUUCUUUAAUCGGUUAAUUGAAUUCAAAAUAUUCAAUUAAAAUAAAUUAAACCGUAUAAAUUUUAUAAUUUUAAAUUAUUAUUUUGUAUUAAUUUGAAAACAAAAUAAAUAUUAUAUACAAUGAUUUAGUUGCAGCGUGUCAACAUGAUAAAUAUGCCAGGUGUCAAAUAAUCAAACCUCCAUGUUAGCUUGAAGUCUAAUACCUUGUAAUAUAUAAAUUUAACAGAUAAUUAAUAACUAAAAAAUUAAAUAGCACUAGCAUAAUUGCGCCACUUCUCACCAUUUUAAUGUAUGCAACUAAUUAUAUAUUUAUAUAUAUAUAUAUUAUCAUUUCAUUUAAAAUCAUUUAAUUUUUAUAUUAAUUUUUAUAAAUUUAGGGAUAAAUCUCAAAAUUAUACAUAAACUUUAAUUUGGUGCAAUUAUACACGUGAUACUCUAAUUGUGGUUCAAAUAUAUACCUGAAACUUUAAUUUUGAUUUAAUCAUACACAUUUAAAUAAAUAAAUAAAUACAUCAAUUUAUUUUUAUAUUGGGUAAAUAUAAUUAUUUAUGUGUGCAAUAUAUAACAUAAAAUGAUGUUAUAUCAAUAAUUAUGUUAAUAAUUUACAAGAAUUGGAUCAAAUCAAAAGUUGUAUUACACAAAAUCAAAGUUCAUGUAUACAAUUGCACAUUAAACCAUAAUUCAUGUAUAGUUUUGGUAUUUAUCCCAUAAAUUUAUUACAUAAACUUUUUACUUAUAUCAUAUAUAAAGUUGUCCAUGAACCGAGCCAAGGAAUGCCCGCUUGAAAAAAUGAGAGGGUUUGGAAAAAAUAUAUACCCAAAAAAUAUAUCCACCAAGUGUGUCUAGGUACCAAAGUCAAAUUAACCUUAGAACAAACAAAAUUAAAAAGUGCACCUAUAAAAGCACCACAAGAGAAAUAAUCAUCCUUAGUUGAUUUGUUUCUUUUGUGAUGUUAUAGCUUUCUUAUUUUUCUUUGCAUACUUCACUGAAAUUAGAUUUGUUAAGAAUAUGUAAAUUUCAACUUAAUCAUUCUUGACAAACCUCUUCUCAAUGUCGCUCAUGAAUUCCUUAAUAGCGCCUUUAAAUGUUUCUAGAAUGACAUUCUUCAUGAUCAUCAUACACAUGCGAUUUGAUCUCUCCCACCUUUUUCAUUAGAGGUACUCUCAUAUAUAAGCAAUGGACAAGAAUCAACCUUUAAUGCAAGGUCGAGACCCAUGAUUUCGAGAACUAUCUUAAGAUUCUCUUGCCAUAACUUGAAUCAAACAAUUGUAGUUGAAUAAAACAAAACAAUCUCAUGUAAGACUUAAAAUAUAAAACAAAAUAAUAAUUAAUUCGAAUAAAAGUAAACCAUAUGAUACCAAUCACUCCAUUAAUAUUUCAUGUUUGGAUAAAUAUAUUAACUUGUAAGUGAUAUCUAGGUGUAGUAAUUAAACACUUAUAAUAAACAUUACAUGUUUAUUACAAUAGUUGCAAAUGUAAUUUUGUUAAACAUUAGCAUUUGUUUCGGCCAAUCAAUAGUAACAUAACUUAAGUUACAUGCACACAACCCCAAAAGCAUAAAAAUCUUAUUGUUAUUUAAAUAUAUUUAUAAAUUUUAAAUACUUUUUUAAAAAUUUAUAAUUUUUUAAAAUUUCCAAAAUUAUUUAAAUAUUAAACCCAUCAUAUUAGAGAUCAUAUUGAUUAAAUUCAAUCAAAUCGAGAAUUAAUUAUUUUACUAGUUCAAUCACCCGUCCAAUUUAAAAUAUCAUGUAAUAAAGUAAUUCAAUGACCCUUACAAUUUAAAUUCUGAUAAACCAUAAAGCUAAAAAAAAAGGUUACAACAAAUAUGAUUAAUGUUAUUUUUUAUAUAUACUUAAUAAAAGUUAAAAAGGGAAUUUCAUUUAUUGAAUAUUAUUUUAUUUAAUAAAACAUGAUUAUUAUAUUUUAUAUAAAAUUGAAAUAUUUUAUUGAAAUAGUGUUAGCUAAAUUUUAUUAUUUUUAUUUCUUUAUCAAUAAAAUUAAUUUUAAUAAAAUUUGAGAUAAAAAGAUGUAAUAGAAAAUUAAAUUAGUAAAUAAUUACUUCAUAAUUUAUAGUCAUUAUAAAUGAAAAGUUAUUAUAAAACGAUAAAUAUUAAAUAUAAAAAAAAUCAAUUCUACAAUAAAUCUAAUUGUUAUAAUGAAAUAUUUUUAUAAAAGAAAAACAAAUAUUAUAGAAAAAACUUAUUGAAUAUAUUUAGAAGUUUGGACGCUCAUAAAAAAAAGUGGUCCAAAGGUGAUCCUAUUAAUUUACCUCACAUUUGAUAUCUUUAUCAAUUUUGGAGGUUUAUCCUUUCCCAUCUCUAUAAAUUCGCAUGGAGAAAUAAAGCAGUACAUCAACACAAUCUGUAUAACCAAGAAAACUACAGCAGCUUCAGUGUUUCUUCUUUUAUUCAUCUUCUCAGUCACACCAUCAUCCUUUUGUUUGGCGUAGCCAACGCUACAAACGAACUUGUACUCGACAUUGAUGGCAACGAGGUUUAAACAGGCACCCCAUAUUACGUUGUGUCAUCAAUAUGGGGUGCUGGUGGGGGGGCUUGCCCUAGCCAGGCCAAGCGAAAACAAAUGCCCGAAAGUCGUUGCUCAAAGACGAUCCGUUGACGAUGGUAUUCCGGUGAUAUUUUCUAAUUCGGACUCCAACGAUGGCGUUGUUCGCCUAUCCUCUGACAUAAACAUAGAGUUCAUUCCCCUCAGACCUAAACUUUGCUGAAUAACAACAGUGUUGAAGGUCGAUGAUUACGGUUUCAGCCGAAAAAUGAUGGGUGAUAACCGAUGGGGCUAAAGGGAACCCAGGUGCCAACACUUUGACCAGUUGGUUUAGAAUAGAGAAGGUGAGUGAUAUUGGUUGCAAAUUUAAAUACUGCCCGCAGUAUGUGGAACAUGCCCAGCCUUAUGCAACGAAAUUGGGAGAGAAUUUGAUGGAGAAAUGGUACGUUUGGCUCUCUCCACUGGCAAUGGAUGGCCAUUUUACUUUAAGAAAGUUGAAAAAUCAGCCAUGGAGAUUCAACAAAUUGUUAAUAAUUAGAUUGAAAGCAAUCAUUAUGCAUGAACUAGAAGUUACUAUAUAAUAUUAGCUUCAAGUAAAUAAUGCUGAGAGAACUUAUUGUUAAGAUUGCCUUGUUUGAAGCGACAGCAUGUAUAUAUAUAUGUUUGAUUACAAGGUUUGUCUCUCAGAGUCCUUCUCUUUGUACUCUUUUCAGCUUAAUGAAUAAACUGUUUACUUAUUUACAUCUUUUGUUGCCAUUGAUUCUAGUAGCAUUAGACUCAUUAACUUGGAUACAUUACCUUGUAAUUAACCAAAAAGUUAUGUAUAUAUAUAUCAAAACAAAAAAAGAGAGUGAGAGAGGAAAAUAGACUACCAAGUACCAAGUGAAAAAUGGUAAUACUAAAUUUUCAAGUAUGUAACACCCCUCACCCUAUUCAACUCCGGAAUAGGGUUAUGGAGUAUUACUGAACAUUUUAUACAAUUACACAUACAUUUCACAUACAUUUUCAAGUUUCAAGCAAUCAUCAUUCAAUAACAUUCAUAUCGUCCCUAGUAUAAGCCUAUGAGGCCCAAAAUAUGCAUUUGGGAUGGUUUGGGACUAAACCGAUAACUCAGGAAACUUUUGGAACACUUAGAAAUUUUUUUGCAAAAUAUAGGGGACACACGCCCGUGUGGCCCGGCCGUGUGUCUCACACGACCAAAGACAUGCCCGUGUCACAGGCCGUAUGGACAUUUGAAAUGGGAUCACAUGGCGAUGUCUCAGCCCAUGUUCGACCCCGUGUAACUCUCUGACUUGGGUCACACGGCCAACACACACGCCUGUGUGGCUAGCCCGUGUGCCUUCAAAAUGGCCACACAUGCCUAUGUGGCAGGCCGUUUGCUAGGCCGUGUCAAACCUGUAAGGUAUACUGACUUAUGUCACACGGCCAAGUCACACACCCGUGUGCUAGGCCGUGUGGAGCAUACUGACUUGAUUUUAAUUUCAACACCAGGGGAGACACGGCCGUGCAACCUAACCGUAUAUCACACAAGGCUGAGACACACCCCCGUGUCUCUACCCGUGUGGACAAAAAUAGGCUAUUUACCAAGCCAAUUUGCCACCCAACUUGCACAUACCUAAACCAACCCAUUUGGCACCAAAACAUAACAUAUAUAGGCACUCAUCCAAUCUCAACCAAGCAUAAAACAUACCAUUUCAAUACCAACAACAACAUGUCUCACAUAAACCAUAAUUUAUUAUUCAAUAUCGUUACAAAAUUCACUUACACAAACUAUGAAAAUAACCAAUUUCAAAUAUGCAUUACUUGCCUGAUUCCACUAGCAUACAAAUAUCCACAACUCAACCAUUUUCUAUCCAUUACAACAAGCAUCAUAUAACCAUAUUCAAACACAUAAUAUGAACUAUAUGCACAAUUGUAUACACAACUAAACCAAUCAAGUUAAGCCAACUUUCAUGGCUAUAUACAAAACCAAAUAUUAAACAUCUACAAGCCAACUUAAAUGGCUAAAUUCAUAGUUAACAUAUAUACCAAAAUAACCAAACUUCUAUACAUGCCAUAUACUCAAAAUACUUAAGUUCAAAAGUACCAAAGUGAUAGUAGGAUAGUGUGAUGAAGUCUCCGAUAAUUCCCAAAUCCGAGCUAGCUUUGAAAUCACUAUAAAACACAUAAAAAUAAACGAUGUAAGCUAUAAAGCUUAGUAAGCUUGUAUGAAUUAAUAAGCAAACUCACCAUUUAUUCACAAUCAAAUAAUAUAAACAUAAUAUGCUACAAAACAUUCAAAUCAAAAUGUUAACUUGUAUUCAAUUACAAAUAUAAUCAUGAACUUAUAACUUCCAUAAAUUCGAUGCUCACAUAGUUUCCGUACAUACCUGUAUUGUUACAUAUCUAUUCUCACCAUUUCAUAUCUUUGAUAUACCCGUUGAACCAUUUGGAUUAAUAUCAGAUACCUGGGAAUCUCGCACAAUAAGUGCCAUUAUAAAUAUAGCUGACGCUAUCUCAAUAAAUCUCGCACCCAAAGUGCCAAUAUAUAUAGCUGAAGCUAUCUCGACAAUGCUCAUUCUCAAGCUAAUAAAUAGGUCUACUCACAUAAGUUGAUGGUCAUGAUGAAGCUACACAAGCUAACGAGAAUCAGUAACACAUGCUGGAUAUCUCAGCCACUGGUAGGACGUACGGACCAGCACCCAAAACAAUAAUAACCCCUAAUGACAUGUCAUUUGUAUCCUAAACUGUUCCUAAGGUUCAACCGGGAUUUCCAAUGUCGAAUCUUCGUCGAAUAAGUCUGCAAUAUCGUAUUCACAAUUUAUGCAAUAUUAAAGCAAUUAAAAUACAAUUAAAACAAAGCUUAUUACAUACGAACUUACUUAGAUGCAAAAACGGCAAAUUAAGUCGAUUAAUUUGAAACUUUGUUCUUUCCGCUAUCUAAAUCCGUAUUUCACCUUUCUUGAUCUAAAUAUAAUCAAAAUUAACUUAUUUAAUAAUCUCUUUAUUCAAUUUAAUCCAAAAUACACUUUAAAACCAUUUUACACUUUUGCACCUAAUAUUUCACAUUUUUACAAUUUAGUCCUUAUCUCAUGAAAAUAAAAAUUCAUGAAAUUCAACUUAUAACCAUGCUAGCCGAAUUUCAAUUAGAUCCCUAGCAGCCUAUAUAUUUUCAUUUAUUUCAAAAUUUAAUCACAAAAUUUCGACAUUUCUCAAUUUAAUCCCUAGUUUGUUUUUCACUAAAAAUCACUUAACAAAACUUGUAUAACUAUCAUCAAACAUUCAUAAUCCAUCAUCAAUCAUUAAAGCUCAUACAUAUUCAUCAAUGGAAACAUCCUAAACCUUUAAAAAUUUUGCAAAUUAGUCCCUAGGCUAGCUAGACCUAGUUGUAACAAUCCCGAAAACAUAGAAAUCGUUAAAAACCGAGUCAAAAAUGACUUACAUGCACUAGGAGAAGUAACUGAAUACUUCAAGCUAUUCCCAUGACUUUUCUUAGGUUAAAAAUUGGUGGAGAAGAUGAAUGAAAGAAUAAAAUUUCUUUUGUUUUAUUAAAUUUACCUUUAAUUACCAAUUUACACUAUUAACAUUUAAAAUACUUAUUAAUUGCACCAAUACCAUGCCACUAUCAUCCACUAUCUCAUAAGUGGGCUAAUUACCACAUAAGGACAUCUAAUUUUAAGCUCUAUAGCUAUUAGACACCUUUAGCUAUUAGAACACAAGUUUUACGCUUUAUGCGAUUUAGUCCUUUUUAUCAAAUUGACCAUUCAAACAAUAAAAUUUCUUAACGAAAAUUUCACACAACUAUGCUAUCAUGCUGUUGACACUAAAAUGAUAAAAAAUAAUUAUUUUAACUUCAAAUUUGUGGUCUCGUAACUACUAUUCUGAUUUAACUAAAAACGGGUUGUUACAAGGUAUAUGGCAUUGUUUGUGUGUGACAAACACCAAGUAUAAAUAGGUGGAAGUAUGAAUACUUAUCAAAGGGUGGUAUGGUUCAAAAACUACCCCUAUCGAAUUAUUUCAUCCUACUCGUUCGUUAUCGAUAGGAAGAAAGAUACUUCCAACAAGAGAUAUUAUGAAGGGUUAGUAUCGAGUUAGCUAAAAAUCAAAGUUUAUCAGAAGCUCGAUCUAAAAUUCACAAAAAGGAGGAUUAUUCAAAGUGAUUUCAAUGGACAAGAUUAUUCAAAGCAAUUUCAAUAGACAAUGGGGAUGGAAUAGUCGUUGAGUGGUUAGGGCACCUUAUCCUUUUAGAUAAAGAAGGGUUGGUCCAUGUUUGGAGUUCGUGACUAACCCUUACAACAAUGUCAUUUUUAAGGUUUGAACUUGUGUCAUCCUUUAAACAUGUAAUGUAUCUUACCCUUACACCUAACAUUGUUGGUGAUUUACUUUAUUAUAUUCUUAAUUAACAAUUAUGAUAUAUUGUAUGUUUAAGAUGGAUUUUCUUAUUCAUGUAUAUCAAUUGAAUCAAAUAUUUGUAUUUAAAAUUUUAACUCGACAUAUCGAAGGUCUGCUACUCUAGCAUGUUUUGGUUUUUUUAGGGUUUUUUUGGCUUAUUUCUCUUUGUUCUGGCGAUGAAAGUUCUUGGGAUAGAGUAUUUCUUAUCAAUCUAGUUGAUUUUGAUUAGUGGCAAUGGAGGAUGAAUUGGCAGAGUUAACAUUGGAAGAUAAGGAAUAAGAGAUUUUGCAAUUACAAAAGGAAAUUGAUUCUGCGACGGUGGUUUAUAAUCCUUGUCUGGUUGGAUGCUUUCUCACAACAAGUGUAAUCCACUUUACGACAAUGAGAAACGCGGUGGUGAAUCUAUGGCAUCCUCUUAGAGGAGUUUAGAUCUUUAAUUUGGGGGAUAAGAGGUUAUUAUUUCAAUUUUUCAUAAAAUAGAUAUUGAUAGGUUACUAAAUGGGAAUCCAUGGACUUUCAAUAAUCAUCUUUUGGUGAUUCAUUAUUUGAAGAAUGGUGAGGAUCUGAUGAAGGUACCGCUAAUCUAUAAGACUUUUUGGGUAAAAGUGCAUGAUAUACCCCUAGGAUGUUUUACUAAAUUUAUAGCAAAGAAGUUAGGCGAUUUUAAGGGUAAGUUUUUUGGACCGAUGGCAAAAUUUUGGGUAAGGGCCUCAGGAAUUUCUUAAGUAUACGGGUUUAGAUGGAUUUAGACGCUCUUUGAAGCGAAAAAAGAAGAUUAUGUUUUCACUUGGCAAGUGUUUCUAUGUCAACUUUAUAUACGAAUGACUGACUCUGUUCUAUUUUUCUAUGGUUGUUUGGGACACAAUGACUCUUUCUAUCAAGUUAGAAUGGCUAAAGGCUUAGAAGUUGUAGAGAUGAGAUGGCAUCUGUCUCUAAAAGCCCAGUCUAGGAGAGUUGCUGCGAUGAAUAGUGUGUGGCUGCUGGAGGAAGGUGAAGGGGAGAUAAAGGGAAAUACCCUAGGACAUUUUGAUUUAGGGUAGGGAUUGUGGGAGGAUGGAAGGAAAGAAUCUGGGAUACCUAUAGAUCCUAUGUUAGGGUUAAAUUUGGAGGGUGAUUUGAAAUUAGUGUCGGGUAUGCAAGGGGACUCUUCAAAGAUACAGGAACAAUCGAAUAUGGAUCACGACUCAGAGGAAUGCACUAUAGAAGGUGAAGAUGGGAAAAAAGGACCCAAAAAGGAUAAUGGAAAUCAUAGUGUUUCGAUUAUGACAGAUUCACUUGUGAUUAGAGAUGAGAGAUCGUUGGGACGAACUCACUUUUUAUCUGUGGCUGCCAAAGGGCAAGAUGAUCGGUUGCAAUGAAAAUAAUUAGUUGGAACGUCCAUUGAUUGGGGUGUCCACGGGCUAAAGAAGGCUUUGACAUAUGCUGAAGGUGUAUAAUCCCCAAGUGGUCUUCUUUAUGGAGACAAAAAAUAGUAAUGUGUGAAUGGAGAAUGUGCAUAGAAGGUGUGGAUUUUUAAAUGGUAUUGAUGUUUCAGCCGAUAGUUCAAUAGGAGGUCAUUUUGUAGCUUGGAAGGAAAAUGUUAAAACGAAUUUAAGGAGUCAUUCUAGUGGUCAUGUAGAUGUUGUAUUUUAGGAGAUUAUUGGGGAAAAUAGUGGAGGUUUACUGGCUUCUAUGAGACAUUGAAUGCGUGUAGUAGAGAUGAUUCAUGGAAUUUGUUAAGAAAUAUAGGAUGCUCUCAAGAGUUCCCUUGGCUAGUGUGUGACAAUUUUAAUAAAAUUAUGUACUCUUUUGAAAAGGUUGGGGUGCCAAGAGAGGAGAGGAGAAUGGAGGUCUUUCGAGGAGUCUUAGAGGAAUGUCAGUUAAUAAACAUUGUAUACUUUAGGGCUUAGUUUACCUGGGAAAAGGGAAACUUACCAAAAAUGAAUAUGAAAGAGCGGCUGGAUAGAGGAGUGGCGAAUGAUGAAUGGGUGAACAUGUUUUCUAGUGCAGUGAUUUAGCAUUUACCACAUUUUUUUGGGAUCAUUUUCCCCUUAUUAAUCAUACGAAGAUGGUGAGUAAUAGGUUGAGGUAGAAAAGGUUUCAAUCUGAGGCGUGGUGGGUGAUGGAAGAAUCUUUUGAGGAGGAGGUUAAACGAAUAUGUCAAUCUACUUAGGGUGAUAUGUUGGCUAAGCUAGAAGGUGUAAGGAAGAGCUUGGUGAGAUGAGGAGGUUUUGUUAGAAAUAAAAGGGAGGGCCUUAAGAGGGAUCUGACUAGAAAAUUGGAAGAGAUGAUGGGAAAGGAUAGAGAUGAUGAGAAUAUUGUUGAACUAUCUUAAGAUUCUCUUGUCAUAACUUGAAGUUGGUGUCAUUUAAUAUAAGAAUACAAUUAAUGCAUGCAAUAAUGUUGGUAGGUAUAAUUGUAGUUGUAUCAAACAAAACUAUCUCACGUAAGACUUCAAAUAUAAAACAAAAUAAUAAUUAAUUCAAAUAAAGGUAAACCCUAAGAUACCAAUUACUCCAUUAAUAUUUUAUUUUUGGACAAAUAUAUUAAUUUGUAAAUGAUAUCUUAGUGUAGUAAUUAAACACCGACAAUAAGCGUCACAUGUUUAUUACAAUAGUUGCAAAUAUAAUUUUGUUAAAUAUUAGCCUCCAUUUAGGCCAAUCAAUAUUAACAUAAGUUACAUGCACACAACCCCAAAAUUAUAAAAGUCUUAUUGUUAAAUCGAUUUGGUUCUUUUGACAUGGGGAAGCCGAAUUGCAUAAACAAUCAAUGUAUUCCCUAUUUUAUUCAUGUUUAUCACAGUGUUCGAAGGAGUGCUCACUCUUUUAGAUGUGCUUACCAUUGAGGUUGAAAAGCAUCAUUCAACCCAAACAAUUAUUUCAAGCCAAACAUUGAUUUAAAACUAGGAUUUUAAGCCAACCCAAAACUUCUAGCUUUUACCUUUUGGAAAAGUGCUUUUCAAUUAAAAACCUUUUUAUUCCUCAUUAAAUCUUCUACUUUACAACAUAAUAUUUAAAAUGGAAAUUUUAUUUUCUCAAAAGCAGUUAUAGAUAUUAAUUUUUUAAAAUCACUUUACUACGGCACUAUUAAACUUAAAUAACAAUCAGGCCUUUAACCACUCUUUUCCAACAAAGAGCUUAGCAAUAGUUUGGGCCAACAAAAAUAAUGUAAAUAUGAAAAACGAAUAUAGAAUUUGAAUGUCCGAUCAAUUUUUUGAAUAAUUAAUUAAAAAGAAUGCUUGAAUUCAGAAAAUCUAAAAAAAAUGAUAAAAAAUGUGGAAGCGCACACUUGUACGAUGAAUAGUAAUGAUAAUAAUGAUCGAAGUUGUUUUCUUGGCACAAGGAACUUAUGGAAUUCGUCCAUUUGGUUCUAUAUUUUCCCAGUUGCUUGAGUGUUUAAGACUAAAAGGACAAAAUAUUAAGUAGAAAACACCAAACGAAUUGAAUUGGCUUUUUUUAAGAUGAUGUCGGUAAUGUAUCAGGGAUACCGAUUUGAAUUUUUAAAAAAUCGAAAAAAAAAAUUAUUUUUUAGAUUGAAUCAGCAGCAAGAAAAAAAGAAAAAAGAGAACUUUGAGUUUAAGUUCGGAGCUCUGAGAUUUCGUUCGGUGAUCUAAAUUGUGAGGUGAUGUGUUUAACCACGGGGAAUAACAUAUAUUCGACUAACAACAAUUUGAUGGAGCGAAACAGGAAUUGAAGAAAGAGUAGUUUGAAGACUUGGUCAUUGUUUUAAAGGAUUUCGAACCGAUUCUUAGGAAAUUUAAAUCGUAGAAGUGAACAAAAAUUCUUCUUUGGUGCCGCAAUAGGCACAAAAGGCCAUUGUGAACGGCAACAUCGACAAUUAUUGAAUACGGUAGCUAAAAUUUUCAAUUGAAAAAAGAAAAUAAAUAAAAUAAAACAAAAACAAAAACAAAAUAAUAAUAAUAAUAAUAACAUGAACUAUCUUAAUAUAAGAAUACAAUUAAUGCAUGUAGUAAUGUUGGCAGGUAUGAUUGUAGCUGUAUCAAACAAAAUAAUCUCAAGUAAGAUUUCAAAUAUAAAACAAAAUAAUAAUUAAUUCAAAUAAAGGUAAACUGUGAGAUACUAAUUACUCUAUUAAUAUUUCAUCUUUGGACAAAUAUAUUAAUUUGUAAAUGAUAUCUUGGUGUAGUAAUUAGAUAUUGAGACUAAGCGUCGCAUGUUUAUUACAAUAGUUGCAAAUGUAAUUUUGUUAAAUAUUACAUCUAUUUAGGCCAGUCAAUAUUAACAUAACUUAAAUUACAUACACAAAAUCCCAAAAUUAUAAAAACCUUAUUGUUAUUUAAAUAUAUUUAUAAAUUUUUAAAUACUUUUUGUUUGAAUUUUAUGAUUUUUUGAAUAGUAAACUCAUCGAAUCAAAGAUCAGAUUGAUUGACUUUAAUCAAAUCAAGAAUUGAUUAUUUCACUAAUUCACUGGCCUAAUUUACAAGAAUGUAUUAUUAUUAUUAUUAUUAUUAUUAUUAUUAUUAUUAUUAUUAUUAUUAUUAUUACGUGUCACUCAGCAUUUGAUUAUGAGAAGAUAAGAAAGACGAAAACAAAGUGGACCUAAUAAUUAACCUCACAUGUGAAAUGUGUUAUAUAUAAGGGUUAAAUUGUAAUUUAGUCCCUAAAGUUGUACCAAAUAAUUUUUUUAGUACUUAAAGAUUGUAUUGCAUCAAUUUGGUACCUGAAGUUUGAAAAUGUUUAUACCCAUUACUCCAAAGCCUAUUUCCAUUAAAAAAAACUAUUCUUUUCGAAAUAAAUUCAAAAAUAAAAAUAGAGAAAUAACAAAAAAAUCUCAAUUUUUAAAAAAAUUGAAAAAAACUUAAAAUUUAUAAAGAAAGUCAGAAAUUAUGAGAAUAUAAUUUUAAAAAAUACAUAAAAUAAAAAAUAGAGAAAAUGUAAAAAGAAAAAAAAAUAAAAAAAUUAGAAAAACACUGAAAUAAUAUAGAAAAAUAAAUGUUUACAGUACCUUUUAUUAACGUUGAAUUUUCUAACUUUUUCCUAAAAAAUUUGCUUUUAGAUUUUAUUUUUAAAAAUGCUUUUUUUUAUAAUUUUAGUCUCAGGGUUAUAAAAAUUCUUUUAAUUUAGCAAUAUGUCUUAUUUUAUGUUUCUAAAAAUAUUUUAGUCUCUAAAGGUUUAGCCUCGACCAAAAAAACAAAUCAAUAAUUUGAUUUUUUUUCUCAAGUCUUCAGAAUUUGUGAUUAUCGUUUUUAAUAAUGUUGCCACUCUAUUCUGUAUCUGCCUUAUUUUAUUAUUGUACCCACACUUGUUAAUGAUUUAAUUUUAUUAUUAAUAAGUAAUUAUUAUUUAUAUUACAUUUAAUAUAAAUUUUCUUAUUCAUGGAUAUCAAUUAAAUAAAAUAUUUGUAUUUAAAAUUUGAACUAUGGCAUUUAACUUUUUUUUAAUUUAAAUCGAUUUGGUUCUUUUUAACAUAGGGAAGCCGAAUUGCAUAAACAACCAAUGUAUCACCAAUUUUAUUAUUGUUUAUCACAGUACUUAAAGGAAUGAUCACUCUUUUAGGGUGUGCUUACCAUUGAGGUUGAAAAGCAUCAUUCAAUCCAAACAAUGAUUUCAAACCAAACAUUAAUUUUAAACUAGGAUUUUAAACCAACUCAAAACUUUUAGGUUUUACCUUUUGGAAAAGUGUUUUUGAAUUAAAAACCUUUCAAACUUUAUAAUAUUAUGUCUGAAAUAGAUAUUUUAUUUUUUCAAAAACACUUAUAGAUAUCAACGAUAAAUACUAUCCAUUUUUUUAAAAACACUUUUUCACAAUAAUGCUGGCCUUUAACUGGCCUUUUAGCCACUCUUUUCUAACAUAAAGCUUAUCUCCUAGCAACUGUUUGGGCGAAUAAAACUAAUGUAUAUAUGAAAACGAAUAUUGAAUUUGGAUGUCCAAUCAAUUUUUUUUGAAUAAUUAAUUAAAAAUCUAAAAGAAUUUGAUAAAAAACGUGGAAGGGCACACUUGUAUGAUGAAUAGUAAUGAUAAUAAUGAUAGAAGUUGUUUCCCUGGCACAAGGAACUUAUGGGAUUGUCCAUUUGGUUCUAUAUUUGUCCACUUGAGUUAAAAGGGCAAACUAUUAAGUAGAAAACACCAAACGAAUUGGAAGGCUUUUGUCUUCUUCAAUUAGUAUGACCUUAUAUUUCUUAUUAAACUUCACAUUUUACAUUCGAUAUCAUCAUCACAAUCAUGGUAAUUUACUUUCAUGAAUAAACUUUUUAUGUCCCAUUUUAACCUGGAUCAUUUUAAGAUGGUGUCGUUCUCAAGCGACAUUGAUUUAAAUUUUUAAAAAAAAUUAUUUUAAAAAAUUAAAAAAAAUUAUUUUUUUUAAAUACCAUGUUGUGUAUAUAUUAUUAUUACUAAUUAUUAUUAUUUCUAGUAUUAUUAUAAUUAUUAUUAUGUUAGUGUAUAUUUUAUGUACGUAUAUAUAUAUAUAUAUGUAGCAAUGUUUUUAUUAUUUUAUUUUAACAUUUUUAUUAUAGUAGCUUUUGUAUUUUAAUAUUGUUAUUAUUAUAUCAUUAUUAUUUUUUUGUAUAUAUUAUUCAUACUAUCAUUAUUAUAUUAUUAUCACUAUUACAUUUAUUAUAUUAGUAUUAUAAUUGCUAUCAUUAUCAAUAUUAGUAUUAUUGUGUGUUUUCAUUAUAUGUAUGUCGUUUAUAUUUAUAGUAUUAUUUUAAUAUUGUAUUUAUUAUAUAUAUUUACCCUUUUUACUAUUAUUACCUAUUAUUUUAUUUUUAAUAUUAUUAAGCUAUAUUUUUUAUAUUCUUUUAUUAUUAUCAUUACCAUUAUUAACUUAUAUAUACAUAUAUCUAUUGUGUACAUAAUAUUAUUUUAUAUUAUUAUUACCAAAUAUAUCAUUUUUUCUUAUUCUAUUAUUAGUACGUGAUUUGUUUUUAUUUUUUUUAUUGUAAAUACCAUUAUUACUGUUAUUCUAAUAUUCUAGUAUUCCAUGUUAAUAUUUUUCAUUAAUGAUAUCAUUUUUUGCAUCGUUUAUCUAUUUUUAAUUUCUCACUUUAGGAAUAUUUUUUCUCAUGUUUUAAUUAAUUUCAAAAAUAAGGCAAUGUACCGAUUUAACAUUAAGUCAUCGAUUUCAUCGCUAUGUUGGGUGAAAUUUGUCGAUUCGUGUUAAAAACAGGACACCCUUUCUAAAAAAAUCGAAAACUAAAAAUUAUCAUUUUUCAAUUGGAUCACGAGUAAACAUUAAAUUGAAUUCGUUCUUUGAAAUUAAAGACAACGCGUGUUUAACAAGAUACCAAUUUUGGGCGUCGCGAGGGUGCUAAUUCCUUCCUCGUGCGUAACCGACUCCCGAACCCUAUUUUUUUCUGGAUUUUCGCGUAGACCCAAAUUUGGCCUUCAUUUUUGUUCAAAUAAAUUUUCUUUUCAAAAAAAGAUAAUUUAUUAGGUGUCUGAUCACACCUAGAAAAAAGAUCGGUGACGACUCCCCUUUUAAUAAAAUUAAAAGUCGGUUUUCAAAUUUUCAAUAAAUCGCCUCAAUUAGCGACCGAAAAGCAAAAAAAAAUUUUACGUCGCUACAAUGGAGAUUCAACAAGUUGUUCAUAUUUAGAUUGAAAGCAAUCAUUAUGCAUGAACUAAUAAUAUUAACUUCAAGUAAAUAAUGCUGAGAGAACUUAUUGUUAAGAUGGCCUUUUUUGAAGCGGCAGCAUGUAUAUAUAUAUGCUUGCUUACAAGGUUUGUCUCUCAGAGUCCUUCUCUUUGUACUCUUUUCACAUUAAUGAAUAAACUGUUUGCUUAUUUACUUCUUUUGUUGCCAUUGGUUCUAGUAGCAUUAGACUCGUUAACUUGAAUACAUUACCUUGUAAUUAACCAAAAAGUUAUGUAUAUAUCUAUCAAAAUAAAAUAAAAAAAAAGAGAGUGAGAGGAAAAUAGACUACCAAGUACCAAGUGAAAAAUGGUAAUACUAAAUUUCCAUGUAUAUGGCAUUUUUUGUGUGUGACAAAAACCAGGUUUAAAUAGGUGGAAGUAUGACUACUUAUCAAGAGUGGUAUGGUUCAAAAACUACCUUAUCAAGAGUGGUAUGGUUCAAAAACUACCCCCAUCGAAUUAUUUCAUCCUACUCAUUCGUUAUCGAUAGGAAGAAUGAUACUUCCAAUAAGAAAUAUUUUGAAGGGUUAUUGUCGAGUUAGCUAAAAAUCAAAUUUUAUUAGAAGCUCGAUCUAAAUUCACCAAAAAGAGGAUUAUUCAAAGCGGUUUCAAUGGACAACAGGAAUGGAAUAGUUGUUGGGUGGUUAGGGCACCCUAUCCUUUCAGAUGAUGAAGGGUUGGUCCAUGUUCGGAGUUUGUGACUACUCCUCACAACAAUGCCAUUUUCAAGGAUUAAACAUGUGUCAUCCUUUGAACAUGUAAUGUGUCUUACCAUUACACCCAACAUUGUUGGUGAUUUACUUUAUUCCAUUCUUAAUUAAUAUUAAUAUAUAUUAUGUUUAAGAUGGGUUUUCUUAUUCAUGUAUAUCAAUUGAAUCAAAUAUGUGUAUUGAAAUUAUUAACUCGACAUAUCGAAGGUCUGCUACUCUAGCACGUCUCUAAUCUGCUGCUCUAGCAUGUUUUGGUUUUUCUUUAGGGUUUUUUUUUGGCUUGUUUCUCUUUGUUCUGGCGACGAUAGUUCUUGGGAUAGAGUGUUUCUUAUCAAUAUGGUUGAUUUUGAUUCAUGGAAAUGGAGGAUGAAUUGGCAGAGUUAACAUUAAAGGAUGAGGAAUAGGAGAUUUUGCAAGUACAGAAGGAAAUUGAUUCUGCGAUGGUGGUUUAUGAUCUUUGUCUGGUUGGAUGCUUUCUCACAACGAGUGUAAUCCACUUUCCAACAAUGAGAAGCACGAUGGCAAAUCUAUGGCAUCCUCUAAGAGGACUUCAGAUCUCUGAUUUGGGGGAUAAGAGGUUCUUGUUUCGAUUUUUUCAUAAAAUGGAUAUUGAUAGGGUACUAAAUGGGGAUCCAUGGGCUUUCAAUAAUCAUCUUUUAGUGAUUCAUCGUUUGGAGGAUGGUGAGGAUCUGAUGAAGGUACCGCUAAUCUAUACGACUUUUUAGGUACAAGUGCAUAAUUUACCUCUAGGGUUUUUUACCGAAUCUAUAGAAAAGAAGUUAGGCGAUUUUAUGGGUAAGUUUUUGGGACUGAUGGCAAAAGUUUGGGUAAGGGCAUGAGGAAUUUCUUACAUAUACGAGUUUAGAUGGAUGUUAGACGAUCUUUAAAGUGAAAAAAGAAGAUUAUGUUUUCACUUGGCAAGUGUUCCUAUGUCAACUUUAUAUACAAAUGGUUGACUCUGUUCUAUUUUUUCUAUAGUUGUUUGGGACACAAUGACUCAUUUUUUCAGGUUAGAAUGGCUAAAGGCUUAGAAUUUGUAGAGAUAAGAUGGUAUCUGUCUCUAAAAGCCCAUUCUAGGAGAGCUGCUGCGAUGAACAGUGUGUGGCUACGGGAGGAAGGUGAAUGGGAGAUAAGGGGAAAUACCCUAGGACAUUUUGAUUUAGGGUAGGGAUUAUGGUAUGAUUGAAGGAUAGAAUCUGGGAUUCCCAUAGAUCCUGUGUUGGGGUUAAAUUUGGAGGGUGAUUUAAAAUUUGUGUCGGGUAUGCAAUGGGACUCUUCAAAGAUACAGGGUCAAUCGAAUAUAGAUCACUACUUAGAGGAAUGCACUAUAGAAGGUGGAGAUGGGAAGAAAAGACCUAAAAAGGAUAAUGGAAAUCACAGUGUUUCAGUUGUGACAGAUUCACUUGUGAUUGGAGAUGGGAGAUCGUUGGGACGAACUCACUUUUGAUCAGCGGCUGCCAAGAGGCAAGAUGGUUAGUCGCAAUGAAAAUAAUUAAUUGGAAUGUCCGUGGAUUAAGGUGUCCAUGGCCUAUAAGAAGGCUUCGGCAUAGUCUGAAGGUGUAUAAUCCCCAAGUGGUCUUCUUUAUGUAAACAAAAAUUAGUAAUGUGUGAAUGGAGAAUGUGCAUAGAAUGUGUGAAUUUUUAAAUGGUAGUGAUGUUUCGACCAAUGGUUCAAGAGGAGGUAUUUUUCUGGCUUGGAAGGAAAAUGUUAAAAUGAAUCUAAGGAGUCAUUUUAGCAGUCAUGUAGAUGUUGUGUUUCAGGAGACUGAUGGAGAAAAAUAGUAGAGGUUUACUGGCUUCUAUAGGACGUUGUAUGCGUGUAGCAGAGACGAUUCAUAGAAUUUGUUGAGAAAUCUAAGACGCUCUCAAGAUUUCCCUUGCAUAGUGUAUGGCGAUUUUAAUGAUAUUAUGUACUCUUUUGAAAAGGUUAGCCAAGAGAGGAGAGGAGAAUGAAGGUCUUCCGAGUAGUCUCAGAGGAAUGUCAGUUAAUGGACAUUGGAUACUUUUGGGCUUGGUUUACUUGGAAAAAGGGAAACUUCCCGAAAACGAAUACGAGAGAGCGACUAAAUAGAAGAGUGGCGAAUGCCGAAUGGAUGAACAUGUUUUCUAAUGGAAUGAUUUAGCAUUUACCACAUUGUUUUUUUGGAUCAUUGUCCCCUUCUUAAUCAUACGGAGCAGAAGAGUAAUAGGUUGAGGCAGAAAAGGUUUCAAUUUGAAACACAGUGGGUAAUGGAAGAAUCUUUUGAGGAGGAGGUUAAAUCGAUAUGUCAGUCUACUUCGGGUGAUAUGUUGGCUAAGCUAGAAGGUGUGAGGAAGGGCUUGGUGAGAUGGGUGAGUUUUGUUAGAAAUAAAAGAGAGGACUUUAAGAGGGAUCUAACUAGAAAAUUGGAGGAGAUGACGAGAAAGGAUAGAGAUGAUGAGAAUAUUAUUGAACUAUCUUAAUAUUCUCUUGUCAUAACUUGAAGUUGGUGUCAUUUAAUAUAAGAAUACAAUUAAUGAAUGCAGUAAUGUUGGCAGGUAUAAUUGUAGUUGUAUCAAACAAAACAAUCUCACGUAAGACUUCAAAUAUAAAACAAAAUAAUAAUAAAUUCAAAUAAAAGUAAACCAUAAAAUACCGAUUGUAGAAGCCCAAAUUGCCCGGGCCCGAUUAUAUCAAAACCCAACCAAACCUCUAAACCCACUAAAACCCUUAACCCAUGACCCAUUUACAUCUACCCAAACCCAUUACAAAACCCAAAUAUUAAACCCAAUUCAAAAGCCCAUUAAGCCCUCCCUAAAAAAAAACCUAACCCAAAAAAAAGAAAAAAACAUAACCCAAAAAAAAAGAAAAAACCUAACUCAAAAAAAAAACCUAACCCCAAAAAAAAAACCAAGAAACUUUAGCCACCUAGCCACUUUCCCACUUGCCACAUUUUUCCUCCCAUUUUUGAUAUCCAUUGUCUACCACCACCACCUACAAAAUAGAAAAAGAAAUAAUAGAAAAUCAUGUAAAAAAUGGCUAUAAAAAGCCAUUCAAAAAUCAUGUAAGAAAGGAGGGGGGAUUUUACAAAGAUUAAAAAAAAACACAAAAAUCCCUUCAAAUUUUGAACACAAAAGAAACAUCAAUAAAAAGGUUGCAUCUUUUUCUUUUUUCCUCUUCUUUCGAAUCUUUUUUUUUCUUUUUUUUGUGUUGUUUUUUUUCUUUCUUUAUAUAUACAUAUAUUGUUAAAAAAAAUUUACCUUUUCCGGCCACCGUGGGCGGUGGCCAGCGGUAGCCGACGAUGGGCGUCGACCGACGAUCGACCGGUAACCGGCCCCCCCUUGGCCGGAUUUCCUUUCCCCCCUCCCUUCUCUCUUCUUUCCCCCUUUUUUUUUAGGUAUUUUAUAUGUAUUAUGUAUAUAUUUUUUAAUGCCAUUAGUUAUAUAUUUCUUAUGUAUAUAUUCUUAAAUACUAUUAUAUACAUAUAUAUAUAUUUUAAAUAUCAUAUUGUGUAUAUAUUAUUAUUACAAAUUAUUACUAUUGCUAGUAUUAUUAUAACUAUUAUUAUAUUAGUGUAUAUUUUAUGUACAUAUGUAUAUAUAUAUUUUUGCACAUAUCAUUAUUUUAUAUUAUUGUUGUAAAUUUUUUAUGUAUAUAUAUUUUUAUGUACGUUUCCUAAUAUUUUCUUUUAUUGUAGAUAUUAUUAUUAUUAUUACAUACUUUUAUUAUAUGCAUAUAUAUAUAUAUGUAUUUUUAUGUACAUAUUAUUAUUUUAUAUUAUUAUUACCAAAUAUAUCAUUUUUCCUAUUUUAUUAUUAGUACAUGAUUUGUUUUUAUUUUGUAAAUAUCAUUAUUAUUAUUAUUCUAAUAUUCUAGUAUUCCAUGUUAAUAUUUUUCAUUAAUGAUAUCAUUUUUUUUGCGUCCUUUAUCUAUUUUUAAUUUCUCACUUUAGGAAUAUUUUUUUUCAUGUUUUAAUUAAUUUCAAAAAUAAGGCAAUGUACCGAUUUAAUAUUAAGCCAUCGAUUUCAUCGCUAUGUUGGGUGAAAUUUGUCGGCUUGUGUUAAAAAACGGGACACCCUUUCUAAAAAAAAUCGAAAACUAAAAAUUCUCAUUUUUCAAUCGGAUCACGAUUAAAUAUUAUAUUGAACUCGUAUUUUUGAAAAUCAAGUCAACACAUGUUUAUGAGAUACCAAUUUUGGGCGUCGCGAGGGUGCUAAUACCUUCCUCACGCGUAACUGACUCCCGAACCCCAAUUUUUCUCUGGACUUUCAUGUAGACCUAAAUUAGGCCUUCUUUUUAUUUUAAAAUAAUUUUAUUAGGUGUCCGAUCACACCUAUAAAAAAGGAUCGGUGGCGACUUGUAACAUCCCAAACCCAGCCCAGACGUUAUGGUCGAAUCUGACGUGCCACAUUGGAGUUGAAAACCCACGUUCCGUUUUAGUGUUUUAAAAACCAUAUAUUUUGUUGAGUUAACAAGGUGUAUGGAAGCUGGGCACCAAGUAGGUAUCCGAGACAGAGGAGGUGAGCCAUGAAGGCUGCUUAAGUACCAAGCUCUUUGAUUGGAUCCAAUCCUAGACAUGCCCACAACCAUAGCCACACUUUGUUAUAUCGAGUUUAAAUUUGUUUAAGUGAACGACUUUGAUAAAUCGAUUGAUCGUGGUGUUGAACUCUUUUGAAAACAAGUAUCGUUUUGAAAACACGUCCUAAGUCUAGCCCAUUUGAAUAAUUAUCAACCAGGUUUGAAGUUAUUAUAAUUAAAAUAAUCCCGAAAAGAAAUAAAAGGAAAGUUAAAAUGGCCUUAUUACAACCCAAAAAUAAAUAAUAAUUAAAGGAAAUUUAAUGAAAACCAACGCUUUUUUAAAAGCCAAAAGAUGAUCACCGUGGCUACUCUGAAUCCCCUCCGGCCCAAGUCCCCACAUCUAAGCUCACCUGCAAGGUUAAGGAAAGGGGGGUGAGUUUGGAAACUCAGUGUGCAACAAGCCCCUUUCAGAGCCCAAAACAAUGACAGCCUGUUGGGUCUAAGCCCAAAUCCAAUCUCAAACAUGUACUGGGCCAUAGCCCAUUUCAUAUUUCAUAUGUUAUAACACUGGGCCGAAGCCUUUUCAAAUUUCAUAUUACUAGGCCGAAGCCUUUACUGUAAACGGUAUGGCCCAUAGGCCCAUUUCAAUAUCACAUAUAAUGUCAAUGAAAGAAUGCAAGCCCAAUUGGGGAGACUACUCAACCCACCAUCCGCUACGCUCCACCCGUACCAACCAACACACCAUGUGGGGAUUAACUCGACCCACCCCGCCAUAACUCUCCACUGGCAGCAUAGCUGCUUUAUCAUAUAACUGGAGGCCUAGCCUCUUUUAAUAAUCGGGGCAAAAGCCCUUUUUAUAACUGGGGCAUAAGCCCUUUAUCAUAAUUGGGGCAUAAGCCCUUCAUCAUAACUGGGGCAUAAGCCCUUUAUCAUAAUUGGGGCAUAAGCCCUUUAAUAACUGGGGCAUAAGCCCUUUUGCACUUCCUCCAUCCAUAUAAAAACCCAACCCAAUGCAUUUACAAACAUCUCAUGUGCAUAUCAUACAUAUCAUGUGCGUAUCAUACAUGUCAUGUGCAUAUCAUACAUAUCAUGUUUAUCAAAAUCCCAUGCAUUAAGUUCAUAUAUAAACCCUAGGGGUAUAAUGGUCAUUUUUACCUAGGGGCAAAACGGUCAUUUUCAUAUUAUAAGGGUAAUUCUGUAAUUUUACCGAAAAUUAGAGAUUUUUCCAUUUUCAUCAUUAGUUACUAACUAUUCAUUUGUUUAACCGCGUUUCUAGCCCACUUUUAACAAAACCGAGUUAUUGGGCCUAAAACCCCUAAUAGGCCCUACUUAGCCGAUUUUGUCAUCUAGGCCCAUUUAGCCUAUAUCCAUAAUAGUAUUAAUAGUUUUAACAGGCAAUUUAACAGAUUUCCGUUUUCUACCAAUUUUACCCAAAUGGGCUCGAAAGCCUAUUGGGCCCUAUUUCAGCCCCUCGAGGCCCAACUUACCGUGAACGCCAAAAACACGUCCUUACCGUUUCCAUUAUUCCCUAUCAUCAUCUCAUCGAUUCUAACUAACUAGUGAGCGUUCGCUUUCUCACAAGUCCUCGAAAUGCCAGAAUUUUGGCGUUUCGGCUUUUCGGCAUUUAUCACUUUAAGCUAUGAAAAAGGGUUCGUUACACACCUGAUUUGCGAUAUUCCUUGACGAGAUCUCCUAUGCGAUUUCUCCUAUAAUCAACCACUUAUAGAUUAGACCAUGUUAUUAUUAAACCAAAUCGAAAACUACCUAUUAUCAUCACUUACACAUUCGGCCACCAUCCACAAUGGCCCUUGGGUUCAUACCUUUGCCGAAGUUGAUGACUAGAUUUAGUCACUCCGAUGAUCCAAGCUUUUUACACACUCCUCGAUCGGUAGCCUUUAAUCCUCACUAGCACCAACAAACCAAAUAACACCAAAAACCCUUUUAGCCUUAGUCGACUGAGGGGUUUUCAGCUUUUCUUAAACCACAAGAUACAAAUGGAAAGAAGGUUCGAAUACUUACCAAGAGAUCUACUCGUUGAAGAACGUUCCAAAUACCUUCCUACCCCAUAUCCGUUGUGAAUCCAACUGAAACGUGCGUAGAAAAUAGAUCUAAAUAUUAAUUCCUGAAUCACUAAAAUAUGAAGCUUUCGGCUUUUCAGCAAAUAUUAAUCUAAGCUAUUACGAGGGUCAGUACACACCUGUUACGGGUUGAAGUUGAAACGUUUCCAUAAUUAAUCACCUACGAUAACCACCACCUGUCACUCAAACCCAACUAUUCCAAUAUCAAUAUAUGUAAAUCCUAAGCACAUCAGUCAUACGAAACAUAAGGGCAUAUUUGUCAUUUUACCAUACAGGGGUAUUACGGUCACUUUACCCUAUAGGGGCUUUACGGUCUUUUACCUAAUAGGGGUAUUUUAGUCAUUUCAUCCUACAAGGGUGUUUUGGUAAAUCUACAAACUAAGGGUAUUUCAGUAAUUUUGUAAACCAAUGGUAUUUCUACAAUUUUUAGAAAGUCAAGGGUAUUUCUAUAACUUUGUACAUCAGGGGUAUUUUAGUAAUUUUACAAAUUAAGGGUAUUUCGGUAAUUUCACAAACCAAGGGUAUUUUGGUAAUUUUACAAACUAAGGGUAUUUUAGUAAUUUGUAAAUCGAGGGUAAAACAGUAAUUCUGUAAAUCAAGGGUAAAAUAGUAGUUUUGUAAAUCGAGGGUAAAAUGGUAAUUCUGUAAAUCGAGGGUAAAAUGGUAAUUCUAUAAGUCGAGGGUAAAACGAUAAUUAUGUAAAUCAGGGGUAAAACGGUAAUUAUGUAAAUUGGGGGUAAAACGGUAAUUCUGUAAAUCGGGGGUACUUUGGUAAUUUUACAAGUCGAAGGUAUUUCAGUAAUUUUACAAAUCGAGGGUAUUUCAGUAUUUUUACAAACUAAGCGUUUUUCGGUAAUUUUAGUAAACUAAAGUAUUCUAAACAGGGAUAACAAUACGAAUGGGCCUAAAGCCUAUUCUCGGUCCAAAUGGGCCCACAUGCUCGUGUGGCCCUUUUAGCCCAAAUCUAGCCACAAAUAUUAGAUUCACCUAGUGUAGCCUAAUAUUUACUACACAAUCAAACAACUUAUCUAAUUGGGCCUGUAGGCCCAUUAGGCCCACAUGACCCCUUUCGACCCAUCGCGGCCCGAAGUAGCCAUCCUACAGCUAGAGUAGUAAGAAAUACACACCUGAUAGGGGACUGGAGUUAAUCCACACUCCGAGCACUCUUAGCCGACACCCAACCCAAACGAGCACGCCAUAUAGCGAAAGGGAUCAGCCAAGAAAGGUACAUUUACUCUCCUCAUGGUUCCCUCUAUUUAAAGCCUGCUUCACAACCACCCUUAUAUUAUCUUCCUGAUGUGGGAUCCCUCCAACAUUAGAGUUUAAAUUCAACACCAACUCUUGCCGCCCCCUGUUAGCAAAAUAAAUGCUCUUUGCUUGCCAUAGGAUUCGAACCCAUGCCUCCCCUCAGAUGCUCCACACGCUACUUGCCACUAAGCCACAAGGCUUUUUGUGUCAUAUUUUAUCCCCAAUUAAUUAUAAGGUCUAAAGGCCAAAGUCCAGGUUCCUUUUAAAAACCAAAAAUAAAUUGCAAGAGCCAAGGCUUGAACCCAGGCUCCCAUACAACCUUAAUGACGCCACAACCACUAGACUACAAGCUUCCUUGUGUCAUUUAUUUAACACAAUAAUUUAAAAACCCUCAUCCAAGCAUCCAGGUUUUUUUUCACUUAAUACCAAAAUUUUUUGCUAAAGCCCAAGUUUGAACCCAAGAUUCCUCGAACACUUCUUAAAGCCAUUAACCACUAAAGCAAACAUUUAAUUGUGUCAUUUCAUUGCACAAUUAAAUACCUAUAUAAAACCUCCUUACGGACCCACACUCAAGGCCCAAUACUUCUAGGCCCAAAUUCGGGGUGUUACACGACUCCCUUUGUUAAUAAAAUCGAAAGUUGGUUUUCAAAUGUUUAAUAAAUCGCCACAAUUAGCGACCAAGCGAAACUAAAUUUUUUUACGUUGCUACAGUUGGCGACUCCAUUGGGGACCUCCAUUUUUGAGAGUCGAGUUGAAUUAAAUGCGUGUUGUCAAAAUUUUCAAAUUUCCGUGUUCAAAUUAAUAUUUAAUCAUGAUCCUUAAGUUUUGUUUUCGAAAAAAUCAUACAUACGUAUCUCCUAAUUUGUUUUAUCUUUCGUUUUAGUUUUGUAGUUUUAAAAUAAAUGGAAGGAUUGCAAGUUUCUCCCACACACUGUGCACUUGUAUUUUGCAUAACAUAAGCUCUCUACUCGGGCUCUGUCCGUUUAAGUGAAAGUAAACGCUAUGCCUUCGUGAGUUAACUCGUCCCUCCGCACAGGCUAGUGAAUACUUUCGGGUUACAUAUGACUUAUGCUUUCGUGAGUUAACUUGUCCCUCCGCAUAGGCAUAAGUAAAUGUAAUCCCUUAAAUUGAACUCGUGUGCCUGUGAUGGGUUAUGACCGAGGCUUCGUGCUAAUCUUAGCAGAUGAUAGUACGAGCAAUUCGAGUACCUGUCUAGAACCAAAACCGCAUAUAGUGAACCAUACGAUCCACCCAACUAGAGCCAUGCCGAACCUUCGCUCGUUUAGUAGUCACCAAAAUAAGUACACGGGAAAAACACAUCUUACCUUCUAUUUCUUUUACAUUUGUGCUUUCUAAGCAAGGGAAUCGAGUCCACUGGACCAAGUAGCUUAAUUUGUUAGAUUUUCCACAGUUUUUCUCUAUUUAUAUGUGUUGCGCUAACCAAGGUCGUUUGUCUGUAUUUUUAUUUUUCAUCAUGCAUCGAAGGCAUCUUGUUAGGAAGGUGUUGAUUAGAGAUUGGUUGCCAAAAACGGGUUUCUAAUGGAGGAGUCAAUUAUACGAGUGACCGAAACGUUGUGUAAUACUCCUUUGAUUAAGGAAAUGCCUAAAUAGGGGCUAUCUUGAAAUUAACACAAAAUUUUUGCAUAUUCAUUCAUGACUGACAUUCAUUUGACAUUCAUGCAUUCAUUCAUGCAUUCAUUCAUACAUUGCAUAUCCCAUACUCGGUUGCUGAAGAUAAAAUAUAUAAUUCGCAGUUGUAAUACCACAAGACUGGAACCACGUCAUCCGUAUAAAACGUGCCGACAAGCUAGAGUAAUGAGGGCUGGAUUCAAUGAGAGAAUUGAAAGGAUGGAAAGGGCUCAAAAUGAAUUACAAGAGCAACUGGCCAAAUCGCAACAAGAAACGAGAGACCUAAUGGUGAGAUCUUGAGAGGAAUCACUCGAGCAAAGAGAUCAGAUGGCCAAAAUGAUGGAGAUGAUGACAACUUUGGUCAAAGGAAAAGGACCCGUUCAGAACCCCGAUGUUAUGGAACCUCAGUCAAGAAUUCACCACGAUCAAGAUCCACUCUAUCCCCCGGGAUUCACUCCACCACCCGCAUAUACAACACAAAGAGGGUAUACUCAAGAGGAACCCAUAGUCUUGGAACAACGACCUAUGCCACCUGCUCCACCCACUAAUCUGGGGCAAGGAAUAUUCGUGUCGAACCCAGGGGCAAGCCCUGCUGAUCCACUAGUUCCAGAUCUGGACGACCUAGCAGAGGUAGCCAAGUUGAAAUUGGAUAAUCAUGAUGCAAAAUAUAGAAGUCUAGAGGAAAGACUCAAAGCAAUAGAAGGCACUGAAGUCUUCUCCGCACUAGGUGCCAAAGAACUCAGUUUGGUACCUGAUCUAAUCUUGCCUCCGAAAUUCAAGGCGCUUGAUUUUGAAAAGUAUGAUGGGACAAGGUGCCCAAAAGCACAUCUCAUCACGUUCUGUCAAAAAAUGGUCGGUUAUGUGAACGAGGAUAAGCUACUUAUACAUUGCUUUCAAGAUAGUCUAACAGGGUCAGCUCUUCGGUGGUACAACCAACUCAGUAGAGAAAAGAUUCGAUCCUGGAAGGACUUGACAUCAGCAUUCUGUGAGCAAUAUAAGCAUGUAUCGGAUAUGGUACUAGACCGGAUGACUUUGCAAAUGAUGGAGAAAAGGCCGUCAGAAACUUUUAGACAGUAUGCGCAGAGAUGGAGGGAUAUCUCAGCCCAAGUGGAACCCCCACUAACAAAAACAGAGAUAACCGUUCUUUUCAUCAACACUUUGAAAGCACCGUUUUAUGACAAACUAGUGGGGAGUUCCACGAAGGAGUUUGCGGAUAUUGUAAUAUCUGGUGAGCUCAUAGAGAAUUCCAUCAAGAGCGGUAGAAUGGAAGGUUCAGAAGGUUCAAAAAGGGCAGCGCCUAUGAAGAAGAAGGAACUAGAAGCCCAUAUGGUGGGAAUGGGAAACCGUUUUGCCCCUAAUUCAUAUCCAAAUUAACCCCGACCUCGAAAUUAUCCACCUCCAAAUUUCUAUUAUCCUCCUCAAACCCCUUAUUACCAAGCACCACCUCAUUCCUAUCCUGUUUACGCCACGAACAAUCAAAGACCCGUCAUCUCAUUCCCACAAAACACGGUACCCGCUUAAAGCCAAACCAGAAAUGAACCAAGACCAGCAAGGCCUAAUCCCGAGAGACCGCAGUUUACUCCCAUCCCUGUGUCGUAUGGGGAAUUGUACCCAAAACUUUUGGAGAAACAACUGAUUUCUCCCCAUUACAUGGCACCCCUUAAACCUUCAUACCCAAAAUGGUACGAUCCAAACGCUAGUUGUGCAUACCAUGCUUGGAAUCAAGGGCAUUCUACGGAGAACUGUCUUGCCUUCAAAAGGAGAGUUCAAGGACUCAUUGAUGUGGGCAUUUUGCGAUUUGAUGGUACCGGCGGUACAACCGGGAAUCCAUUCCCAAACCACACUGAAGGGGAUGUGAGCACAGUAGGAGAGGAAAAUGAACGGCAAAGUAGAAGAUGGGUUUCUGAAAUAAGAACACCUCUGCAGAAAAUCUGGGAGGUACUAGUUGAAAAAGAGUUGCUCUAUCGUCUUGACGGAGUAUUCGAAGGAAAAGAUGCAAAAGGUCACAGUUUUUGUGAGUUCCAUGGCGUUGAAGGGCACGACAUUUAGUCCUGCGAUGAGUUCAGAGGAUUACUACAAAGUAUGAUGGAUAACAAGGAGAUUGGGAUCUUUUAUAAAAGCGAGGAGACCGAUAGAGGAGAAAUAUGCGCUUCUGACAAUCAAUCAUCAGGUUUCUCAUAUAGCGCCGACCGACUGUUAAUAAUUUAUUAUGACGCGAAGAAGGAGCCGGUGAAGCCAAAAAUGAUAAUCGAAGUACCAUCUCCUUUCCCUUAUAAGAAUAAUAAAACAGUACCGUGGAGAUACGAUGUUAAUAUUUUCACACCGGAAGUUGGAAAUUUCAAAGCCAUAACUGAAGAUGUAGGAGAGGUAGGUCAUUUUACCCGAAGUGGACGGUGCUAUUCUAAAGAAAUUGAACCGGUAAACAAAAGUAGUGACUCAAAGCAAAAAGGGAAAGCAGUGAUGCACGAAGUCGAAGUUGAAGUCGAGCAAGAAAUUCCACCCGUGCAAGAAACUAAAAAGCCUGUGGACGAGGAAGAAGCACAGGAAAUCUUAAAAUUUAUCAAGCACAGUGAGUACAACGUGGUAGAACAAUUGAGCAAGCAGUCAGCGCGAAUCUCGGUAUUAUCUCUGCUGUUGGAUUCAGAACCACACCGGAACGCUCUGCUGAAAGUGUUAAAUCAAGCUUAUGUGGCAAACAAUAUAUCCGUUGAAAAACUGGAUAGAUGGAUGAACAACUUGAAUGUGGAUAAUUUUAUUUCUUUUAGUGAUGAUGAAAUACCGCCCAAUGGUAGAGGCUCAGUGAAAGCAUUGCAUAUCACAACCCAUUGUAAGGGCUAUAUAAUACCGAACAUGCUUAUCGACAAUGGAUCGGCACUCAAUGUUAUGCCUUUGGCCACACUUUCCAGGAUUCCGAUGGAUUUAUCCUAUCUAAGGCCCUGUCAUUCUACAGUAAGGGCAUUCGAUGGAACAAGACGAGAAGUUAUGGGAAAAAUCGAGAUCAUUCUAGAAGCGGGUCCCUACAUAUACAAUGUUGAGUUUCAAAUCAUGGACAUUACACCAUCAUACAAUUGUCUCUUAGGAAGACCUUGGAUACAUUCUGCUGGAGCAGUCCCAUCAUCCCUCCAUCAAAAGGUGAAAUUUAUCAUGGAUGGCUGUUUGGUCACUGUCGAGGGAGAAGAAGACAUUGUAGCAUCUCUUUCUGCCGACGCACCAUAUAUUGAAGUGAGUAAAGACGCUCUGGAAUGUUCCUUCUGAUCUCUUGAAUUUGUCAAUGCCACAUUCGUCGCUGAGGGAAACAGAAUUCCGGUGCCAAAACUGUCGAGAAAUACUAGAAUGGGUGUCAAAUUGACCGUAGGAAAGGGAGCUCGAACAAGAAGAGGUUUAGGGAGAUAUCUGCAAGGAAUAGUCAGGGCUUUAAAGCCAGUGCACCACAAAGCCCGAUACGGUUUGGGGUUCCAGCCAGACAUGCGUCAAAGAAGAAGACAGUGGAAGAAAGAUCAGGAAAGAAUGAUCGCAAGAACUUUGGGCCGAGAACCAGAAUGGGAGCCCAUAGAAUACCCUCCUUUGUCAAAAACAUUUACAUCUGCGGGAAUGAUAUACCGUAGACAAGAUGAUCCACGAAACAUGCUGGGGUUAAUUGAAAGGGGUUUUCAGAAUGUUAGUAUAAAUGUUAUUGACAAAAGGGCUGGUGCAAGUAAAGAUGUCUCGAGGAUACGCCCUUGCCCUCCUGGUUUCAUGAUAAACAAUUGGACUGCCGAGGAGCUUCUUGUAGUUUAUAAGUCUUCAGAGUAAUGCUAAACAUUAACCUUCUAUUAUGUCCUUAGAUAUAAUAGAAUUCUUUUGUAAGAGCUUGCAUUCGCUCUUUAUCAUUUAAAUGAAUAUCAAUGAAGAUGCAUUUUGUCACGAUUUUUCGCAUUAUCACUAAUUUCAUAAUCAUUUUCUCAUUUCAUAGCCUAUCCUUACAUUUGCCUCAUUGCCAUGACAUAACAUUUUGUUUGUUGUUUCCAAUACUUGGAUGCCCCUCUAUAGCUUCCUUUUCCAUUCAACUUUCAGGUGCUCAGAUAUUGACGACAUGAAUAAGCCCGUCACGAAUCUUGAAAUUGAUUUUGAGAAGGCUGUUUGCUUAGGAGAAUUUGAAGUCAAAGAAAAUGCUGAAGAUUACGUCUCGUCUCCUGAAUUGUUAAGAAUGGUGGAGCAAGAGGAUAAACAGAUUUUGCCUCACGAAGAAUCUGUGGAAACAAUAAAUUUGGGCACUGAAGAGAGGAAACAAGUGAAGAUUGGGACUUCUAUUUCAGAGAGUACCAGGCAUAAUUUGAUCACUUUACUCCACGAAUACAAAGAUGUUUUCGCAUGGUCAUACCAGGACAUGCCAGGGCUAGAUGAAGAUUUAGUGGUCCAUAAGCUCCCAUUAAAGCCAGAAUGCAAGCCCAUCCAGCAAAAAUUAAGACGGAUGAUACCCGAAAUGCUAUUGAAAAUAAAAGAGGAAGUCAAGAAGCAAUUUGAUGCUGGCUUCCUACAAGUCUCCAAAUAUCCAGAAUGGGUGGCUAACAUAGUCCCAGUACCAAAGAAAUAUGGAAAAGUACGAAUGUGCGUGGAUUACCGUGACCUGAACCGAGUAAGCCCAAAAGAUAAUUUUCCCUUGCCACAUAUUGAUACGUUGGUGGACAACACAGCAAAACAUUCAUUGUUUUCUUUCAUGGAUGGAUUCUCGGGGUAUAAUCAUAUCAAGAUGGCCCCUGAGGAUAUGGAGAAAACUACCUUCAUAACAAUGUGGGGAACGUUCUGCUACAAGGUGAUGCCAUUCGGGUUAAAGAAUGCUGGGGCAACAUAUCAGAGGGCUAUGGUGACAUUAUUCCAUGACAUGAUGCAUAAAGAAAUAGAGGUUUAUGUCGAUGAUAUGAUUGCUAAAUCUCGAGGAGAAGAAGAGCAUGUAGUGAACCUCAAGAAGUUGUUCGAAAGGCUGAGAAAGUUUCAGCUAAAGCUUAAUCCAGCCAAAUGUACGUUUGGGGCUACCUCGGGGAAGUUGCUAGGCUUCAUUGUCAGUGAAAGAGGUAUCGAGGUUGAUCUAGAUAAAGUAAAAGCCAUUCAAGAGUUACCACCUCCACGCAUGCAAAAGGAAGUUAGAGGAUUUUUAAGGAGAUUAAACUACAUUCCCGAUUCAUCGCUCAACUUACCAACCAAUGCGACCCAAUCUUUUGGCUUCCUCGAAAACAUAACCCGGGAAAUUGGAAUGAGGAAUGUCAGGUGGCCUUUGAUAAGAUAAAGCAAUAUUUGUCUAGUCCCCCAGUGCUAGUACCGGCAACUCCGGGGAGACCAUUGAUAUUGUAUUUGACCGUGUUCGAAAAUUCAAUGGGUUGCGUACUGCGGCAACACGACGAGUCAGGGAAGAAAGAAAAGUCGAUCUACUGCCUCAGUAAAAAGUUCACUGAAUAUGAGGCAAAGUAUUCAUCCAUUGAAAAAUACUGUUGCGCUCUGGUUUGGGUAGCUCGGAGACUCAGACAAUAUAUGUUGUGUAAGCACUAAAUUUUUGUCCGACUAGAAUUUGUGUUUAAUUUUCAAAAUUUCAAAAAAAAAAUUUAAAAAUAAAAAUUGCAUUUUGACCCCUAAACUUUUCCUAAAUUUCAUUUUGACCCUUAAACUUUCUUUAAAUUUCACUUAGACCCCUAAACUUUCAUUAAAUUUCAUUUUAAUCCUAAAUUUUCUAAAAAUUACAUUUAGCCCCAGAAGUUUUGCUGCAUUUGUGAUUUGGUCCUUCAGACAGGUUACGUGAUUUGGGGCACCCACUUCCCAGAUUUUCAGGCCACAAACAUGGGUGGCUGCUCCUUCUUCACCUACCACCUGCAAAAAGGAAGCAAAUAUCAACUAUAAAAUGGGUUUAAAACCCCAAAAUCAAACCCCCACACCCACGAAAAAAAUAAAAAAAACUUGCAAAAAGAGAGAGAAAAAGCUUCGAAAAAAAGAAAAGAAGAGAGAAAGAAAAGAGGAAGGAGAAGAAAGAGGAGUCGGCGGCGGCACCGUGGCAUCGGCGGCAGCAGUCGACGGCGGAGCAAGCAACGGUGGAGGCUAGACUUUGAAAAAGAAGAAAAGAGGAAGAAGAAAAGAGGAAGAAGAAAGAAAAAAAAAGAAAAAUCCUUUUUUUAAAAUCAGGUUGACCCGACCCGAACCGGUCGACCCGACUGACGCCCGACCCGACCCACCUACGACCCGAUCCGACCCAGCAGCCCAAGAAAAAAACAACAAAAACAAAAACAAAAAAAAAGAAACAAGCCCAAAAAAAAAGAAGAGCAGGCCAUUUCUUAGCAGACCAGCAGCUGCCCAAGCCCAGGCCCAGCGCAGCCUAGCAGGCCAGCACCAGCAGGCCAGGCCCGCACGCACCAGCCCAGCAGAAGCAGGUCCAACGGGUUGGCCCAGCAGAGAAAAAAAAGAAAAGAAAAGAAGAAAAAGAGAAGGAAAAAAGAAAAAAAAAAGAGGUUCAAUUCGUGUAACCCGUUCGACGAAGCUCGUGUUUCGGUAGCUUUUCGGUAAUUUCGUUUAUUUUAUUUUAAUGCUCGUAUUUUUAUGUUAUUUCGUUUUAAUAUUAUUAGCAUUUUAUGCAUAUUUAUAUUUAUAUUUUUAAUUUAAUUUGAUUUUUAUUUUAUUUUAUUUUAAAUGAUUUUAAUAAAUAAGGCAACGAAUCGAUUUAACAUAAAAUCGUUGAUUUCAUCGCUAUGUUGGGUGAAUAUCACCGGUUUGCGUUAAACUCGAUACGCCCUUUUAAAAAUAAAAAAAUAUUCAAAAAAAUUGUAAUUUCAAUAAUCCUCGUGCUUUUAAAAAUUCUCAUGUUUCAAAAAUCUUCGUGUUUUCAAAAUUCUAGUGUUUCAAAAUUUUCUUGUUUUCAGAAAAAUUUUUCGUGUUUUAUAAAUUUCCGUAUUUUCAAAAAAAUCAUGCCUUUCAAAAAUUUUCGUGUUUUCAAAAAAAUGACCGUGUUUCAAAAAUUUCCGUGUUAAAAGAAAUCUUCAUAUUUUCAAAAAAUUUUCGUGUUUCAAAAAUCUUCGUGUUUUCAAAAAUUUCGGUGUUUCAAAGAUUUUUGUGUUUUCAAAAACACCGGUGAUUUUAAAAAAAAUCGUUUUCUAAAAAAUUUCCGUGUUUCAAAAAUUUUCGUGUUUUAAAAAUUUUCGUGUUUUAAAAAUUCUCGUAUUUUAAAUUUUUUUUAAGAAAAAAAUUGUGUUUCAAAAAAUGUAUUCUUUUAAAAAUUCUCGUGUUUCAAAAAAUGUCGUGUUUUAAAAAUUUUCGUGUUUCUGAAAUUUCCGUGUUUAAAAAUUCUCGUGUUUUAAAAAAAACUUUCAUUUUUUAAAAAAAUUUUCGUGCUUCAAAAUUCUCGUGUCUUAAAAAAAGUUUUCAUAUUUCAAUCGGAUCACGACUAAAUAUUAAAUGGAACUCGUAUUUUUGAAAAUUAAGACAACAUGCGUUUAACGAGAUACCAAUUUUGGGCGUCGCGAGGGUGCUAAUACCUUUCUCGCGCGUAACCGACUCCCGAACUCUAAUUUUCUCUGGAUUUUCACGUAGACCUAAAAUUACCUCUUUUUUAGAAAAGUUUAAAAAUAAAUUUUUCUUCUAAAAAGAGAAUCCAUUAGGUGUCCGAUCACACCUAUGAAAAAAGAUCGGUGGCGACUCCCUUUUCAAAUAGAUUGAGAUUCUGUUUUCAAAUUUUCAAUAUUUAUUUCGAUUAGCGCCCGUGCUAAAAUUUUUAGGUCGCUACAGCUGGCGACUCCACUGGGGACCCUUUUUGAGAGUCGAGUCGAAUUAAACUCGCGUUGUCAAAAUUUUCAAAGUUUCUUGUUCAAAUUAACAUUUAGUCGUGAUCCUUAAAUUUUUUGUUUUCAAAAAAAAAAUCAUGCAUUUGCAUCGUGUUGUAUAUAUUCUAAAAAAAAAUCAUGCAUUUGCAUCGUGUUGUAUAUAUUCUAACUUGUUUUAUCAGGUUGUUUUUUAGCUUUAAAUAUUUGCGGUUUUAUUUUUGGUUUAGUUUUUCUAAGUAAAACGUAAAGGUUUACAAGUUUCUCCCCACACACCGUGCACUUGUAUUUUUUGCAUAACAUGAGCUCUAUACCCGGGCUCCGUCCCUGUUAAGAGAAAGUAAAUGCUACGCCUUCGUGAGUUAACUCGUUCCUCCGCACAGGCUAGUGAAUACUUUCGGGUUACAUAUGACUUAUGCUUUCGUGAGUUAACUUGUCCCUCCGCAUAGGCAUAAGUAAAUGUAAUCCCUCGAAUUGAUCUCGUAAGCCUAUGAUGGGCCAUGACCGAGGCUCUGUACUAAUCUUAGUAGAUGACAGUGCAGACGAGUCGAGUACCCACCUAGAACCAAAACCGCAUAUAGUGAACCAUACGAGCUAUCCAACUAGAGCCAUGCUGAACCUCUGUCCGUUUAGUAGUCACCAAAAUAAGUGCACGGGAGGAACGCCUCUUACCUUUUGCACUUUCGCUUUCUAUGCAAGGGAAUCGAGUCCAUUGGACCAAGUAGCUUAAUUUGUUAGAUUUUCCACAAUUUUUCUCUGAUCAUAUGUGUUUUGCUAACCAAUGUUGUUUGUCUGUAUUUCUAUUUUUCAUCAUGCAUCAUAUACAUCUUGUUAGGAAAGGGUUGAUUAGAGAUUGGUUGCCAAAAAGGGGUUUCUGAUAGAGGAGUCAAUUACACGAGUGACCGAAACGUUGUGUAAUAGACUCUUUUGAUUAAGGAAAUGCCUAAAUAGGGGCUAUCUUGAAAUUAACACCAAUUUCUUGCAUUUCUUUCAUGACUAAUAGUCAUUUGACAUUCAUGCAUUCAUUCAUUCAUUGCAUAUUCCAUACUCGUUCGCUGAGGUUAAAACAUACAAUUCUCUAGUUGUGCAUACCAUACGGGAAACCAGGGACAUUCCACGAAAAACUGCCUAGCCUUUAAGAGAAGAGUUCAAGGACUCAUUGAUGCAGGUAUCCUACGAUUCGAUAGUACCAGUAAUGCAACUAGGAACCCAUUCCCUAACCAUAUCGAAAGGGAUGUGAGCAUAGUAGGGAACAUGGACGAAUGGAAAGUUAGAAGAUGUGUUUUGGAAAUAAGGACGCCUCUGCAGAAAAUCUGGGAGGUACUGGUUAAGAAAGGAUUGCUUUGUCACCCCGAUAGAAUUCUCGGAGAAGAAGGUCAAAGUUUUUGCAAUUUUCAUGGGAUUGUUGGGCACGACAUUCAGUCGUGCAAGGACUUUAAAAGGUUACUUCAAGACCGGAUGAAUAAUAAGGAGAUCAAGGUCCUUAACAAGAGUGAAGAUGCCAACGAAAGAGAAGUAUGCGUCUCUGAUAGCCAAUCAUCAGGGCCCCCUUAUAGUGCUGAUCGACCGUUGGUAAUUUAUUACGAUGCGAUGAGAGAGCCAUUGAAACCACAGAUGGUAAUUGAAGGACCAUCUCCUUUCCCGUAUAAGGACAACAAAACAGUACCGUGGAGAUAUGAUGUUAAUAUCGUUACACCGGAAGUUGAAAAGUCCAAAGCCAUAAUUGAAGAUGUUGGGGAGGUAGGUCAUUUUACUCGAAGUGGACGAUGCUAUUCUAAAGAAGUUGAACUGGUAAAGAAAAGUAGCGACUCGAAGCAAAAAGGGAAAGCAGUGAUGCACGAGGUCGAAGUCGAGCAAGAAAUUCCACCCGUGCAAGAAACUAAAAAGCCUGUGAAUGAGGAAUAAGCUCAAGAAUUCUUGAAAUUUAUUAAGCACAGCGAAUAUAGUGUGGUGGAACAACUGAGCAAGCAGCCAGCACGAAUCUCAGUUCUAUCUCUACUGUUAAAUUCAGAGCCACACCGGAACGCUUUAUUGAAGGUGUUAAAUCAAGCUUACGUGGCCAACAACAUAUCUGUCGAAAAGCUUGAUAGGUGGGUAAACAAUCUGAAUGCGGACAACUUCAUCUCUUUUAGUGAUGAUGAGAUACCGCUAAAUGGUAGAGGUUCGGUGAAAGCGCUGCAUAUCACGACCCGCUGCAAGGGCUACAUAAUACCGAACGUACUCAUCGAUAAUGGGUCAGCAUUAAAUGUUAUGCCAUUGGCUACACUUUCCAGAAUACCGAUAGAUUUGUCCUACUUAAAGCCCUGUCAUUCCACGGUAAGGGCAUUCGACGGGACGAGGCGAGAAGUCAUGGGAAAGAUCAAAAUCCCUUUGGAAGUGGGCCCCUACAUCUAUGAGGUCGAAUUCCAAGUCAUGGACAUUACACCCUCUUAUAACUGCCUUUUGGGAAGACCUUGGAUUCAUUCUGCUGGAGCAGUCCCAUCAUCCCUCCAUCAAAAAGUGAAAUUCAUCAUGGAUGGCUGUUUGGUCACAGUUGAGGGCGAAGAAGACAUCAUCGCAUCUAUCUCUGCUGAUGCGCCAUACCUGGAAGUAAGCAAGGAUGCAGUGGAAUGUUCCUUUCGAUCCCUUGAAUUCAUCAAUGCCACUUUCGUCGCUGAGGGAAAUAGAAUUCCGAUGCCAAAACUGUCGAGAAAUACCAGAAUGGGUGUCAAGUUGACCGUAGGAAGGGGAGCUCGUGCGAGAAGAGGUUUAGGGAGACAUCUGCAAGGAAUAGUGAGGGCUUUAAAGCCAGUGCACCACAAGGCCUGAUACGGUUUGGGAUUCCAGCCUGACAUGCGCCAAAGAAGAAGACAGUAGAAGAAGGAUCAAGAGAGAAGAAUUGCAAGAACUUUGGGCCGAGAACCAGAAUGGGAACCAAUAGAGUACCCUCCUUUGUCAAAAACAUUUACAUCUACGGGAAUGAUGUACCCUGGACAAGAGGAUCCACGAAACAUGCUGGGAUUAAUUGAAAAGGAUUUUCAGAAUGCUAGUAUAAAUGUCAUUGACAAAGAAGCUGGUGCAAGUAAAGAUGUUUCGAGGAUACGCCCUUGCCCUCCUGGUUUCAUGUUGAACAAUUGGAUUGCUGAGGAACUUCUUGUAGUUUAUAAGCCUUCAGAGUAAUGCCAAACAUCAACCUUCUAUUGUGUCCUUAGAUAUAAUAGAGUUCUUUUGUAAGAGUUUGCAUUCGCUCUUUAUCAUUUAAAUGAAUUUCAAUGAAGAUGUAUUUUGUCAUGAUUUUUCGCAUUAUCACUAAUUUCAUAAUCAUUUUCUCAUUUCAUAGCCUAUCCUUACAUUUGCCUCAUUGCCAUGACAUAACAUUUUGUUUGUUGUUUCCAAUACUUGGAUGUCCCCCGAUAGCUUCCUUUUCCAUUCAACUUUCAAGUGCUCAGAUAUUGACGACAUGAAUAAGCCCGUUACGAAUCUUGAAAUUGAUGUUGAGAAGGCUGUUUUCUUAGGAGAAUUUGAAGCCGAAGAAAAUGCUGAAGAUUAUGUCUCGUCUCCUGAAUUGUUAAGAAUGGUGGAACAAGAGGAUAAACAGGUUCUGCCUCAUGAAGAAUCUGUAGAAACAAUAAAUUUGAGCACUGAAGAGAGGAAACAAGAAGUGAAGAUUGGGACUUCUAUUUCAGAAAGUACCAGGCGUAGUUUGAUCACUUUACUCCGCGAAUACAAAGAUGUUUUCGCGUGGUCAUACCAGGACAUGCCAGGGCUAGAUGAAGAUUUAGUGGUCCAUAAGCUCCCAUUAAAGCCAGAAUGCAAGCCCAUCCAGCAAAAAUUAAGACGGAUGAGGCCCGAAAUGCUGUUGAAAAUAAAAGAGGAAGUCAAGAAGCAAUUUGACGCUGGCUUCCUACAAGCCUCCAAAUAUCCAGAAUGGGUGGCUAACAUAGUCCCGGUACCAAAGAAAUAUGGAAAAGUACGAAUGUGCGUGGAUUAUCGUGACCUGAAUCGAGCAAGCCCAAAAGAUAAUUUUCCCUUGCCACAUAUUGACACGUUGGUGGACAACACAGCAAAACAUUCAUUGUUUUCUUUCAUGGAUGGAUUCUCGGGGUAUAAUCAGAUCAAGAUGGCUUCUGAGGAUAUGGAGAAAACUACCUUCAUAACAAUGUGGGGAACGUUCUGCUACAAGGUGAUGCCAUUCGGGUUAAAGAAUGCUGGGGCAACAUAUCAGAGGGCUAUGGUGACGUUAUUCCAUGACAUGAUGCAUAAAGAAAUAGAGGUCUAUGUCGACGAUAUGAUUGCUAAAUCUCGAGGAGAAGAAGAGCAUGUAAUGAACCUCAAGAAGUUGUUCGAAAGGCUGAGAAAGUUUCAGCUAAAGCUUAAUCCAGCCAAAUGUACAUUCGGGACUACCUCGGGAAAGUUGCUAGGCUUCAUUGUCAGUGAAAGAGGUAUCGAAGUUGAUCCAGAUAAAAUAAAAGCCAUCCAAGAAUUACCACCUCCGCGCACGCAAAAGGAAGUUAGAGGAUUUUUAGGGAGAUUAAAUUACAUCGCCCGAUUUAUCGCUCAACUUACCAACCAAUGCGACCCAAUCUUUCGGCUUCUUCGAAAACAUAACCCGGGAGAAUGGAACGAGGAAUGCCAAGUGACCUUUGAUAAGAUAAAACAAUAUUUGUCCAGUCCUCCAGUGCUAGUACCGCCAACUCCGGGAAGACCAUUAAUUUUGUAUCUGACAGUGUUUGAAAGUUCAAUGGGUUGCGUACUUGGACAACAUGACGAGUUAGGAAAGAAAGAAAAGGCGAUCUACUACCUCAGCAAAAAGUUCACUGAAUAUGAGGCAAAAUAUUCGUCCGUUGAGAAAUAUUGUUGCGCUCUGGUUUGGGUAGCUCGGAAACUCAGACAAUAUAUGUUGUAUCACACGACAUGGCUAAUUUCAAAGCUGGACCCAAUAAAAUACAUGAUGGAAUCGCCGGCACUAUCAGGAAGAAUGGCACGAUGGCAGCUCCUCCUUUCGGAAUAUGACAUUGCCUAUGUAAGUCAGAAGUCAAUAAAAGGGAGCGCAAUAGCUGACUUCUUAGCAACUCGAACAACAGAGGAAUAUGAGCCUUUAAGAUUCGAUUUCCCAGACGAAGACUUAAUGUGCAUCACAGAAAUAGAAUCCGAGUCAUCAAAAGAGAAGUCAUGAAAGAUGUGCUUUGAUGGUGCGUCAAAUGCUUUAGGGCAUGGAAUUGGAGCAAUCCUGGUAUCACCAGACGGGAAUCAUUAUCCGUUCACUGCAAGACUGAACUUCUUCUGUACCAAUAAUAUCGCAGAAUAUGAGGCAUGUAUCAUGGGGCUUCGUGCAGCUAUCGAACGAAACAUCGAGAUCUUGGAGGUGUACGGGGACUCAGCCCUAGUGAUUUACCAAAUCCGUGGAGAAUGGGAAGUGAGGGACUCAAAAUUGAUUAAGUACAGCGAUUUAGUAGCUGGAUUGAUCAAGGAAUUCAAAGAAAUAACUUUUCAUUACUUCCCACGAGAAGAGAACCAACUGGCUGAUGCCCUAGCCACUUUGGCUUCAAGGUUCAAAGCAAGUAGAGAAGCAGAAAUAAUGCCCCUCAAAAUGAGCAUAUACGAGGUCCCUGCACACUGUUGUAACAUUGAGAAAGAAGUAGACGGACGACCUUGGUUCCAUGAUAUCUUAGAAUAUAUCAAGAAUCAAAGGUAUCCCGAACAAGCGAAUGAGAACGAUAAAAGAACAAUUAGAAGAAUGGCAGCGGGAUUUGUUCUUGAUGGGGAUAUCCUGUAUAAAAGAGAAAAGGAUCAGAUGCUUUUGAGAUGUGUGGAUGAUGUUGAAGCCAGAAAAAUACUUGAAGAGGUCCAUGAGGGAAUUUGCGGAACGCAUGCCAAUGGUUUCAAUAUGGCCAGAAAGAUCAUGAGACUCGGUUAUUAUUGGCUGACAAUGGAAAGUGACUGCAUCAAUUUUGCCAGAAAAUGCCACAAAUGUCAAAUCUACGGCGAUAAAAUUCAUGUAGCCCCUUCACCCCUUCAUGUCAUGAUUUCUCCGUGGCCUUUUUCUAUGUGGGGCAUGGAUGUCAUAGGGCCAAUUUCUCCAAAAGCUUCAAAUGGACAUCGAUUCAUUUUUGUGGUUAUCGAUUACUUCACAAAAUGGAUUGAAGCCGCUUCAUUUGCCAAUGUGACGAAGACUGCAGUGUGCAAGUUUUUGAAAAAGGAAAUCAUUUGCCGAUAUGGUUUGCCUGAAAGAAUCAUCUCAGAUAAUGCCACGAAUCUGAACAAUAAGAUGAUGAAAGAAGUGUGCGAGCAGUUCCAAAUAAAGCAUCAUAAUUCCUCGCCCUAUCGCCCAAAGAUGAACGGGGCUAUUGAAGCAGCUAACAAGAACAUUAAGAGGAUCAUUGGGAAAAUGACUAAGACAUAUAAAGAUUGGCACGAGAAACUUCCAUUUGCUUUGUUUGCAUAUCGCACAUCUGUGCGAACAUCUACGGGAGCAACUCCUUUCUCUCUAGUCUAUGGAAUGGAAGCUGUGCUACCUAUCGAGGUUGAGAUCUCCUCUCUGCGAGUAUUGAUGGAAUCAAAGUUAGAAGAAGCAGAAUGGGUUCGAGCUCGAUAUGAUCAGUUGAACCUCAUUGAAGAAAAACGUUUAAGGGCAAUUUGUCAUGGGCAAAUGUACCAAAAGAGAAUGAUCGCAGCCCAUGACAAGAAGGUACGACCAAGAGAGUUCCAUGAAGGAGAACUCGUUCUGAGAAAGAUUCUCCCAAUACAAAAAGACCUGCGAGGAAAAUGGGCACCAAAUUGGGAAUGACCAUACGUUGUAAAAAAGGCAUUCUCAGGAGGAGCUUUAAUCCUUACCGAGAUGGAUGAAAAGGAGUUACCGAAUCCGGUGAAUUCGGAUGCGGUGAAGAAAUAUUAUGCUUAAGAUGAAAACCCGAAAAGGGCAUCUAAAAAAAAGGGCGAAAACCCGAAAAGGGCGUCUUGAUUAGUACAAAAAGAUUAGGAUGAAAACCCGAGAGGGCGUCCUAAUGGAACAAACCUGGCAGUCGAACGAUAGGUCAAGUAGUGAGACUACAGUAUUUGAAGCACUUCUGAAAGCUCAAAAUUUUCUACGCAAGAAGCCAUGCUCGAAAAGAUUAUUGAUUGAGAAACGUGGAAGAGUUCAUGUGUUGAAUAUCUAGAGCAUUUGUAUCCGUUAAAUACGACCUUUUCUUUUUUUUUUGACAUUUUUACUCUCAUUGGUUAACUUUCUUUGUUUGCCACACUUGAAAUAAAGGAAUAUGAGAUAUCCUUUGUGUCCCUACCUGACCAUUUUCAUGCAUCUCAUUAUGUGUUUAUUUAAUGAUAAAUAGUGAAAUGACAUACUCUAAACAAAAGAAAUGUCAAGCAUUACCCGGAUAAGAAUUUGAUAAGUGCAAGAUCUUCAAAGCAAGAACAAAGUUUAACCAAUGGCAAAAAGGGUGAUAUCUGAGAAACGUCGAUUACUCGUAAAGCUCGAAGACAGGUAUGAGGCCAGAAGAGAAGGUCGAGAAUCAAAGCAAUGAACGCAGAUCCUCAACAAUCAUGGCGAAAAUGACAUACGACCAAUAUGCUUAACGAGCACUGCAUAAUCAUGUAGGCAUAAAGGCAUUUAAGACAAACAUGUGCAUAUCAUGAUGACAUCAUGCAUGGCAUAUACAGGUAAUCUAGUAAAGCAAGAAAUCUUGAAUGAGAGUCGCACUGAAUCAAAGGAAAAGAUACCCGAGUUCUACCAAAGGACUGGUUUUGGUAUUUUGAUGUUUAAUAUUCAUGCUUUCCAAGGAAAAUCAACUCAUAUUGCGAGAAAUGAGUUGAGCCUCAAGACACGUUGAGGUAUUUUUAAAUUUAAAAAAAAAAAUCAACUCAUAUUGCGAGAAGUGAGUUGAGCCUCGGGGCACGCCGAGGUAUUUUUAGUUUAUGUUUUAAAUUGACUCAUAUUGCGAGAGGUGAGUUAAGCCUUUUAAUUUUUGUUUUUCAAAAUCAACUCAUAUUGCGAGAAAUGAGUUGAGCCUCAAGACACGUUGAGGUACUUUUAAAAUUUUUAAAAAAAAUCAACUCAUAUUGCGAGAAGUGAGUUGAGCCUCGGGGCACGUCGAGGUAUUUUUAGUUUAUGUUUUAAAUUGACUCAUAUUGCGAGAGGUGAGUUAAGCCUUUUAAUUUUUGUUUUUCAAAAUCAACUCAUAUUGCGAGAAAUGAGUUGAGCCUCAAGACACGUUGAGGUAUUUUUAAAUUUUUUAAAAAAAUCAACUCAUAUUGCGAGAAGUGAGUUGAGCCUCGGGGCACGCCAAGGUAUUUUUAGUUUAUGUUUUAAAUUGACUCAUAUUGCGAGAGGUGAGUUAAGCCUUUUAAUUUUUGUUUUUCAAAAUCAACUCAUAUUGCGAGAAAUGAGUUGGGCCUCAAGACACGUUGAGGUAUUUUUAAAUUUUUUAAAAAAAAUCAACUCAUAUUGCGAGAAGUGAGUUGAGCCUCGGGGCACGCCGAGGUAUUUUUAGUUUAUGUUUUAAAUUGACUCAUAUUGCGAGAGGUGAGUUAAGCCUUUUAAUUUUUGUUUUUCAAAAAUCAACUCAUAUUGCGAGAAAUGAGUUGAGCCUCGGGGCACGCCGAGGUAUUUUUAGUUUAUGUUUUAAAUUGACUCAUAUUGCGAGAGGUGAGUUAAGCCUUUUAAUUUUUGUUUUUCAAAAAUCAACUCAUAUUGCAAGAGGUGAGUUGAGCCUCGGCUCACAUGCUGAGGUAUUUUCAAUUUAUGUUUUUUUCAAUCUAUGCUUUUCAAAAAUCAACUUAUAUUGCGAGAGGUGAGUUGAGCCUCAAGGCACGCUGAGAUAUUUUCAAUUUCUGCUUUACUAAUUCUACUUUUCAAAUCAACUCAUAUUGCAAGAGGUGAGUUGAGUCUCAGGCCACACGCUGAGGUCUUUUCAAAUUCUGUUUUUAAUUUCUGUUUUUUUUAAUUUCUGUGUUUAAAAAAAAAUCAACUCAUAUUGCAAGAGGUGAGUUCAGCCUCAGGGCACGCUGAGGUAUUUUCAAUUUCUACUUUUCAAUUUCUGUUUUUCAAAAAUCAACUCAUAUUGCGAGAGGUGAGUUGAGCCUUUUAAUUUCUAUUUUUCAAAAACCAACUCAUAUUGCGAGAUGUGAGUUGAGCCUUUUUCUAUUUCUCAAAAAAAUCAACUCAUAUUGCGAGAGGUGAGUUGAGCCUUUUGCAAAUUCUGUUUUCAAAAAUCAACUCAUAUUGCGAAAAGUGAGUUGAGCCUUGGCUCACGUGCUGAGCUAUUUUCAAUUUCUAUUUUUAAUGUCUAGUUUUAAAGAGUCAAUUCAUAUUGCGAGAAAUGAGUUGAGCUCAGGAUCACAUGCCGAGUAAAGAAUAAAGAUUGGACAAUUGAACAAAAUUUAGUGCUUUUAAGUCUUUGCACUAUCCUUGUUUCACAAUGAUGAGCAAAGAGGGGCAGUUGUAAGCACUAAAUUUUUGUCCGACUAGAAUUUGUGUUUAAUUUUCAAAAUUUCAAAAAAAAAAUUUUAAAAAUAAAAAUUGCAUUUUGACCCCUAAACUUUUCCUAAAUUUCAUUUUGACCCUUAAACUUUCUUUAAAUUUCACUUAGACCCCUAAACUUUCAUUAAAUUUCAUUUUAAUCCUAAAUUUUCUAAAAAUUACAUUUAGCCCCAGAAGUUUUGCUGCAUUUGUGAUUUGGUCCUUCAGACAGGUUACGUGAUUUGGGGCACCCACUUCCUAGAUUUUCAGGCCACAAACAUGGGUGGCUGCUCCUUCUUCACCUACCACCUGCAAAAAGGAAGCAAAUAUCAACUAUAAAAUGGGUUUAAAACCCCAAAAUCAAACCCCCACACCUACGAAAAAAAUCAAAAAAACUUGCAAAAAGAGAGAGAAAAAGCUUCGAAAAAAAGAAAAGAAGAGAGAAAGAAAAGAGGAAGGAGAAGAAGGAGGAGUCGGCGGUGGCACCGUGGCGUCGACAGUAGCAGUCGACGGCGGAGCAAGCAACGGUGGAGGCUAGACUUUGAAGAAGAAGAAGGAAGAAGAAGGAAGAAGAAAGAAAAAAAAAAUCCUUUUUUUAAAAUCAGGUUGACCCGACCCGAACCGGUCGACCCGAUCCGACCCAGCAGCCCAAGAAAAAAACAACAAAAACAAAAACAAAAAAAAAGAAACAAGCCCCCCCAAAAAAAAAGAAGAGCAGGCCAUUUCUUAGCAGACCAGCAGCAGCCCAAGCCCAGGCCCAGCGCAGCCUAGCAGGCCAGCACCAGCAGGCCAGACCCGCACGCACCAGCCCAGCAGAAGCAGGUCCAACGGGUUGGCCCAGUAGAGAAAAAAAAAGAAAAGAAAAAGAAAAAAAAGAGAAGGAAAAAAGAAGGAAAAAAAGAAAAAAACAAAAAAGAGGUUCAAUUCGUGUAACCCGUUCGACGAAGCUCGUGUUUCGGUAGCUUUUCGGUAAUUUCGUUUAUUUUAUUUUAAUGCUCGUAUUUUUAUGUUAUUUCGUUUUAAUAUUAUUAGCAUUUUAUGCAUAUUUAUAUUUAUAUUUUUAAUUUAAUUUGAUUUUUAUUUUAUUUUAUUUUAAAUAAUUUUAAUAAAUAAGGCAACGAAUCGAUUUAACAUAAAAUCGUUGAUUUCAUCGCUAUGUUGGGUGAAUAUCACCGGUUUGCGUUAAACUCGAUACGCCCUUUUAAAAAUAAAAAAUAUUCAAAAAAAUUGUAAUUUCAAUAAUCCUCGUGCUUUUAAAAAUUCUCAUGUUUCAAAAAUCUUCGUGUUUUCAAAAUUCUAGUGUUUCAAAAUUUUCUUGUUUUCAGAAAAAAUUUUCGUGUUUUAUAAAUUUCCAUAUUUUCAAAAAAAUCAUGCCUUUCAAAAAUUUUCGUGUUUUCAAAAAAAUGACCGUGUUUCAAAAAUUUCCGUGUUAAAAAAAUCUUCGUAUUUUCAAAAAAUUUUCGUGUUUCAAAAAUCUUCGUGUUUUCAAAAAUUUCGGUGUUUCAAAGAUUUUCGUGUUUUCAAAAACUCCGGUGAUUUUAAAAAAAAAUCGUUUUCUAAAAAAUUUCCGUGUUUCAAAAAUUUUCGUGUUUUAAAAAUUUUCGUGUUUUAAAAAUUCUCGUAUUUUAAAUUUUUUUUAAGAAAAAAAUUGUGUUUCAAAAAAUGUCUUGUUUUAAAAAUUCUCGUGUUUCAAAAAAUGUCAUGUUUUAAAAAUUUUCGUGUUUCUGAAAUUUCCGUGUUUAAAAAUUCUCGUGUUUUAAAAAAAAACUUUCAUUUUUUAAAAAAAUUUUCGUGCUUCAAAAUUCUCGUGUCUUAAAAAAAGUUUUCAUAUUUCAAUCGGAUCACGACUAAAUAUUAAAUAGAACUCGUAUUUUUGAAAAUUAAGACAACAUGCGUUUAAUGAGAUACCAAUUUUGGGCGUCGCGAGGGUGCUAAUACCUUUCUCGCGCGUAACCGACUCCCGAACUCUAAUUUUCUCUGGAUUUUCACGUAGACCUAAAAUUACCUCUUUUUUAGAAAAGUUUAAAAAUAAAUUUUUCUUCUAAAAAGAGAAUCCAUUAGGUGUCCGAUCACACCUAUGAAAAAAGAUCGGUGGUGACUCCCUUUUCAAAUAGAUCGAGAUUCUGUUUUCAAAUUUUCAAUAUUUAUUUCGAUUAGCGCCCGUGCUAAAAUUUUUAGGUCGCUACAUGUUGUAUCACACGACAUGGCUAAUUUCAAAGCUGGACCCAAUAAAAUACAUGAUGGAAUCGCCGGCACUAUCAGGAAGAAUGGCACGAUGGCAGAUCCUCCUUUCGGAAUAUGACAUUGCCUAUGUAAGUCAGAAGUCAAUAAAAAGGAGCGCAAUAGCUGACUUCUUAGCAACUCGAACAACGGAGGAUUACGAGCCAUUGAGAUUUGAUUUCCCAGAUGAAGACUUGAUGUGCAUUACGGAAAAAGAAUGCGAGUCACCAAAAGAGAAGUCAUGGAAGAUGAGCUUUGAUGGUGCAUCGAACGCAUUGGGGUAUGGGAUUGGAGCAGUCUUAAUAUCGCCAGAAGGGAAUCAUUACCCACUCACUGCCAGGCUGAAUUUCUUCUGUACCAAUAACAUAGCGGAAUAUGAGGCAUGUAUCAUGGGACUCCGUGCAGCUAUUGAACGAAACAUCGAAGCUUUAGAGGUAUACGGAGACUCAGCCUUGGUGAUUUACCAAAUCCGUGGAGAUUGGGAAGUGAGAGACUCGAAACUGGUUAAAUACAGAGAUCUAAUGGCAGAGUUGAUUAAAGAAUUCGAAGAAAUAACUUUUAAUUACCUCCCACGAGAAGAAAACCAAUUGGCUGAUGCCUUGGCCACUUUGGCUUCAAUGUUCAAAGCAAACUGGGAAACAGAAAUAAUGCCUCUUCAAAUGAGCAUAUAUGAAGCCCCUGCACAUUGUUUCAGCAUCGAGAAAGAGACAGAUGGACGGCCAUGGUUCCAUGAUGUCUUAGAAUAUAUCAAGAAUCAAAAGUAUCCCGAACAAGCAAACGAGAACGACAAAAGAACAAUCAGAAGAAUGGUAGCAGGAUUCGUUCUUGAUGGGGACAUCCUAUAUAAAAGAGGAAAUGAUCAGAUGCUUUUGAGAUGUGUGGAUGAUGUUGAAGCCAGAAAAAUACUUGAAGAGGUCCAUGAGGGAAUUUGCGGAACGCAUGCCAAUAGUUUCAAUAUGGCCAGAAAGAUCAUGAGACUCGGUUAUUAUUGGCUGACAAUGGAAAGUGACUGCAUCAAUUUUGCCAGAAAAUGCCACAAAUGUCAAAUCUACGGCGAUAAAAUUCAUGUAGCCCCUUCACCCCUUCAUGUCAUGACUUCUCUAUGGCCUUUUUCUAUGUGGGGCAUGGAUGUCAUAGGGCCAAUUUCUCCAAAAGCUUCAAAUAGACAUUGAUUCAUUUUUGUGGUUAUCGAUUACUUCACAAAAUGGAUUGAAGCCGCUUCGUUUGCCAAUGUGACGAAGACUGCAGUGUGCAAGUUUUUGAAAAAGGAAAUCAUUUGCCGAUAUGGUUUGCCUGAAAGAAUCAUUUCAGAUAAUGCCAUGAAUUUGAACAAUAAGAUGAUGGAAGAAGUGUGCGAGCAAUUCCAAAUAAAGCAUCAUAACUCCUCGCCCUAUCGCCCAAAGAUAAACGGGGCUGUGGAAGCAGCCAACAAAAAUAUUAAGAAGAUCAUUGGGAAAAUGACUGAGACAUAUAAAGAUUGGCACGAGAAACUACCAUUUGCUUUGUAUGCAUAUCGCACAUCUGUGCAAACAUCUACAGGAGCAACUCCUUUCUCUCUGGUUUAUGGAAUGGAAGCUGUGCUACCUAUUGAGGUUGAGAUCCCCUCUCUACGAGUCUUAAUGGAAUCAAAGUUAGAAGAAGCAGAAUGGGUACAAGCUCGAUAUGAUCAACUGAACCUCAUUGAAGAAAAGCGUCUCAGGGCAAUUUGCCAUGGAAAAAUGUACCAGAAAAGAAUGAUCACAGCCCAUGACAAGAAGGUACGGCCAAGAGAAUUCCAUGAAGGAAAACUCGUGCUGAGGAAAAUUCUCCCAAUACAAAAAGACCUGCGAGGAAAAUGGGUACCAAAUUGGGAAGGACCAUAUGUCGUAAAGAAGGCAUUCUCAGGAGGAGCUUUGAUCCUUACCGAGAUGGAUGGGAAAGAGUUGUCGAAUCCAGUGAACUCAGAUGCUGUGAAGAAAUAAUAUGCUUAAGAUGAAAACCCGAAAAGGGCAUCUUAAAAAAAAGGGGGGGAUCAAGGCGAAAACCCGAAAAGGGUGUCUUGAUUAAUACAAAAAGAUUAGGAUGAAAACCCGAGAGGGCGUCCUAAUGAAACAAACCUGGCGGUCGAACGAUAGGUCAAGCAGUAAGGCUACAGUAUUUGAAGCAUUUCUGAAAGCUCGAAAUCUUCUACGCAAGAAGCCGCGCUCGAAAAGAUUUUUGAUUGAGGAACGAGGAAGAGUUCAUGUGUUGAAUAUCUAGAGCAUUUGUAUCCGUUGAAUACGAUCCUUUCUUUCUUUUUGACAUUUUUUACUCUCAUUGGUUAACUUGCUUUGUUUGCCACAUUUGAAAUAGAUGAAUAUGAAAUAUCAUUUUUGUCCCUAUCUGACCUUUUUCAUGCAUCUCAUUAUGUGUUUAUUUACAUGAUAAAUGGUGAAAUGACAUACUCUAAACAAAAGAAAUGUAAAGCAUUACCUGGAUGAAAAUUUGAUAAGCACAAGAGUCUCAAAGUAAGAACAAAGUUCAAUCGGGGGCAGAAGAGUGAUAUCUGAGAAACGUCGAUUACUCGUGAAGCUUGAAGACAGGUAUAAGGCCUGAAGAGAAAGUCGAGAAUCAAAGCAAUGAACACAGAUCCUCAACAAUCGUGGCUAAAUGGACAUACGACAAACAUGCUUAAGGAGCACUGCAUAAUCAUGUAGGCAUAAAAGCAUUUAAGACAAACAUGUGCAUAUCAUGAUAACAUCAUACAUGGCAUAUACAAGUACUCCAGCAGAGCAAGAAAUCUUGAAUGAGAGUCGCACUGAAUCAAAGGAAAAGACACCCGAGUUCUACCAAAGGACAGGUUUUGGUAUUUUGAUGUUUUUAAUUCAUGCUUUUCAAGGGAAAUCAACUCAUAUUGCGAGAGAUGAGUUGAGCCUCAAGACACGUUGAGGUAUUUUUAAUUUUUAUUUUCAAAAUCAACUCAUAUUGCGAGAAGUGAGUUGAGCCUCGGGGCACGCUGAGGUACUUUUUAGUUGACUCAUAUUGCGAAAGGUGAGUUAAGCCUUUUAAUUUUUGUUUUCAAAAUCAACUCAUAUUGCUAGAGGUGAGUUGAGCCUCGGGGCACGCUGAGGUAUUUUCAAUUUUUGUGUUUUAAUUUCAACUCAUAUUGCGAGAGGUGAGUUGAGCCUCAGGUUACGCUGAGGUAUUUUCAAUUUCUGUUUUCAAUUUACGUUGCUCAAGAAUCAACUCAUAUUGCGAGAGGUGAGUUGAACCUUUUAAUUUUUACUUUUUCAAAAUCAGCUCAUAUUACGAGAGGUGAGUUGAGCCUCAGGCGUGCUGAGGUAUUUUCAAUUUCUGUUUUCAAUUUACGUUGUUCAAGAAUCAACUCAUAUUGCGAGAGGUGGGUUGAACCUUUUAAUUUCUACUUUUUCAAAAUCAGCUCAUAUUGCGAGAGGUGAGUUGAGCCUCAGGUCACGCUAAGGUAUUUUCAAUUUCUGUUUUCAAUUUACGUUGUUCAAGAAUCAACUCAUAUUGCGAGAAGUGGGUUGAACCUUUUAAUUUCUACUUUUUCAAAAUCAGCUCAUAUUGCGAGAGGUGAGUUGAGCCUCAGGUCACACUGAGGUAUUUUCAAUUUCUGUUUUCAAUUUAUGUUGUUCAAGAAUCAACUCAUAUUGCGAGAGGUGGGUUGAACCUUUUAAUUUCUACUUUUUCAAAAUCAGCUCAUAUUGCGAGAGGUGAGUUGAGCCUCGGUUCACAUGCUGAGGUAUUUUCAAUUUCUGUUUUUCAAAAAAAAAUUCAACUCAUAUUGCGAGAAAUGAGUUGAGCCUCAAGACACGUUGAGGUAAUUUCAAUUUCUAUUUUCAAAAUUCAACUCAUAUUGCGAGAAAUGAGUUGAGCCUCAAGACACGUUGAGGUAAUUUCAAUUUCUGUUCAAAAUGAGUUGAGCCUCAAGACACGCUGAGGUAAUUUCAAUUUCUGUUGUCAAAAAAAUCAACUCAUAUUGCGAGAAAUGAGUUGAGCCUAAAGACAUGCUGAGGUAUUUUCAAUUUUUGUCUUUCAAAAAAAUCAACUCAUAUUGUGAGAGGUGAGUUGAGCCUCAAGGCACGUUGAGGUAAUUUCAAUUUCUGCUUUUCAAUUUAUAUUUUUCAAAAAAAAUUCAACUCAUAUUGCGAGAGGUGAGUUGAGCCUCAGGACACGCUGAGGUAAUUUCAAUUUCUGUUGUCAAAAAAAAUCAACUCAUAUUGCGAGAAAUGAGUUGAGCCUCAAGACAUGCUAAGGUAUUUUCAAUUUUUGUCUUUCAAAAAAUCAACUCAUACUGCGAGAGGUAAGUUGAGCCUCAAGGCACGUUGAGUUAAUUUCAAUUUCUGCUUUUAAAUUUAUAUUUUUCAAAAAAAUUCAACUCAUAUUGCGAGAGGUGAGUUGAGCCUCAGGACAUGCUGAGGUAAUUUCAAUUUCUGUUGUCAAAAAAAAAUAAAAAAAAUCAACUCGUAUUGCGAGAGAUGAGUUGAGCCUCAGGUCACACGCCGAGGUAUUUUCAAUUUCUAUUUUUCAAUUUUUGCCUUUCAAAAAAAUCGACUUAUAUUGCGAGAGGUGAGUUGAGCCUUGGCUCACGCGCUGAGCUAUUUUCAAUUUCUGUUUUUAUUGUCUAUUUUUAGAGAGUCAAUUCAUAUUGCGAAAAUGAGUUGAGCUCAGGAGCACAUGCCGAGUAGAGAAUAAAGAUUGAAGCUGAUUGAAGACGUCAGAUUCUGUCUCUUUAAAGUUGCAGUGGAGUUGAUCAAGGACAUCAAAUCUUGCCUUUCUGAAGUCGCAGAAGAAAAGACCACAAACCUUAUCUCACUGAAGCGAUAGAAGAGCAGAUUGAAGUUGUAGAUCUCACCUUUCUGAAGUUACAGUGAAGUAGGUCGAAGCCAUAAAUUUCAUAUCCUUGAAGUUACAUCGGAAUAGAUUGAAGCUACAAGGCGUAUAUCAUAAGAUGCAGUGGAGUGAACCAAAGCUACAAGAUGCGGUGGACUGAAAAGGGACUAACUAAACAAUAAGAGUUCCAAAGCAAGUCAAGACCUAGCAAGACCGGGCAAGUUUGGCCUUCCUUGAAAGUCUUUGCUCUAUUAUCGUUGCACGACAAUGAGCAAAGAGGGGCAGCUGUAGAAGCCCAAAUUGCCCGGGCUCGAUUAUAUCAAAACCCAUAACCCAUGACCCAUUUACAUCUACCCAAACCCAUUACAAAACCCAAAUAUUAAACCCAAUUCAAAAGCCUAUUAAGCCCUCCCAAAAAAAAAAACCUAACCCAAAAAAAAAAGAAAAAAACCUAACCCAAAAAAAAAAAAGAAAAAACCUAACCCAAAAAAAAAAAAAACCAAGAAACCUUAGCCACCUAGCCACUUUCCCACUUGCCCCAUUUUUCUUCCCAUUUUUUAUAUCCAUUGUCUACCACCACCACCUACAAAAUAGAAAAAGAAAUAAUAGAAAAUCAUGUAAAAGAUGGCUAUAAAAAGCCAUUCAAAAAUCAUGUAAGAAAGGAUGGGGGAUUUUACAAAGAUUAAAAAAAAACACAAAAAUCCCUUCAAAUUUUGAACACAAAAGAAACAUCAAUAAAAAGGUUGCAUCUUUUUCUUUUUUCCUCUUCUUUCGAAUCUUUUUUUUCUUUUUUUUGUGUUGUUUUUUUUCUUUCUUUAUAUAUACAUAUAUUGUUAAAAAAAUUUUACCUUUUCCGGCCACCGCCCACGGUGGCCGGCGGUGGCCGACGACGGGCGGCGACCGACGAUCGACCGGUGACCGGCCCCCCCUUGACCAGAUUUCCUUUCCCCCCUCCCUUCUCUCUUCUUUCCCCCUUUUUUUUUAGGUAUUUUAUAUGUAUUAUGUAUAUAUUUUUUAAUGCCAUUAGUUAUAUAUUUCUUAUGUAUAUAUUCUUAAAUACUAUUAUAUACAUAUAUAUAUUUUAAAUACCAUAUUGUGUAUAUAUUAUUAUUACAAAUUAUUACUAUUGCUAGUAUUAUUAUAACUAUUAUUAUAUUAGUGUAUAUUUUAUGUACAUAUGUAUAUAUAUAUUUUUGCACAUAUCAUUAUUUUAUAUUAUUGUUGUAAAGUUUUUAUGUAUAUAUUUUUUAUGUACGUUUCCUAAUAUUUUCUUUUAUUGUAGAUAUUAUUAUUAUUAUUAUUACAUACUUUUAUUAUAUGCAUAUAUAUAUGUAUUUUUAUGUACAUAUUAUUAUUUUAUAUUAUUAUUACCAAAUAUAUCAUUUUUCCUAUUUUAUUAUUAGUACAUGAUUUGUUUUUAUUUUGUAAAUAUCAUUAUUAUUGUUAUUCUAAUAUUCUAGUAUUCCAUGUUAAUAUUUUUCAUUAAUGAUAUCAUUUUUUUUGCGUCCUUUAUCUAUUUUUAAUUUCUCACUUUAGGAAUAUUUUUUCUCAUGUUUUAAUUAAUUUCAAAAAUAAGGCAAUGUACCGAUUUAAUAUUAAGCCAUCGAUUUCAUCGCUAUGUUGGGUGAAAUUCGUCGGCUUGUGUUAAAAAACGGGACACCCUUUCUAAAAAAAAAUCGAAAACUAAAAAUUCUCAUUUUUCAAUCGGAUCACGAUUAAAUAUUAUAUUGAACUCGUAUUUUUGAAAAUCAAGUCAACACAUGUUUAUGAGAUACCAAUUUUGGACGUCGCGAGGGUGCUAAUACCUUCCUCACGCGUAACUGACUCCCGAACCCCAAUUUUUCUCUGGACUUUCAUGUAGACCUAAAUUUGGCCUUCUUUUUGUUUUAAAAUAAUUUUAUUAGGUGUCCGAUCACACCUAUAAAAAAGGAUCGGUGGCGACUCCCUUUGUUAAUAAAAUCGAAAGUUGGUUUUCAAAUGUUUAAUAAAUCGCCACAAUUAGCGACCAAGCGAAACUAAAUUUUUUUCACGUUGCUACACCGAUCACUCCAUUAAUAUUUCAUUUUUGGACAAAUAUAUUAAUUUGCAAAUGAUAUCUUGGUUUAGUAAUUAAACACUAACAAUAAGUGUCACAUGUUUAUUACAACAGUUGCAAAUGUCAUUUUGUGUAAUAUUAGCCUCCAUUUAGACCAGUCAAUAUUAAUAUAACUUAAGUUACAUGCACAAAACCCAAAAAUUAUAAAAGUCUUAUUAUUAAAUCAAUUUGGUUCCUUUGACACAGGAAAGCCGAAUUGCAUAAACAAUCAAUAUAUCCCUUAUUUUAUUCAUGUUUAUCAUAGUGUUUGAAGGAGCGCUCACUCUUUUAGGGUGUGCUUAACAUUGAGGUUGAAAAGCAUCAUUCAACCCAAACAAUUAUUUCAAACCAAAGAUUGAUUUUAAAUUAGAAUUUUAAGCCAACCCAAAACUUCUAGCUUUUACCUUUUGGAAAGGUGCUUUUCAAUUAAAAAUAUUUUUAUUCCUCAUUAAAUUUUCUACUUGACAACAUAAUGUCUAAGAUAAAAAUUUUAUUUUCCAAAAGCACUUAUAAACAACAAUAAUAAAUACUAUCAUUUUUUUCAAAAAUCACUUUUCUACACCACUAUUAAACUUAAAUAAUAAUCUGGCCUUUAACCACUCCUUUCCAACAAAGAGCUUAUCUCUUAGCAAUAGAUUGGGCCAACAAAAAUAAUGUAAAUAUGAAAAAACGAAUAUUGAAUUUGAAUAUCCAAUCAAUUUUUUGAAUAAUUAAUUAAAAAGAAUGUUUGAAUUCAAAAAAUCUAAAAAAAAUUGAUAAAAAAUGUGGAAGCGCUCACUUGUACGAUGAACAGUAAUGAUAAUAAUGAUAGAAGUUGUUUUCUUGGCACAAGGAACGUAUGGAAUUCGUCCAUUUGGUUCUAUAUUUGCCAAGUUGCUCGAGUGUUUAAGAGUAAAAGGACAAAAUAUUAAGUAGAAAACACCAAACGAAUUGAAUUAUUUUUUUUAAGAUGGUGUGGGUAAUGUAUCAGGCUAUAAGGAUUUGAAUUUUUAAAAAACUGAAAAAAAAAAUUAUUUUUUAGAUUGAAUCAGCAGCAGGAAAAUAAGUAAAAAGACAACUUUGAGCUUGAGUUCGGAGCUCCAAAAUUUCGUUUAAUGAUCUAAACGAUGAGGUGGCAUGUUUAAUUGCAGGGAAUAACAUAUAUUCUACUAGCGACAAUUCAAUGGAGUAAAACAGGGGUUGCAGGGAAUAACAUAUAUUCUACUAGCGACAAUUCAAUGGAGUAAAACAGGGGUUGAAGAAAGAGUAGUUUGAAGCCUUAAUAAUUAUUUUAAAGGAUUUUGAGCCGAUUUCUAGAAAAUCUAAAUCGUAGAAGUGAACAAAAAUUCUUCUUUGGUACCUCAAUCGGCAUAAAAGGCUAUUCUGAAUGGCAACAUCGACAAUUAUUGAGUACAUUGGCUAAAAUUCUCAAUUAAAAAAAGGAAAUAAAGAAAAUAAAAAGAAAUGAAAACAAAAAGAAAAACAUGAAAAGAAAUAAUAAUAAUAAUAAUAAUAAUAAUAAUAACAAUAACAAUAACAAUAACAAUAACGUGAACCAUUUUAGGAUUCUCUUAUCAUAACUUGAAGUUGGUGUCAUUUAAUAUAAGAAUACAAUUAAUACAUACAGUAAUGUUGGCAGGUAUAAUUGUAGUUGUAUCAAACAAAACAAUCUUAAGUAAGACUUCAAUUUUAAAACAAAAUAAUAAUUAAUUCGAAUAAAGGCAAAUCCUAAGAUGCUAAUCACUCCAUUAAUAUUUCACAUUUUGACAAAUAUAUUAAUUUGUAAAUAAUAUCUUGGUGUAGUAAUUAAAUACUGACAAUAAGCAUCACAUGUUUAUUACAAUAGUUGCAAAUGUAAUUUUAUUAAAUAUUAGUCUCUAUUUAAGCCCGUCAAUAUUAACAUAACUUAAUAUAUAUGCACAAAAUUCCAAAAUUAUAAAAAUCUUAUUGUUAUUUAAAUAUAUUUAUAAAUUUUAAAAUAUUUUUUGUUUAAAUUUCAUGAUUUUUUUAAUAAUAAAACCAUCGAAUCAAAGAUCAGAUUGAUUGAAUUCAAUCAAAAAUUGAUUAUUUCACUAAUUCACCGGCCCAAUUUACAAGAUUAUGUAAUUUAAAGUAUUAUUAUUAUUAUUAUUAUUAUUACUACGUGUCACUCAGCAUUUGAUUGUGAGAAGAUAAGAAAGACGAAAACAAAGUGGACCUAAUAAUUAACCUCACAUGUGAAAUAUGUUAUAUAUAAGGGUUAAAUCAUAAUUUAGUCCCUAAAGUUGUACCAAAUAAUUUUUUAGUACUUAAAGAUUGUAUUGCAUCAAUUUGAUACCUGAAGUUUGAAAAUGUUUAUACCCAGUACUCCAAAGCCUAAUUCCAUUAAAAAAAACUAUUUUUUUAGAAAUAAAUUCAAAAAUAAAAAUAGAGAAAUAACAAAAAAAAUCUUAAUUUUUAAAAAAAUUGAAAAAUUUUAAAAUUUAUAAAAAAAGUCAGAAAUUAUGAGAAUAUAAUUUUUAAAAAUAAAUAAAAUAAAAAUAGCUAAAAUGUAAAAAAAUAAAAAAAAUAAGAAAAACACUGAAAUAAUAUAGAAAUAUAAAUGUACAGAACCUUUUAUUAAUUUUCUAACUUUUUCUUAAAAAAAUUGCUUUUAGAUUUUAUUUUUAAAAAUACAUUUUUUUAUAAUUUUAGUCUCAGAGUUAUAAAAAUUCUUUUAAUUUAGCAAUAUGUCCUAUUUUAUGUUUCUAAAAAUAUUUUAAUCUCUAAAGGUUUAGCCUCGACCAAAAAAACAAAUCAAGAAUUUAAUUUUUUUUCUCAAAGUCUUCAGAAUUUGUGAUUACCGUUUUUAAUAAUGUUGCCACUUUAUUCUGUAUCUGCUUUAUUUUACUAUUGCACCCCACACUUAUUAAUGAUUUGAUUUUAUUAUUAAUAAUUAAUUAUGAUAUAUAUUACAUUUAAGAUAAAUUUUCUUAUUCAUGGAUAUCAAUUAAAUAAAAUAUUUGUAUUUAAAAUUUAAACUAUGACAUUUAACUUUUUUUAAUUUAAACCGAUUUGAUUCCUUUAACAUAGGGGAGUCGAAUUGCAUAAACAAUCAAUGUAUCACCGAUUUUAUUAUUGUUUAUCACGGUACAUAAAGGAAUGCUCACUCUUUUAGGAUGUGCUUACCAUUGAGGUUGAAAAGCAUCAUUCAACCCAAACAACGGUUUCAAACCAAACAUUAAUUUUAAACUAAGAUUUUAAACUAAUCCAAAACUUUUAAAUUUUACCUUUUGAAAAAAUACUUUUCAAUUAAAAAUGUAACGCCCCAAUUUUCGGGAAUCCUGUGAAUGUUGGCAUAGGUUUAAUUAUGUUAGUGGGCCUCUAGAAGGCCCAAGCUUAAGAUAGAACCCGGCAAUUUUAGUUAAUUUUUGUUCCAUAAGAAAAAGGGGGUGAAAUUAUGAAAUAGUACCUAUGUGAAAAUGUUUGAAAAUGCUAUAGGCUAAAUUGAAGUGGCCAAAUAAAUAGGAGUGCAAAAUAGGAGGAUUUGCAUGACAAACCUCCCAUUUUACAUGUAGUGGCUAGUCAUCAUGUUGUUGUAGACAAAAUGUACACUUGAUAUCCAUAAUUUAUGGUACAAAUUGAUACAAAUUGAUAAUAGGUUAGGUAAAUGUUCCAUGAUAAUAGGUUAGGUAAAUGUUCCAUGAUAAUGGGUUAGGUAAAUGUUUCAUGAUAAUGGGUUAGGUAAAUAUUUCAUGAUAAGAAUUUCAUGUCUUUUGUAUUAAAGAAUUAAAUGGAUGAAAUAUGAAGUUUUAUUAAAAGAAAAAGGGGUGAAAAGAACAAAGUUUUGUCCAUCUUUGUUCAUCAUAGCUGAAAGUUAGAGAAGAGAAAGGAGAGUAGAAAGCUUUUGAGUAUUCGGUCAUUAGGAGGAGGAAAAUUGAAGGUAAGUUCUUGGUACCUUGCUUCUAUUUUGAGGUUCAUGAGUUCUUCUUGAUUCUACCUUAACUCUUGAAGUAUAUUUUGAUUUUUAGUUGUGUUGUGAGCAUUUAGUCAUGAAUUAAAAUGAACGAAAUGGUUGUUGUUUCAUGUUCUUUUGAUGAAAAACGGAAGAUAGGUGAAGUUGAGCCAAACAAAUGAGCAUGCACGUGCCUUAGAUGCUAAAGGGAAAAAAUCGGCUAACAUGUUGUGCUUUAAAAUGAUGAAAUGGAGAUUAUACUUAAGUAAAAUCAUAGAUAUGUGAUGAUUGAUUGGUGAUAUGCAUGUUUAAAUAACAAGCAUGCAAGUUAGGUGUGAAAGAGUGAUUUGGUAAUAAAUCUGCUUGGGACAGCAGCAGUAACGUGACUUUGCAAAAUCACCAUAAAUUGUGGGAGAUGAGUUAGAAGCUGAAUAAAAUAUGUAAUUAAAGACUAAUGAGUCUAGUUUCAAAUGGAAUAAACGAGAACAUAUUUUGAAUUCUGUACAAUGAGAAAUGUGAUUCGUAAUGAAGAGUGGUCAGAUUAGUCAAACAGUGAAACAUGGGAAACUUUGAGAAAAAUCUGGUAUUGAUUGGCUGAAUCAAAAUUUCUGAAAAUUUUAUAGAUAGAAGAUAUAUGAGUCUAUUUUCAGGGAAAAUUAACGGCACUUAAUUUGGAGUUUCGUAGCUCCAGUUAUAAAUGAUUUAGUGACUAUUGCUCAGGAAGACAGCUUGCAGUGAAAUUAUGAUUAUGUGGUAAACAUUGACAAAAAUUUGUUAAUGAGUUGCUUAUUGAUUUCUUAUAAGCUUACUAUGAUCUGUAGGUGUGGUUGGCCGAAUAUUGUAAGGGGUUAAUACGUAGUUUGUAUUUGAAUAGUUAGAUUAACGUGUUAGUAAUCCAAUUGUAGGCGGUUCAUGUGUGGAUCUCGUCAGCAUAUCGUCGCAAACAGGUGUGUAACUGACACCCUCUCAUAGACUAGAUUGGCAAAAGCCGAAAAGCCGAAAUGCCGAAAAGUCGGUAUUUUGGGAAUUUGCGAGAGUGCUAAUGCUCGCAAGAUAGUUGGGUUUGUAUAUUUGGUAAUCUAAAGUAAUUAACCGCAGUACGCGCGAUUUCGUACAUUUUGAUAAUUUGGGCUUAAUGGGCCAAAGAUUGGGUUCAUGGGCCAACGGGCCCAAUUCGGUAAGUAUGCGCGGUAAGUGUUCUGAUAGUACGUAAAUAGUUAGGAUAUGCAUGAAAACCCUGAAAGUAGCUAAAUUACUAUAAUACCCCUAUGUAUGGAAAAUUACUGUUAUACCCCUAGGUGCAAAAUUACCGUUAUACCCGUAGGGUUAAUUUUGACUGAAAAGCAUAGCGAUCUGAUUCUAUAUGAUGUAUGCUAUGAUUAUAUAUCUGUUGCAUGGGGACAUGGGAUAUAUUAUGGAGGAAGCGUUCUGGUGGCUCUGCCACAAAUAUCUGAUCUGGUGGCUCUGCCACAUAUAUCUGUUCUGGUGGCUCUGCCACGAUUAUCUGUAUCUGGUGACUCUGUCACAUUAUCUGUUCUGGCAGCCAUGCUGCAAAUUCUGUGGUGUGUAGCGGUUGGAUGGGUCGAGUUGUCUCCCCACACGGUGUAAGGUUGGUACGGGGGUGUAUACGGUUGGAUAUGGUUGGGUUUCUGCAUAAACAUGUAAUAUUUGUUCUGUUCUGUUAUGGGCCUAUGGGCUUUAUUUUGAAUUCUGUUCUAGGCUAAGGCCAACUUAUUCUAUUUCUGUGGUUUGAGCUGAUAUAGGCUAUGAUUGGGUUAAUUUACACACUGAGUUUCCCCAAACUCACCCCUUUUAUUUUCAUCAACGCAGGUAAUCCCCAACCAUAGUGGGCUUGGAGCUGUGAGGGAAUUCGGAGUGGCCACCCGUUCUGAAAGUUUGAUUUUCUUCUGGUGAACUGGACAUCCUUUUAAUUACGUUUGAGGUUUUGGGCUUUUAAAUGUAAUAAGGCCGCUUAUUUAUUUUUGGUGGUUUUUAAUAUGUAUUACUAAGAUAGGUAUUACUUAUUUUAAUUGUUGAAAUUGGAUAGCUUUAGGGCGCGUUUUCAAAAAUAACAAUUGAUUUCAAAAUAAUACGACAACAAGCAAAGCUUCCGCAAUGAAAGUAUUUUCCAAAAUUAAUCACUUUUCCUAAAAAUGACUUAAUCAAAAAUCGGUUUCCUAGAAAUAUCCAUGACGUUAAGGUGUGGCAACGGCGGUAUGCAUGUCUAGGAUUGGAUCCGAAGGGAGCUUGGUACUUAAGCAGUCCGAUGGACUCACCACCUCUUUUCCGGUUUCCUACCUGGUGCACAGCUUUCAUUCACCUUAACCCUUAAUGAAUUAAUCUUUUGAACAUCAAGUACGAUUUUCUGGACUUAGAAUGAAAUUUUUUUUAACGUUUUUGAUGUGGCAUGCCGGAUCCAGUCACAACGUCUGGGCCGGGUUUGGGGUGCUACAAAAAACCUUUUUAUUUUCUACUUUAUAACAUUAUGUUUGAAAUAGAUAUUUUAUUUUUUCAAAACCACUUAUAAAUAUCAACGAUAAAUACUAUCAAUUUUUUUAAAAACACUUUUUCACAGUAAUGUUAAACUUAAAUAAUAAACUGGCCUUUAACUGGCCUUUUAGCCACUCUUUUCUAACAUAAAGCUUAUCUCCUAGCAACUGUUUGGGCGAAUAAAACUAAUGUAUAUAUGAAAACGAAUAUUGAAUUUGGAUGUCCAAUCAAUUUUUUUGAAUAAUUAAUUAAAAAUCUAAAAGAAUUUGAUAAAAAACGUGGAAGGGCACACUUGUAUGAUGAAUAGUAAUCAUAAUAAUGAUAGAAGUUGUUUCCCUGGCACAAGGAACUUAUGGGAUUCGUCCAUUUGGCUCUAGAUUUGUCCACUUGCUUGAGUGUUUAAGAGUUAAAAGGACAAACUAUUAAGUAGAAAACACCAAACGAAUUGGAAGGCUUUUGUCUUCUUCAAUUAGUAUGACCUUAUAUUAAACUUCACAUUUUACAUAUCAUCAUCACAAUCAUGGUAAUUUACUUUCAUGAAUAAACUUUUAUGUCCCAUUUUAACCUGCAUCAUUUUAAGAUGGUGUAGUUGUCAAGCGACAUUGAUUUAAAUUUUUUUAAAAAAUAUUUUAAAAAAUUUAAAAAAUACUUUUUAGAUUGAAUCAAUAACCAGAAAAAAGAAAAAAAAUAACUUUGAGUUCAGAUUCAAAACUCCGAGAAUCUAUUUAGUGAUCUGAAUGGUGAUGUGGUGUAUUUAACCAUGAGGAGUAAUUUAUAUUCAACUAGUGACAAUAUGAUAGAGUAAAAUAAGUAUCAAAAAAUAAAAAAGUUUGAAGCCUUGGUCAUUGUUCAUUGUUUUAAAAAAUUACUUUUUAGAUUGAAUCAACAGCAAGAAAAAAAAAAGAAAAAAAAACAAAACUUUGAGUUCAGAUUCAGAGCUCUGAGAAUCUAUUUCGUGAUCUGAACGGUGACGUAAUGUAUUUAACCAUGAGGAAUAAUUUAUAUUCAACAAGGCAAAACAGGUAUCAAAAAAUAAAAAAAAAAUUUGAAGCCUUAAUCAUUAUUUUAAAAAAUUUAAAGUCGACUUCUACAAAAUUUAAAUUGUAAAAGUGAACGAAGAGAAAAUCUCUUCUUUAGUGCAGCAAUCAGCAUAAAAAGCCAUUGUGAAUGGCAACAUAGAUGGUUAUUGACUAUGGUGGCUAAAAUUUUCAAUUAAAGAAUAAAUAAAAUAAAAUGAUAGGAAAACAAAAAUAAAAACGUGAAAAGAAAGAAAGAAAGAAUAGUAAUAUAAAAAGAGAAUUGUGGGGGCGAUGCUUUUGAACAAAUCUGCAACUGCACGUGAAGUGGAAUAAAAAGUUGACCAUGUUGCUUGGCCUUGCGUCUUUCGAGUCGCCCCAUCCAUCACGAAUGGGGCCAGAUUUUUCAAUGAGAGAGUGGUACUAAUAAUUUACCUCACAUUUGAAAUGUGUUAUCAAUAUAUAUAUGGAUGAAAUUUUUGCUACCAUGCUAAAAUUGAAGAUUUUAAUUUUGGUGGAUUUAAUUUUUUAUAUAUUUUAAAAUUUUAAAUUUUAAUCUUGAUUUAAACUGUAAUAGUUAGAUUUGUUGAGUCAAACUUUGUUAUUAGUAAGUUAUUAUGUAUAAAUUAUGAGCUUAAUUCAUGUAUUUUAAUUUAAUCACUUUCAAUCAUUAUAUUUUUCAAUUUUGGAAUUCCAUGCUACUUAAAUGGUAAUCAUUAAAUCUAUUUAUUAUAAUGAUAUAAGAUUUUUACGAAUAUUACAUGAAAAUGACUACUUUUCACAUUUUUAAUGUAUAUACUUAUUAUAUUGUAUAUAUAAAUUUCUCAUUUCAACUAAAUUCAUUUAAUUUUAAUAAAUUUAUUAUAUAAACUUUUUAAGUACAUUAAAUAUGUAUCAUUCUCUAAUUAUUAUUAUUAUUAUUAUUAUUAUUAUUAUUAUUAUUAUUAUUAUUAUUAUCUUCAAUUCUGACGCACAAAGGCAGGCGUCCAUUUUUAGGAAAAAUACAGACAUAGAUCACUAAAUUAUUAGGCUCCUUUUAUUUUGGUUACUGAAUUUUUAAUUUUUUUAGUGACAAAACUUUUCAAAAUUAACAUAUUAAUUAAGGUAAAUAACUCACAAAUUAACCUUAAUUAGUUAUGAUCUAAUGGCCAUAAACUUAUCAUGAGAAAAUUAGUGGAAAUGUGUGGCAUUGAUAAUGGUUUACCACUAAUCAAACUUUGGGCGUGGUUAUAUUGCAACUAGGUCCUUGGUUUAAUUACACUUUAAGUAUUUGCUAAAUUCUCUAAUCAAUUCCCACUAAUUUGGUCACUUAAACAAUUGGGUCCAUGUACUAUAGUUACAACUUAUCCAAUUUAAUCAAUUAAUGAUUUGACUUUAUAAUUUCAUGUACAACACACAAACUCCUCACGUAAAUUCUCAAGUUAGCUUAAUUUAGAAAUUCGGCCUCGAAAUCCACCUUUUAAAUGUUCACGAAAAUUGAGUCGCUUCUUUAUGGUAUUUGUUUUGUUCAACUUAUUCGUCAUGCUCUAUAUUCUUUGAACUUAUCUUUGUUGACUUUGGUGUAUGCUUAAAUGAAAAUGUGGUGAACAAGCAUAUGUACAAGGGGAGUGUAUAAUUGAGUAUGGUUCUACCGGAGACGUAUUCUUGUUUCCUUUAACUUGUUUAGAUGAUGUGCUAAUUAUUUGUUACUGUAUUUUUCAAAAUGAUAAAGGGGAGAUUGUUUAAACUUUGACUAAUUUUCUUGUUUCACUUCAUGUUCAAAUAAUAGAUAAAACAAUGCUUUGGUGAAUUAAAAGAAUUUAUGUUCGCAUGUUUGAUUUUUUAAUGAUAUGGCUUAUGCUUUAAUUUUGUUGAGUAAGAAAUGAGGAAGUGAUUUUCUAUUAUAACAUGUGAUGACCAUUAUUUUUCACUCAACUGCUUUGAAGAAGGACGGGAGGAGUUUGAACUUUUGUGGACUUUCAUAGUAUUUGAAGAUGCUAAGAUACUUGUUUAUGAAGACUUUUAUGAUAUAUAAUUCAUGAGAUUAUUUCAACCUUUAUGUUGGAGUUUUAAACUUAUGAAAACUAUACUAAAAGGGAUUUAUAUUGGAGGGUUUAAGUUGGAUACUUUGGUGUAUUUUUCUUGUGUUUUAUUCUACACUCUUUUAAGUUUUGUUGGGGAAAUUUAUUUGAUUGUAAGUGAGGUAUUUUUGGAGAGUCAUCUAUAACAAUUUAGAUUCAAUAUUGGGUUACAAAUAACUGUCAGGUAAGGGUAAUUUGGGCUUUAGCAAUAGUUGAUCAAGAUGUAUUGUAGAAAAAAAUCAUUUUUUGAGCGAAACUCUGCAGAAUAUGAUUAUUAAAUCCGAACUAUGUUAACAAAUAUUACAUCUUAUAUUUUCUUACUUUGCUCAUUGCUUCACCUUGUUUUAAACUUGUUUUGUCGUAAUGUGUUCUAUCUCAACCUUUCCAACAGAAAUAAAAAAUAAUAAGAUUGAAAUUGUGAUAAAGCUCAAAAAAAAAUUUACAACAAAUUUGAUUAAUAUUAUUUUUUAUAUAUAGUUAAUAAAAGUUAAAAAAAAGGGAACUUCGUUUAUUGAAUAUUAUUUUAUUUAAUAAAAUAUAAUUAAUAUAUUUUAUAUCACAUUUUAUUGAAUUAGUAUGUUAGCUAAAUUUUAUUAUUUUUAUUUUCUUUACAAAUAAAAUUAAUUUUAUUAAAAUUUGAGAUAAAAAAAUGUAUACAUUAGUAAGAAGUGCACUUCAUACUUUAUACUUGUUAUAAAUAUUAAACAUAAAAAAAAUCAAUUCUACAAUAAACUUAAUUAUUAUAAAAAAUGUUUUUUAUAAAAAAAUAGAUAUUAAUUGAAUUUAUUUCCAAUUUCUAACAUUCAUAAAAAAAAAUGGUCCUAUUAAUUUUGGAAAUGUGUUUUUUUUCCUCACAUUUGAAAUGUGUUAUAUGUAAUAAUAUUGAAUAUUCUAUCAAUUUUGGAUGUUCAUCCUUUCCCAUCUCUAUAAAUUCGCAUGGAGAACUAAAGCAACACAUAUCAACACAAUCUGUAUAACCAUGAAAACCACAACAGUUUCAGUGUUUCUUCUUUUCAUCAUCUUCUCAAUCACACCAUCGUCCUUUUUGUUUGGUGUAGCCAACGCUACAAACGAACCUGUGCUCGACAUUGAUGGCAACGAGGUUCAAACAGGCAUCCCAUACUACGUUGUGUCGUCGAUAUGGGGUGCUGGUGGUGGGGGGCUUUCCCUAGGCAUGCCUAGCAGAAAAAAAUGCCCGGAAGUAGUUGCUCAAAGGGGAUCCGGUG